rnacentral:lncRNA from 1 species
GAUCUUGACAAACUCCUUUUCGAGCAAAGGUACACAACAUUUACUUCUUGCUGUCUUGAAUCUUUGAAGGAAACCUUCUGUCCAUUUGUUUGGCAUUUGACGCAGACUCGCCAAAUCGGCCAAAGUAACUUCAAACCCAGUCUUAUAAAACUGAGCCUGAAACAAUUUCUCCAAUUGUUGCCAUGUUUGAACAGAGUUCGCUGGAAAAUUGAUAAACCAGGAGAAAGCUACUCUUGUUAAUGAACUAGGGAACAACCUCAUUUUAUGGUAGUCUGUUACUUUACCACUUUGCAGUGUGAAUCGCCCUAUGUGUUCUAGAGUAGAUACCUCUCCUAAACCGGUAAAUAGUGAGAAUUCUGGCACUUUAUACCCUCUAAGCUAUAGAUAUGCUUGGUCUACCCAAUCAGGAUAUGGCUUUGUGUAAAUUGGCCUAAUGACAAGACGUACUCCAAAAGCCAUCUGAUCCCGUACUGUUUCCAUAAUUUCAUUCCUCAACAUGACGUUGGGGUCAUAUGGAAUUCCUACAGGUUGGUUGAUCGGUUGAUUUGCUUGAGGCCUGAUGUUUGGUCCUUGGUUGGCAACAAAGUUGCCUUAAUUUGGGCCAUUAUUACAAUGACCCUGAAUAUUUAUUCCAUCAUUAACACGUGGGGCAUUCUGUCCAUUAUUUAGGACAUUGUCUCUUACAUUUAGGUUACCCCCCAAGUUAGUUGUACCAUUAUCACUAUUCGGAUUUGGCAUUACACCAUCCCUUGGUUUGAAGUAAAGGGACCAAAAGGUGGUUCUAUCCCUUGAUUUGGACUCAGGACAGGGGGAUUAUGUCCCACAAUUGUCCUAUCUUGAAAGUGAUUUGCAAGAGGCACAACUGGCUGACAAAUUCGACCUACUAACUUAUUUUUUAGUUCAUUCAAAGUAUUCAGUUGUUUGGCCAUGUUGUCAUAAUGUGCAUUCCCAUUAUGGGUAAAUCUUUCCAUAUUAUGAAUAUUUCGUAGAUUUACCUGUUCAACGACAUCCUAUGUGAGUUCUCCAAGUAAUACACGCAUGGUUCGAGGACUCAACUCUGUCAUUAGUUCGUAACGACUGUUACUACUCUGACUCUGUCCCUCUGUCGUGGAGAGCUAUGCUGCUCCUCAUAUCGCUCGAUCACAGACUGGACUCCUCCCUCACUUGCUGCUUCCUUAUCAGAUUUGUGAGGUAUAUUGUUUUACCUUUUAUAUCUUCAACACCAAACACCAUUAUCCCACCGGGCGUGCCAAAUUGUUUCGCGCGGGUAGUCGCUAACAAUUAAAAAGGGAUCAGACGAUUGUGUAAGGAACAAACCUCUUGAAACGAAGUUUCAAAAAGGGGUGUUUUAUUCGCGAUGAUUUACAAUUGGAACUAAACAGAAUACCUCCAAGGAGCGCAAGCACACGAGUACUGAAAGAAAUGUUUAAGUUUAAAUUAAGAUAUUGAAAUUACAUAUUCUCUGUUUGAGAGUGUUUGAUUCGGGGUCCUUCUCUUUAUGUCUUCUCUUCCUUUUAUAUUCCCUUGAUGAUUUCUUCGUGACAAACCGUUUGGAAACUGUUUGAUUGCUUUAUAACUACUCACUUUCUUUAUAGUGGUUAACUUGUCGUGGAACUGCUGUUUCUAACUGUUGCUACUACUCUUUGUCGUUCAACCGCCUUCAACUGGGUUCCUUGAAUCGUGGAAUGUGAUAAGGUUACUCAAUAACUGCUUUAAUAAUUGCAUUUUUGGAUAACCAUAACAUUUUAUGUUUGCUAAGAUCCUGGACGAUUCGAAGGUAUGGGUGAGAACAGGGUUAUCGCUCUGGGCGACUGUAAGGCACUCCAUUCGCUCAAAUUUCGGGCGUCUUGCAAGCUUGGGCGAUGAUAUUACUAUGUUUGUGGGCUUUCACUGCAUUCAUUAAUAAUCCUAUCUGGGUCUUUAUCCUAAAUUUCCCAAUUAGGCUUUAUUCUUUGGGCUAUUUGAUUUGGGAUUCCUCAAUUAGGCUUCAUUCCUUGGGCUAUUCGAUUUGGGCUGCACUUUUAGUGUAUCAACAAAAACAAAAUAAAUACCUAUAUCAAUUAAACAGCUUCUUAAUGAGAAAAUCCAUAACUGAUCCAGUUUCUGGCUUUCUGAGAUAUUGACAUAAAAUAAGCUGUUCUAUUAUUUUACUCCAACAAUUCCUAAUUAUAUAUAAUUUGUAUUGGUAUUAUUCAACUAUUAAAUAUUCAAAUUAGAUUCUGGAAUCCGUACAAAUUGGACUAUGUUGAUAGAAAAAAAGCUUUAGAAAAAAAAGCUAAAGCGCAUCUGUGAGAAAUAAUAAUCUUUUUCUUAUUCAUGGCCUUUGAAUGAAAGGCAAAAGAAUGUAUAGAUUACGCAAAUGGAAUAGACAGUCAAUAAUGGCCUACUAUGUUAUAGAUAGAGCCAAUUUGCAUUGACCCGGUGAUAGAACUUAAACCACUUGUUAUGAAUGUUAAAGGAAAGAAAUAUGGAUAAAAUGAAAAUAAUGAAUCACACAGAAACACAAUAUUUACGUAGAAAUCCAAAUUCGGAAAUACCACGCACAGAGAGGCGAAAUAUUUACUGUAAUCAAUAGCAAUGAAAUACAAAAGGAGGUCCACAUGACAAAUUAAAAUUUUCCCAAUAAGAAAAAGAAACAUAUUUGUCAUGUGGACCUAUAUAAUAUGGAGAAACCAAUUGAAAUGAAACAGCUUCAUGAUGGGCUCUAAAGAAAUUCUAGACACGGAUAAAAGUCUCAUGUUCAAAUAUAUUCACACCAAAUAGGCCGGCUGUUGUAUUAUAUUGAAAUCUCAACAAGUAGAUAUACAGCGUAGAAGCUGUACAAAUGUGACGAUUAAAGCUCCAACUAGUCAGCCCAUUAAAAAUAUUUUCUUAUUCAAAGCAGACGUGGGAAAAUAGAAAUGGAAUAAACUGAUUAUAAACCGAAAAUGUAUCGUCAAAUGGCGUGCUAAUAUAUUAAAUUUUAAGGCGCAGUUUGACUAUAAUAUUCAAAUGUUUUCUACUACACCACCGCUAUAUAUACCAUGUUCAGCUGCUGUUUCCUGCACAGCUCUUCACUUCUUCUCUAUUGUAAUUCACUUAACUUUUCAACUAUUCAAGGUAAAUAUGGGUAUCUCCAACUAUUUCCAUGAACUCAAAACUAAUGUUUCUCACAAGAGGCUGUUCAAGGCUUUGAUCACCGAUAACCACGAUGUUUUGCCGAAAGUCUCCCCUUCCAUCAAGAGCAUUGAGACAAUUGAAGGAGAUGGUGGUGCUGGAAGUGUCAAAAAGACAAACUUUUCUGAAUCUGAAGGUUAGUCCAAAUAUUAAAAUCGCGAAAAAAGAAUGAGAACGUAAUAUUUUGUAUAUAUGCAGUACUAUUGUGUCAAAGGUCCUUCUUCUUUUUCUUUUUUUCUUUUCUCCUUUUUUUAAAAUUUUUAAAUUUUUUAUUAUUUUUAUUAUUUUUACGACACCAGACAAAAUAAAACAUGUCCGAAGUUUUGUUCAUUUUACAUACUCUCAUGAGCAUUUGCGUUACAUAACAGGGUCUCACUUCAAGCACAUGAAGACCAAGGUCGACUCCUUGGACAAAGAAAACUACGUGGCCAAGUUCACUUUGGUUGAGGGAGAUGCACUUGGUGACGAGCUUGAAAAGGUAUGUUACGAUAUGAAAUUCGAGGACUCAAAGGAUGGAGGAUGUGUCCUCAAGAUCACCAGUGAGUAUCAUUCAAAGGGUGAUAUUGUACCUAAAGAAGAGGAUAUUAAAGCAGCCCAGGAACAUACUAUGGGACUCUACAAGUCUUGUGCAGAUUACCUGAUUGCCAAUCCUCAUGUUUGUGUCUAAAUAAUUUCUAGUUAUAUUUCCGAUUUUCAGUAUUUCCUUAAUAAAGAACUUUGUUCUACUCUUCCAUUGAAGUUUGUUCUUAUCCAACUGUUAUCAAAAUUUAUGGUACAACAUUAAGAUGAAAUUUUAGCAAGGUUCAGGUCUUUGCCUUAAUAAAGCGAAUUUGUUUGUUUAUUUCCAUCCACGUCUAUUUAUUCCUAUUUCAUGUCGAAUUUUCAACGAAUAGUACCGAAUUUCAUCAAAUUACAUGUGAGCUUGCUAUUUAUAUCUGUUUCUUUGCACGUAAAUUUCAGUUGCAAAGAAAUUUUAUCUAGAUAUGGAGUAAUUAAAACUUCCAUUUGAUUGUAAAGGUGAAAAAGGCAAAUCAAUUUGAUAUAAGUUGGAAAAGAAAAACCACCAAAACCAUAGGAAUGCAUUUUCAAUGGAAUUGGCCAAAAACAUGUUUUUAAGUGUUUGUAACCUGGAAUUCGAACUCCAUUUUCACUUUCGUAUCAAACAGGCAAAAUAGAAAACAAAUUCCUCGAAUAUGACAUUUUAUAUUGAAUUGAAGUCAAUCAAACGGAGCCUAGGACCCUCUUAAUAAUUACCUGAUCCAAGAAAUGAACGAGGACAAAAAAAGCUGUGGAAUAGUUAUAUCUAACUUUUGUACAUUGGAUUUUUUGCAUAAUUAAUUGAAGUUACUUUUAGGGCCUGUUUGAUUGCAAAGAUGGAAUUUGGAUGAAGAGAAAAUGAAUUUUAGGGAGUGAAAUUGUCUAGAAAGUAUUUUACUGAAAAUUGUCAAUUAUUAUGUUUGAUUGGUAUAAUUUUUUAUGUUGAAAAUGUUGAAAUAAAAGUAUUUUUUGGUAUUUGUCUGGCUUUAUUUUACAUGAAAAUUGUCAUUUAAAUUAAUAGAAUUUACUGGUAUAGGGGAUAAAAUUUGUUUCCAUUGCCAAAAAAAAAAAGACAAGAAAAUCAUCCAUCUUUUAGCGUUCGUUUGACUUUGUUUUACAUGAAAAUUGUCAAUUAAAGGAAUAUAUAUAUAUAUAUAUAUUUUACACAAUUAGGGAUAGAAUUUGUUUCCAUUGUCAAAAAAAUAAAAAAAGAAAAGCAACCAAAAAAACCAAUUCCCAACUAACCCAAAGGAAUACAAAUUCCUCAUUUUCGUGGAAAAUAGGAUCACGAACCAGAAAACUAGAAAAUGAAUUGCCAGGAAUAUAUUACCUAUCAAAAAUGACAAAAAGUGAAAAUGACAUUUUCAAUUCCAACUUCCAUGAAUAAUAUGGCGUAUCAAACGGAGCCUUACUGUUUUGCCUAAAGUCUCCCCAUCCAUCAAGAGCAUUGAGACAAUUGAAGGAGAUGGUGGUGCUGGGAGUGUCAAAUAGACAAACUUCUUUGAAUCUGAUGGUUAGUCCAAAUAUUAAAAUCGCGAAAGAAGAAUGAGAACAUAAUAUUUUGUAUAUAUGUAGUACUAUUGUGUCAAACGUCAUCAAAUAUACCAUACUAAAUAAGUCAUAAAUUUGUAGUUGUCACCAAAAAAAAAAAAAAGAAGAACUAGACCAAAUAAAACAUGUCCGAAGUUUUGUUCAUUUUACAUACUCUCAUGAGCAUCUGCGUUAUAUAAUAGGAUCUUACUUCAAACACAUGAAGACCACGGUCAACUUUCUGGACAAAGAAAAUUACGUGGGCAAGUUCACUUUGGUUGAGGGAGACACGCUUGAAAAGGUAUGUUACGAGAUGAAAUUUGAGGACUCAAAGGAUGGAGGAUGUGUCCUCAAGAUCACCAGUGAGUAUCAUUCCAAGGGUGAUGUUAUCCCUAAAGAAGAGGAUAUUAAAGCAGCCCAGGAACAUACUAUGGGACUCUACAAGUCUUGUGCAGAUUAUCUGAUCGCCAAUCCUCAUGUUAGUGUCUAAAUAAUUUCUAGUUAUGUUUCCGAUUUUCUGUAUUCCCUUGAUAAAGAACUUUGUUCUACUCUUCCAUUGAAUGUUGUUCUUAUCCAACUAUCAUCAAAAUUUACGGUACAACAUUAAGAUGAAAUUUUAGCAAAGUUCAGGUCUUUGCUUUAAUAAAACGAAUUUGUUUGUUUGUUUCCAUCCGCGUCUAUUUAUUCCUCUUUCAUAUCUAAUUUUCGAUGAAUAGUACCAAAUUUCAUCAAAUUACAUGUAAGCUCGCUAUUUAUAUCUGUUUCAUUGCAAAUAAAAAUCGGUCGCAAAUAAAUUUUAUUUAGAUUUUCACUACUUAAAACUAAGAUCCCUUUAAUUAUUACCUGAUCCAAGAAAUGAAUAUGGAUAGAAAAAGCUAUGGAAUAGUUACACAUAACUUUUGUUCGUUGGAUUUUUUUGCAUAAUUAAUUGAAGUUACUUUUAUUACUAACACGUCAUUAUAUUUGAGAAAUAGUUAAACAUAUAAUGCUUUUUAUUUUUAUUUUUACGAUUAGACUAAUAAGGAUAUUGAUGUUAAGUCAGACAUAAUUUAAAAUCAAAAGUAAAUCCUUGAGUUGUAUAUUCUACAAAAAAAUAAAAAUACACACACACACACACUACGUUUGAGCCAAAUUUUGCCAAUUUUUCAUUUUAGUCCCCGAACUCUCUUCCAAUGUGCAAUUUGGUCCUUUUUCAUUUCUUUUCAAUCCUUAGCCUUUCUUUUUUAUCCAACUGACUCUUAGCACUCUCCAAUCGUCGAUAUAAUAUCUGAAUCAACUUUUAAGAGUUUUCAAUUUAGACCUCAAACUUUAAAAUUUUUCCCUUUUUUUUUUUUUUUUUUCCAUUUUUCACUCAUUUCGUCCAACUCCAUCAUUUUGUUUCAAAUUUCUCCUAACAAACGAAAUAUAUUCAAAUUUUUGUGAUAAAUAAUAUUAAAUAAUAGAAUCCGAAAAUCCAAGUUUAAGUGAUUUGUUAAUUACAAGGAGUUGUGAUUGUGAGAUACAAAUUACAUAUAAUUGGAUCUUGAAUAAACCGUGGUCGUAAGUAAUAACGAGAUACGGAUAUCGUUAAUACAGUUAGACCAUCACAUUUGGCAUUUCUUACUUGUGAAGUAAGUAGCUGAUCUCACGAGCUAAAGUGUGGUGACACUUAAAUGAACACGUGGAUGUUUGUUAUAGAACAAAAUAUUGGAGACCCACUGAGAGAUUCCACAUAGAUAACUAUCUGAGUGUCAGUGGUUAAUCUCUAACGUUCAGUAGUGAAAUUGGUUCUAUAACUUGAGGUCAUCAUAGUGCCUUAUAUGAGGACGGUCAUACUUUGACGGUGUUGGAUGUUGCUCUGCCAAGGGCUGCUAAUACGACAUCGUUCGGGUAUGUCAAGAACCAUAUGAAGGUUGUGAAUGACCAAUAGAUGAUUCAUCACUUUUAGAUGGUAAGAGAUUGUGAUCUGCAUUUCGUUCAAUUAAGUCAAUAACAAAAUCCUUGGCCAAGGUAUACAUAUAAGUCGAAAAGAAAUUUUCAACUCAUAUUGACUUAAUAGUAGAAUGAAAGAUAUGAUCGAUAAUCGAGAUUGACACACUUCCAUAUCUCGUAGUUGAUCGGAUCAUAUUGACGAAGGGAUUAUAAUUUCAUGGUAAACGAACAGUUUUGGUUUUGUCAUACCACGUGACAUUUCCCGUCACAUGUGUUGCCCUGAUACAUUGUUAGAUGUCAGUAUGGGACGGCGAGUGUGAAUUUGUGAUAAAUUAAAUGGGUGUUUAAUUUAUCAGUUUUGAUUAGAUCAAAAUAAUAUUUCACGUCAUUAGGUGUCGUGGUCGGGAACCUAAUGGGUCGCACACAAAAGAGAAUUGGAAGAUUGCAAAUUGCCAAUUGAUUAAUUUAACAAUCGUUGGAUACAUUAAUUAAUUGAAUUUGUUAUUUAUAUUCCCGAAUUAAUUAGUUCACGGAUCGGGUUUAAUUAAAUGGAUUAAUUAAACAUUGGACAGGACCGGGCCAAGCCCGUUUGGGUUUAUAUAAAUACAUGGCUAGAGUUUGAGAUCUAUAAGGUUUUCAUUAUUCUUGCUGGCACAAGAGGAAAAAUCCUACCAGUUGCAGUCUAUUCUCUGCGUGGAUUUCAUUGGAGGCUGAACAAUUGGACAGUUGUGGAAGGCAGAUUCAAACUGCUCGAAAGGAAUAACGCGAAGGAGUUUGCAAAAUCAAGAAAGUGUAUAUUUCUUAUCACAAUUCUUAUCUAAAUAUAAAGUUGAAUCUCGAAUUGGAAUUGAAAUUUGUUUAAAUCUGGUGUGCAUGUUUAAGUAAAUUCUCAACAGUGGUAUCAGAGCCAACUUUGUAUUUGUUAAGAAUUGAUCUAUAUAUUGAUUAAAUUAAAAGUUAAUUUAAUCAUGUUAAUCCAUGAAUCUAGCAAUUGUAGUUUUAGUUUUAUUUUUCUUUCCAGAAUCUGAUUUUGAAAGAACACAAAAAAAAGUUUUUUUUUCUUGGAUCGAGGCAGCGGGACAGUGGCGGCUGCGCGCACGCCACAGCCACGCGUAGCGUGCGCUGCUGCGUACUGCAGGCGCAUCAAGCGGCGGCUAGGCUGCUGCUGUGGUGGGCUGGGGGGUAACUGUCGACAGUUCCCCUACCGGCUGUUGGGCAGGGCGGCGCCGGGUAACAAAAAAAAAAUUUAAGGUUUUGGCGGAGACGGGGGCCUCUGUUGCAAAUAAUGCAAUUAGGGGCCCCUGAUUGCAAUUACAAAAAUGGGGUCAGUUUGCAAAAUUUAAAAGGGGGACCUGUUCUACAAUUUUUAAUUUGGAAGGGUCCGGUGUUAAUUUCCAAAUUGGGUUAAAUUUGUAAAUUGUCAAAAAUGAUUUUGAAUUGAUUUUAAAAUGAUGUUUUAAUUGGGUUUGACCCAUACCAUAAUUUUGAUCCAAAAUUAAAAUUUAUUUAAAAUUUGACUACUUUUAUAUUUUUGUUAAAAUUAGGUUUUAACUUAAAUAUUUAAUUUUGACCCUUAAUUGAAUUUUAUUUUAUUUGGAAAUUUUGUCCUAAAUUAAAAUAUUAAUUCAAUUUUAUUAAAGUUGGACUCUAAUAUUAUAUUAAUUAAAAUUUGAUUUCAAUUAAUACCACUUCCCAAUGCAAAUUAAAAUUUAGAGUAUGACUCUAAUUUAAUAAUUAAUUAAAAUUCGAUUUUGAUUAAAUUACUUCGCCGAAUAGUUAUGGAAUUAGAGUUGGACUCUAAUUCGGGAUUUAGUUAAAAUUUGAUUUUAAUUAAAUUGGCUCGCCAAUUAAGUUAAUUAAUUAAUAUGAUUAAUUAAUUAUUUAAUUAUCUCGAUCCAAAAUUUUGAAUUUGUUUUGAUGACUAUAAUUGCUAGAUUUAUGAGACUUUAUAUAUAAUAUUAGAUAUUAUACAUAAGAAAUAUUUAUGUGAUGAAUGUUUAUGGAUGAUUAUGGACUCGACCAUGUGGAUGUGUUGAAUGAUUGAUUUACUUCUUUUUGUUUUAUCGGCCUGGGAGUCCGUUGUUAUUAUUGUUGUUAUAGGCCUGCGAGCUCUUUAUUAUAUUGGACCUGGGAGUCCGUUGUUAUUGUUAUUAUUAUGGGCAUGCGAGUCCGUUUUCUUUUAGGCUUGCGUGUCAAUUAGUAUAGGAUACAUGUUGCAGUUUGACUAAUUGGAGGCACAAGAAGAGGUGGACACCAUGAAGAUGGUGCUUUCUGUUGAUCCAAUGUUGUAUCCCUUAGGAAUUGACCAACUAGUUUUCCUUUUAGUUCGGGAAAACUAAAUAGAACAAGUCCAUAAUCAUCCAUGCUAUUACUUAUAUAUAUAUAUUUAUUCGCAUAUUAGAUAUGUGUGUGUGUGUGUGUGUAUACACACACACACACACACACACACACACACAUAUAAUAACUUGAUGAGACUAUUGCACGUUAAAUUCCUCGUUAAAAAUAUUAAGUUAGUAUUAUUUGCCUUUUAUCAUUAUAGUGUAAAACGAGAAUCUUAAAUUGACUUUAGCUUGUUCAGUAUACUCAAGGCUGGUCUAUUAGGGAUAUGUUUGACACUAUGAAAUAUUUGAUAUUUCUGAAUGAUGGGUUUGAUUUAACUAAAAUUUAUCUUUUGUUGAGUACACUCAAGGAGAUAAGUUUUAGAGGCAUGUUAAGCUAACAUAUAACAUGUGUGAAGACAAAAGAGUUGUCAGCUUAAUGAUCUGGAAGUUAUAUGGAGAUACAAUUGAUAAUAAUAUCUACCCAAAUGUUUUAUUAGGAUUUGUUGAGUACACUCAAGAUCUUGAUACAAUGAAUGGGAUCCCAGCCCACUGAGAAUCAAAUGUGGAUUCAAAUAAUUUAUGUAUGAGGGUCAUGAAUUUAUUUUAAAUAGUGGGAGCACGUUUAAUUAAAGUCCAUAUUGAAUUUAUGCAUAUGCAUUAUAAUACAUAUUAAUUCUAUGUUUUUCGUCAUUUACAGUUUUUGAAUCAUGAGUAAUCAUAUAAAUUUGAGAGGCAUACUGGAUGCCAACAAACUGACUGGACCAAAUUUUCUCGAUUAGCACCACAAUUUGAGAAUCAUUCUCAAGCAUGAGAAAAUUAGAUAUGUCCUUGAGUAGCCCUUUCCAGUGGUGCCUACUAAAAAUUCCAUUCAGGAAGAGGUGGCUGCUUACAACAAACAUAGUGACGACAAUAAUACUACAGCAUGUGUGAUGCUUGCAGCUAUGUCACCUGAGUUGCAGAAACAGCAUGAGGGUAUGGAUGCUUACACUAUGAUUUUUCAUCUCAAGAAAUUGUAUAAUGAACAAUCUCGUGUGGAGAGGUAUGAGACCUUUAAACAACUAUACCGGUGCAAAAUGGUAGAGGGAUCUUCAGUCAGUGCUCAUAUGCUGAAAAUGAUUGGUUUCAUUGAAAAACUGGGUUCACUAGGUUUUAUCAUGGAUCAUGAACUAAGUAUUCACUUGGUUUUGCAAUCUCUGCCAGAUAGUUAUUCACAGUUCAUUAUGAAAUUUAAUAUGAAUAAGAUCGAAUGCAUACUCUCUGAGUUGCUUAAUAUGCUUAAAACUGUGGAGCCCAAUGUCAAGGCUAGCACUAGACAUGUCUUAGCUAUUCAUUCAUCCAAGGACACUAAGAGGAAAAUCAAAGGAAGUUUUAAAAAAACAUCCAAAAAGGUUAAGGGCAAUAACAAAGCAGGCAAGGACAAUACCAAAUCUGAUGACCCAUGCUAUCACUGUGGAGUGAAAGGUCAUUGGAAGAGGAACUGCAAGGCUUACCUUGCUAGUUUGAAGGGAAAGAAGUCUUCUGAAAUUUCUACUUCAGGUAUUUUUGUUAUCGAGGUUAAUAUGUCUACUGCAUUAGCUUCUUGGGUAUUAGAUACCGGAUGUGGAUCUCAUAUUUGUAUAAAUAUGCAGGGACUAAAGAGAAGUAGACCACUGCAGAAAAGAGAAGUUGACCUGCGCGUGGAAAAUGUAGCAAGAGUUACUGCAUUAGCUGUAGGGACAUACUUCUUACCACUGCCUUCGGGCUUAGUAUUAGCAUUAGAAAAUUGCUAUUUUGUUCCCACCAUUACUAAAAACAUUAUUUCUAUUUCGUGUUUGGACAUGAAUAGUUUUUCAAUUGAUGUUAAGAACAAUCGUUGUUCAUUUUAUAAAGAUGAGAUCUUUUAUGUUGUGGUGUGUUGCAAAAUGGAAUUUAUAUUCUUAAUACUGAGUCGUCUAUUAUGAAUAUAGAAAAUAAAAGGUAUAAAAGUGAUAAUCUAAAUAAUACAUAUCUCUGACAUUGCAGAUUGGGUCAUAUUAACGACAAACGCAUUUCUAAGUUACAUAAAGAUGGAUACUUGGGGUCAACUAAUUUUGAAUCAUUUGACAAAUGCGAGUCGUGCCUGUUAGGCAAAAUGACCAAGUUUCCUUUUACUGGAAAAGGAGAAAGAACCACAGAAUUGCUGGGACUAAUACAUACUGAUGUAUGUGGACCCAUGUCAAUAACUGCCAGAGGUGUUUUCUCUUACUUCAUUACAUUCACUGAUAAUCAUUCUAGAUAUGUUUAUGUGUGUAUGAUGAAAUUCAAGCAUGAAGCACUUGAAAAGUUCAAGAAAUUCAAACUUGAAGUAUAGAAACAGACUAGUAAAAAUAUUCUCAUGCUGAGAUCAGAUCGAGGUAGAGAAUAUUUAAAGUGAGAAUUUUUAGAUUAUCUUAAAGAGAAUGGGAUUCUCUCGUAGUGGACUCUGCCAUAUACACCGCAACAUAAUGGUGUAUCUGAACGGAGGAAUCGCACUUUGUUAGACAUGGUGCGAUCUAUAAUGAGCCAUGCAAACAUCCCAAAAUCAUUUUGGGGUCAUACACUAAUUGCUGUGUGCUACACAUUUAAUCGUAUCCCAUCUAAACCAGUCCACAAAACUCCAUACGAGCUAUGGAGAGGAAAAAGACCAAACUUAUCUCAUAUGAAAGUUUGGAGCUGUGACGCUUAUGUAAAGCAAAAUGAAUCAGAUAAGCUUGAGGCUAAAUCUGACAAAUGCGUAUUUGUGGGAUAUCCAAAAGAGAUAAUUGGAUAUCAGUUUUAUAAUCCCGUUGAGAAAAAGGUGUUCAUCUCAAGGCAUGCCAUAUUCCUAGAGAAAGAGUUUAUUCUAGUAGAGGGUAGCGGGAGCAAACUAGAACUUGAAGAAGUUCAAGAAUUCAUAGAUACUGUUGACCAAUUAGAUGAACCUGAGUCUGAUCCUACACCUGUUGACGAACAGACUCUUGAUCAGGAUGUAGAGAACUCUGAGGACACUCCAGCUCAGCGUAAAUCAAGUAGGAUCAUUCGAUCUCCCAGAAGGUACGGAUUCACCAUUACUAAUAAAGUAUUAUUAUUCGAGGAUGAUGAACUUACAAAUUACGCAGAAGCGAAGUCAAGUGUUGACUCGAAGAGAUGGCAAGAAGCCAUGGAAUCCGAAAUUAACUCAAUGUAUGAGAACAAUAUUUGGGCCUUGGUUGACCUUCCAGGUGGGAUAAAAUCGAUAGGUUGUAAAUGGGUUUACAAGAAAAAGGUCGAUGUAGAUGGAAACGUCCAUACAUACAAAGCAACGCUAGUAGCGAAGGGUUACACACAAAGACAAGGUGUUGACUUUGAUGAAACUUUUUCGUCUGUAGCCAUGCUAAAGUCCAUUCGGAUUUUGCUUGCAAUAGCUACAUACCAUGAUUAUGAGAUAUGACAAAUGGAUAUCAAAACUGCUUUCCUUAAUGGAAACUUACAAGAGGAGGUGUACAUGACACAGCCUGAAAGUUUUGAAUCCAAAGGAGCCAACAAAGUAUGUAAGCUAAAUCAAUCCAUUUAUGGAUUAAAGCAAGUCUCAGGAGUUGGAAUCUUCGUUUUGAUGAAACAAUCAAAAGAUUUGAUUUUAUCAAAAAUGAAGAUGAACCGUGUGUUUACAAGAAGACAAGUGGGAGCGCGGUCGUAUUCCUAAUAUUAUAUGUCGAUGACAUAUUAUUAAUGGGAAACGACAUCUCAAUGCUUCAAUCGGUAAAAUUAUGGUUGUCAAAGAAUUUCUCCAUGAAAGAUAUGGAAGAAGCAGCGUAUAUCUUGGGAAUCAAGAUCUAUAGAGAUAGAUCUAAAAGAUUACUAGGCUUAUCCCAAUCUUCGUACAUAGAUAAAAUCUUGAGAAGAUUUAAUAUGGAAGAGUCUAAAAGAGGUUUAUGUCCCAUGUCGCAUGGGAUUUACCUCUCAAAAGAUAUGUGUCUUAAAACACAUGAUGAAAGGAGUCACAUGGAUAAGAUUCCUUAUGCUUCGGCGAUAGGAUCUAUCAUGUAUGCGAUGCUAUGUACGAGACCAGAUGUUUCAUAUGCUCUAAGUGUUACGAGCAAGUUUCAAGGAAACCCUGGUGAGAAACACUGGAUAGCAGUUAAGAACAUUCUUAAGUAUUUGAGAAGGACUAAAGAUGUGUUCUUGAUCUAUGGAGGAAAUGAACUAAAAAUUCAUGGGUAUACUGAUGCCAGCUUUCAAACUGACAAAGAUGAUAGCAAGUCUCAAUUAGGAUAUAUGUUUACUCUCAACAAUGGAGCGGUUACUUGGAAAAGUUCCAAACAGGAGACAACCUCUAAUUCAACAACAGAAGCCGAGUACAUUGCUGCUUCUGAAGCAACGAAGGGAACUGUCUAGAUUAAGAAGUUCAUUAAUCAACUUGGAGUCGUUCCUAGUAUUGUUGAUCCCAUACCUUUGUAUAGUGAUAACAAUGGAGCCAUCGCACAAGCAAAGGAACCGAGGUCUCAUCAACGAUCCAAACAUGUGCUAAGGCGAUAUCAUCUCAUCAAGGAGAUUAUACAAACAAAUGACAUAACGAUAGAGCGAGUUCCGACAGAAGACGAUAUUGUAGAUCCACUGACAAAGCCAUUGUCACAACAAAAACAUGAUCAUUAUGUGGACGCUUAUGGUAUUAGAUACAUGAAUGAUUGGAUCUAGUGCAAGUGAGAGUUUGUAAGUGUUAUGCCCUAGAUCUAAUCUAUGUAGGUUGUAAACACUUUUAAUAUGUUUAAUGCAUUUAAUUUUGGCGAGAUCUAUUAUUUAUUUAAAUUAAUUUUGUGAUAAAUAAUAGAAUCCGAAGAUCCAAGUUUAAGUGAUUUGUUAAUCACAAAGAGUUGUGAUUGUGAGAUACAAAUUACAUAUAAUUGGAUUUUGAAUAAACCGUGGUCGUAAGUAAUAACGAGAUACGGAUAUCGUUAAUACAGUUAGACCAUCACGUGUGGCAUUUCUUACUUGUGAAGUAAGUAGCUGAUCUCACGAGUUAAAGUGUGGUGACAAUUAAAUGAACACGUGGAUGUUUUGUCAUAGAACAAAACAUUGGAGACCCGCUGAGAGAUUCCACAUGGAUAACUAUCUGAGUGCCAGUGGUUAAUCUCUAACGUUCGAUAGUGGAAUUGGUCCUAUAACUUGAGGUCAUCAUAGUGCUUUGUAUGAGGGCAGUCAUACUUUGACGGUGUUGAAUGUUGCUCUGCCAAUGGCCGCUAAUACGACAUCGUUCGGGUAUGUCAAGAACCAUAUGAAGGUUGUGAAUGACCAAUAGAGGAUUCGUCACUCUUAGAUAGUAAGAGAUUAUGAUCUGCAUUUCGUUCAAUUAAGUCAAUAACGAAAUCCUUGGCCAAGGUAUACAUAUAAGUCGAAAAUGAGUUUUCGACUCAUAUUGACUUAAUAGUAGAAUGAAAGAUAUGAUCGAUAAUCGAGAUUGACACACUUCCAUAUCUCGUAGUUGAUCGGAUCAUAUUGACGAAGGGAUUAUAAUUUCAUGGUAAACGAACAGUUUUGGUUUUGUCAUACCACGUGACAUUUCCCAUUACAUGUGUUGCCCUGAUACAUUGUUAGAUGUUAAUCUGGGACGGCGAGUGUGAAUUUGUGAUAAAUUAAAAGGGUGUUUAAUUUAUCAAUUUUGAUUAAAUCAAAAUAAUAUUUCACGUCGUUAGGCAUCGUGGUCGGGAACCUAAUGGAUUGCACACAAAGGAGAAUUGGAAGAUUGUAAAUUGCCAAUUGAUUAAUUUAACAAUCGUUGGAUAAAUUAAUUAAUUGAAUUUGUUAUUUAUAUUCUCGAAUUAAUUAAUUGGAUUAAUUAAUUCACGGACCGGUUUAAUUAAAUGGAUUAAUUAAACAUUGGACCGGAUCGGAUCGAGCCCGUUUGGGUUUAUAUAAAUACAUGACUAGGGUUUGAGGUCCAUAAGGUUUUCAUUAUUCUUGCUGGCACAAGAGGAAAAACCCUACCAGUUGCAGUCUAUUCUCUGUGUGGAUUUCAUUGGAGGCUGAACAAUUGGACAGUUGUGGGAGGCAGAUUCAAGCUGUUGGAAAGGAAUAACGCGAAGGAGUUUGCAAAAUCAAGAACAGGUAUAUUUCUUAUCACAGUUCUUAUCUAAAUACAAAGUUGAAUCCUGAAUGGGAAUUGAAAUUUGUUUAAUUCCGCUGUGCAUGUUUAAAUAAAUUCCCAACAAUUUUUAUAUACAUUUAAUUAAGUAAAUAAAAAAUAUACUUAAAAUGUAUGUAUAUAAAACACAAAUAUGCGGUGUAACAAAAGAUUUGUGUGGUGGCAAUAUAUUCAUCCAUAGUUAAAACAAUCAAGGAAGAGGUUCGAAUAGGUUUUCAUCAAUUUCAAAUUUUAUGCCGAAGGAUAUUCAUUUCAAAUUAAUUUAAACCUUAAUUCGGACUUAGGAGUGAUUUCAAACCAGAAGUAUUGCAUAGAAUUUGAUUGGAUAAGCAUGCUGAUUGUUCUUAAUUGAUUUUAAGAGAAUUUUAAAAAGUUAAUGUUAUUUGACCAGUUAGUCAAGCCGAAUAAAACAUUCGUUAAACCUAAACUAAUUAAGAUUAGAAACGACGAAUUUAACAUGGUAAACUCAGUCUUACAGACUAGAAAUAAAAAUCACAGCAUCUCUUUGAAAAUUGAUUAGGAGAAACUCAGAAGAAACAAGAAUAAAUAUUCGAGUUAUAUUAAUCAUAAUAUAUAUGUUUGGCUGAGAUCAAAAAGUUUACUUGUAAGUAUGUAUUUUUGUUAAAAUUAUUUUCGCUUAAUUUGGUUAUACUUGCAAAUAUGUAAUUUCAAUGUCUGGAUAAUGAAAUAAAACGUUAUUUCAAGGAGAGCAUAUUUUUAUUUAAAAAUAUGUUAAAGAAAAGUUUAGAGAUAAAAGUAAACUUAACUUCAUAAUGAGAAAAUUCAGAACUGAUCCAGUUUCUGGCAUUCAGAGAUAUUGACAUCAAAUAAGCUAUUGUAUUAUUUGACUCCAAUAGUUCCUAAUAUUAUAUUAUUUGUAAUGGUAUUAUUCAAGUAUUAAAUAUUCAAUUUGGAUUCUGGGAACCCUACAAAUUGGACUAUGUUGAUAGAAAAAAGCUAAGAUGCAUCCUGAGAAAUAAUAAUUUUUUUCUUAUUCAUGGCCUUUGAAUGAAAGGCAAUAGAAUGCAUAGAUUUUGCAAAUGGAAUGGAUAGUCAAUAAUGGCGUACUAUGUUAUAGAUAACGCCAAUAUGCAAUAACAUGAUGAUAGAACUUAAACCACUUGUUAUGAAUAUUAAAGACAAGAAAUAUGGGCCCCAGGGCACAUUUUCAAGUGGUAAAAGGGGAGAGUGGAGAAAUCCAAUUUUGCUUGAGGUUGUUGCGUCAAGGGUUCGAAUCCUGAAAUAUGGAUUUGGCUCUUGGGUAAGUGCAAGUGUACAAGCAGCCUUUCACCCUUUACCCUUGGAGGCAUAACCUGCGAUUUACCUCCCUCACGAUACUCCAGGACAGGGGUGGUGGGGGACCCUUAAAGUUAGGGUUUAACCUUUUAAAGACAAGAAAUAUGGACAACAUAAAAAUAAUGAAUCACAUAAGAUUUAUGCACAAACCCAAAUUCGGGAAUACCACGAGCAGAGAGAUGAAAAAUUUACUAUAAUCAAUAGCAAUGAAAUACAAAAGGAGGUCCAUGUGACAAAUUAAAAUUUUCUCAAAUAAACAUAAAAAAAAAAAAUGAAACAGCUUCAUGAUGGGCUCUAAAGAAAUUCUAGACAUGGCUAAAAGUUCUCAUGUUCAAAUAUAUUCACAUCAAUUAGGCCGGCUGUGGGGUAUUGUAUUUAAAUCUAAACUAGUAGAUAUAAAUGUAGAAGCUGUACAAUUUUGAUGAUUAAAGCUCCAACGAGACAGUCCACUAAAAAUAUUUUCUUAUUCAUAGCAGACUUGGGAAAAUAGCAAAAGAAUAAAUUGAUUAUAAACAGAAAAUGUAUCGUCAAUAAUGGCGUGCUAAAAUAUUAAAUUUUAAACUGUAGUUUAGCUAUAAUAUUAAAAUGAUGUUAUCCACAACACCACCGCUAUAUGUACCAUGUUCAGCUUCUGUAUUCUGCACAGCUCUACACUUCUUUUCUGUUGUAAUUCACUCCAAGUUUUCAACGAGUCUUCAUAGGUUAUACUAUUCAAGGUAAAUAUGGGUAUCUCCAACUAUUUCCAUGAACUCAAAACUAAUGUUUCUCCCAAGAGGCUGUUCAAGGCUUUGAUCACCGAUAACCACGAUGUUUUGCCGAAAGUCUCCCCAUCCAUCAAGAGCAUUGAGACAAUUGAAGGAGAUGGUGGUGCUGGAAGUGUCAAAAAGACAAACUUUUCUGAAUCUGAAGGUUAGUCCAAAUAUUAAAAUCGCGAAAAAAGAAUGAGAACGUAAUAUUUUGUACAUAUGCAGUACUAUUGAUUAUAGCAAUAGAAUAAAUUGAUUUCCAGAUUUAUUAGAAAGAACUGUACUCAACAAAAUUGAACAGAGCACGUACCUUUGUGAUUUUGGAAGUUUAGAACAUGCAGCAAAAUGAUUAGAACGUUGGAUACAAAGUAAUGAAGAUGUCAGGCUCUUCAGACCAUAUUAUUAUUAUUUUGAAACCUCAGACCACAUUAUUAUACUAUCAAAUGCUCGAUUAGGAAUGAAAAAAAUUUGCACCCUGCGCUGCCUGCAUAGUCCUGCAGUAGAAAAUUCGCGCCCCAAAUGGUAAACGGGACAAAAAAUAGGAAACAUGGUCCCCAUCCCAAAAACUUUUUAUGAAAUUGUUUCAACCAUCGCAUUUCAAUUUAUAAUGUUACAAAGUCUCCUUGCUUUCUCAUUCUCCUUUUAAUAUCCGAAAUAUAGAAUAAAAUAGGCACAAAAUAUAAGAGUCUAUAUUCGACUAAAAAAUUUCAGUUUCUGCAAAGGGAUGUGAAAUUUAAUACUGACAUAGUAACAACUUCUAAAAAAAAGGAAAAUAUUGAAAUAAUUCUACUCAAAAGCCCAUUGGUUCUCUCUUCGGAUCUCCUCUUCUUCUUCCGGAGUGAAGUCAUUUAUUAUGUUGAAUAACUUGCGGAUCUCCUCUGGCGUUUUUCCCUUAAUCAUGUCUGCAACAGUUUGGCAAGUAAGAUCCAGAAGACUCUUGAUAUUCAGAUAGUUUGCAGCCUGAAAAAUCAGAUGGUGAAAAGGAUUAGUUAAUGCCAUGAGAAGCAGUAAUUCGGAUUUGGUGUAAUAGAAUUCAACGAUAGUACAUAACACGCAAUUCAUAACCAAAUCUAUGCAAUUCUGUAAAAUUAUCACAAACAGCAAUAUCAAUAGCCACAGUUAUAAUAGGCUUAACUAUUGAUAUGAUGAAACCAAUUUCAAUUUAACAAAACCCUAACGCACAAUUCAUAACAGAAUCCAUUUAUAAACCCUAAAAGACCACUUAUAAAAACAUCUACACAUAAUUCUGCGAAAUUAGUACAAAACAGCACUAGCAAUGGCAACAACAACAAUGAUAAAAGCAAUUCUCGACAUGAUCAAACCAAUUUCAGCCUAGUAAAGCCCUGACGCACAAUUCACAACGGAAUCCACCAUAAUCCUACAAACGCAGAAUCAACAAGGGAAAAAUCAAAGAGUAUACCAUAAUAAGGUCGAAGAGUAUGGCCUGAUCGACUUUGACAAAUUCGGAGUCGAAAGCCUUGAGGUCGUUCUCUGCGACCACGUCGUUGGCAUUGGCGGCAGCGGCUUCAGCAUGCUUCUUACAGUAUACAAUGAUCAUGGACAGGAUCUUUCCGGUAACAUUGGGAACUGGGAUGGCGCUAUCGGCGCAGUCGUCCUCGAUCAUAUGUCUGAUGGUCAGAGACUCCAGCGCCACCAACUCCUCCACCUCGAAAACCUCGCCGUCAGAGCUUUUCAGCGUAAUCUUCUUACCCUCGUUCGACAUCGUUUCGCUUUGAGUUGUUGACGUGUUUGGUAAGGCUUAUUAGACGCAAAACGAAAGCGAUAAACAGAGAUGAGUUGAGAUUUGCAGGGUGCGGCGCAAUAUUUAUAGAGAGAGAGGAGAAUAUGGAAAAAGGAAAAUAUUGAAAGCAACGGCUGGGAUUUAUCGUGGAAAGUUGGAAACAAUUUGGAAAUUUUGGAUGCGGCGGUUUGGAUCCAUAGUCAGUGACUAUAAUUAAUUAUUCGUUACUCUAAAAAAUUAUUUUUACUUGAAAAUAAAAAAAAAAAAAAAAAAAAUAGAGACAGAGAACAUAGGCAUAAAACUACUUUUUUUUUUCACACUCGACCAGAUAAAACAUGUCCGAAGUUUUGUUCGUUAUUCAUAAUCUCAUAAGCAUCUACGUUAUAUGCCAGAGGGUUACUUCAAACACAUGAAGACCAGAGUUGACUUUCUAGACAAAGAAAACUACGUGGGCAAGUUCACUUUGGUUGAGGGAGACGCACUUGGUCACGAGCUUGAAAAGGUAUGUUAUGAGAUGAAAUUUGAGGACACAAAAGGAUGGAGGAUGUGUUCUCAAGAUCUCCAGUGAGUAUCAUUCCAAGGGUGAUGUUAUACUUAAAGAAGAGGAUAUUAAAGCAACCUUGGAACAUACCAUGGGACUCUACAAGUCUUGUGCGGAUUACCUGAUUGCCAAUCCUCAUAUUUGUGUCUAAAUAAUUUCCAAUUAUGUUUCUUAUUUUCUAUAUUUCCUUAAUAAAGAACUUUGUUCUACUCUUCCAUUGAAGUUUGUUCUUAUCCAACUGUCAUCAAAAUUUACGGUACAACAUUAAGAUGCAAUUUUAGCAAAGUUCCAGUCUUUGCCUUAAUAAAACAGAUUUGUUUGUUUAUUUUCAUCCCCGUCUAUUUAUUCCUCUUUCGUGUCGAAUUUUCAAUGAAUAUGACCUAGCUAUUUAUAUCGUUUCAUUGCACAUAAAUUUCAGUUGCAAAGAAAUUUUAUCUAGAUAUGGACUACUUAAAACUAAGAUCCUUUAAUUACUUAUUCAAGAAAUGAGGCUUUGUUUGAUUCCCAUUUUUUUUUAAAAUACAUUUUUCUCUCUUCUUUUCAAUCACAUAUUAUUCAUUAAAAUGAUAUUACACGUAAAUAAAAAAAAAUUUCUUAUUUUUCAACCACACAUUUUACAUCAAUCUACUAUUCUAAAAUACAUUUUUUCAUAAAAAUGGGACUCAAACACCCUCUGAAUAAGGUCAGAAAAAGCUGUGGAAUACUUACACCUAACUUUUGUACGUUGGAUUUUUUUGCAUAAUUUAUUGAAGUUACUUUUAUUAUUAACAGGUCAUUAUAUUCCAGAAAGUUAAACAUAUAAUGCUUUUUUAUUUUUAUUUUUAAGAUUAGAAUAAUAAGUAUAUUGAUGUUAUGUCAGACAAAAGUUCAAAAUCAAGAGUGAACCCCUUGAGUUGUCGAUUCCACAGGGGAAAAUUGUAUACAAUUUGAAAGGGUAACCAUGGCAGAAUUUAUAACUAAUUGCAUAGAAUUUGAAAGGAUAACUACGCUGAUUAUUCUUAAUCGAUUAUGGCAAAUUUAUAAUUAUUUAUGGUAGCCAAACAUAGGUUUAAGUAUCUUUAGAUAAUGAAUGAUUAUAUGCUAACAUUUGAGCCAAAAUUUGCCAAUUUUUCAUUUUAGUAUCAAACUUUCUUCGAAUGUGCAAUUUGAUCCUCUUUCAUUUCUUUUCAGUCCUUACCCUUUCGUUGAAAAAAGGAAUCGAACCCGGGACUCGCAAGACGAAAAUGCCACUUCUACCCAAGUUGGCUAGAAGCAGUGUCUAAAUUAAAAGUGAAUAUCAGUAAUAUAACCUAAAAAAUGUAUGUUGUCAACAAAAAGAGGGUUGCCGACGGAUCCAGCACGCAUGGUCACGGGUGCUCGCUAGGUGCUGGAUCCACCAAUGAUGACAAUUGACUAGGAAAAAUUGAAACGUGGAAUAUCACAGGAUAUCUCUGAAAAUUGAUUAGGAGAAACUCAAAAGAAACAAGUAUAAAUACUCGAGUUAUGUUAAACAUAAUUGAUAUGUUUGGCUGAGAUCAAAAAGUUUACUUGUAAGUAUAUAUUUAUCUUAAAAUUAUUUUCAUUUAAUUUGGUUAUACUUGGAAAUAUGUAAUUUCAAUGUCUUUAUAAUGAAAUAAAAUGUUAUUUUCAAAGAACCACUACCACCACCAACUUGCUUCUUCUUGUCUCCAACAUUCCAUCACACCACCGAUUACUCCAAGAUGACAUCUUUUCGUCCCUCACUUGCUGUUUCAUUACUCAAAGAGUGACCAACACCACCAUUUCACUACUUUCAAUCACCCCCAACAGAUCCAGAGCCAUAAACCUAUAUACAUCACAAUCACCCUCCAUCCUCUACUCACCGCACGACUGUAUUACAAAAUGAGACUAGGGUAAUUCCAGGAGCUAAAGACAUUUAACACGAAGGAAAGGACACAAGCAUAACUGGGGCCCAUGUGUCAGCAAUUCGGGCAACUAAACAAUGGGAAGUCAAUGCUCUCUAUUUAUUGUUAGUUUAUAAUACUGCUUUAUUUUAAAAUUGCAUCAUUUUAAAUUCUUUGUGUUGCUAUUAUCUUGAUAAUUUUAGCCUUAAACCCCACUUGAUCGGAAUUAUUAAACGAAUUUACUUUCCAUUAUUCCCCACUUAUUAACGUGAUUAAGAUUUUGACUAGUUUUUUACCCUUUGCUAAUUUAUAUGUAUCAACAGUAUCAGUUUGCAAUAUUUGGAUUUUCUUAAACCCUCAAAAGAAUAAACAUAAAAAAAUAAAAGAAAUGCUCAAGUUAUUAUUUUCAUUGCUAGUACAUGUGGUUCAUUGAUUUCUUCAUUGCACCUCAUUUAGCUCAUAAUACAAUGCAUGCGAUUACGUAGUGAUGGUCUUAUCACUUCUAGUUUUAGUAUCUUAUCCAUGGAACCCUCACGAUUUGAUCUACUCACACGGUAAAUAGCAACCAUUAAAGCCCAGAUGACUGGUACUCUUGAAGAGAGUAGGGAUUUAUCUGCUAGUUUGAACAAUUUCAAGCAAAUCUCUCAUUCGAUUGAUGCUGAUAAUUUUGAAGUUUCUUAUAAUAGACAUUAUAGUAAUCAACAAGGUAAUCUAAAAUAGUUUCGAUACAAUCAUAUUGAUAGGAUCAGGAUUAUAAGCAGGAACGUGGUUGUAACCGUCACGGUACUCAUUCUCGUCCUUGCCAUGAGAAAUGUCUCUCUAGAAACAUCAAAUCAUAUGCUUUUACCUUUGAUGAUUGUUCACAUCCUGGAGUUUUUACUCAAUGUAAUACCCUUACAUAGGGGAAUCGUUAGUAACUGAGUAUACCGCUCAAUUUGAAGAACUUCGAAUGAAAUGCCAAGUCAAUGAGUAUGAGACCCUUGCUUUGAGUAGAUGUAGCUAAGGACUACAAGAUGAUCUUAGACGUGAACUCUUCUUUCAGGGUGUCACCACUCUUGAUCAUGCUUAUUCUAUAGCUCGAGAUUAUGAGUUAAUUAUUGACACUCCCUAUGAAAAGCGUAGUGACAACCGUGCAUCCAUCUCAUCAGCAUCGCUUCCUUUGAAGUCUAUCAGAAGACCUUCUCUGUCUAAUGUUCCUUAUGUGUUGGAAAAUAAGAGUAAAAUUCUUAAUAUUUCAAGGACUUCUUCUAAGUUGCAGUACUUCAACCGUAAGGACUUUAGCUACAUCUCUUCCACAUCUCCUAGGCGAGCUUUAAUCAUUGAAGAACGAAAUAAUUUCAUAAACGAGCCAUUAGAAGAUCUAGUAGAUGAACCUAAACUUGAUGAUUUUGAUGACUUGGAUAAUAGUGAGGACACAUCCUUAGGUAAUAUUCGGACUCUUCCUAAUAAUCUAGAUACCAUACCAUUUGUUCUUGAAACCUAUUGAUUUCGUGUUGCAUGUUGUAUUCGUACCCAAACUAAAGAGGCAAAUGAUUUCACUAGUCGCUCUUCGAGAACCUGUCACCUAUGGGUAUUACUACCUGGAAAUUCUCCACUGUUGACCACCCUCAAACUGAUGGUCAAAGUGAAGUGGCUAACCUGAGUCUUAACAAUUUCUUAAAGUGUCUAGUCCAGGGAAAUCUUGGAAAUUGGGAUUCGAUUUUCCAAACAACUCAAAUUACAUAUCACAAUACUAUAAAUCAAUCUCUAGAUCUAAGUCCUUUUGAACUUAUUCAUGGUUAUAAGCCUAGGAGGCCUUUAGACUUUAUUAUCAUGUCACCACAUGCUAGUAUGUCGAUGUCAACUCAAGUAUUUGUACAUCAUUAUCAUGACUUGCAUAUUGAUAUCAAUAAUCAACUUGAGACAAGUAAUGCUUCAUAUAAACUUCGAGUUCAUUUGCAUAAAUGACAUGAUGAAUAUAAUAUUGGGAAUUAUGUUAUGUUGUAAGGUUGUAGUACUUGUUCUUUUAAAAUUUUAAAGCAUGUUGGUCAAAAUGCAUAUGUCAUUGAUCAUUUCUCACAUUUUGGCUACAACCAUACUUUAAAUUUUGAAGACUUAGUUACUUACGACGGUCAUUUUAAUUAUUUUGAUGAUCCUUUUUUACUUUCAUAUGUGGACCCCCAACCUAUAUAUACUACCAUUCCUGCUCCAAUAACACUCAUCAUAGCACAAAAGAUAAAAUUGACGCUCUUUUAGAUGAAUGGGUUGUGUUAACAAUUGAUAGAGAAAAUCGGUACUCCCUUGUUUGUUGGUUAGAUCGACAUGCUUAUUGUGUUCUGCAUUAUGCACAACCAUGUGACGAUUUUGGAAAUGAGCUGAAUGAGUAUGUACAAGUUGCACUUCAAUGUCGAUUUUCUGUUCAUCAAAAAGAUAGUCCCUAUGGCAUGACUUGGAGCAUUUUGUGUAUCAGAUUGAUAGUAGUAUUUUGUGAUUUACUCACUUGACAGUGUUGAGUUUUCUCCCAUCCUAGAAGAGUUAACGAGGACAUCCCCUAUUUAUUUAUUUCUAUUUGGACCUAUAUUUAUGUUUGGACUCUUAUUUAUAUUUAUGUUAUUGUACUUGUACAAUGCGUUUGGCCCAAGCCCACCCUUUUUAAGAUUUAGUUUUACUAUUUAUAUUAGUUCAUUGUGUAAUUUAGACAGUUGAUGAUUGAAUAAAAUAUUGGUGGCUUGUAGUAAAAUUCCUCUCUUCCUCCAUUAUUCUUUUUCUUUCUCUACUGUUUUCUUCUUUUGUCAUCUUUACCCCUGAUUUUUCUUCCAUGUUGAAUUGUUUCUCAUAUUCCAUUGGGUGUUUUGUUUAUGCUGAUGACAUCUCCAUUUUAUUUAUUUCUAUUUGGACUCUUAUUUAUAUUUAUGUCAUUGGACUUGUACAAUGGGGUUUUGUCCAAACCUACCCUCUUUAGGGUUUGGUUUACUGUUUAUAUGAGAUUCGUACUUGUGAUUCAGAUAAUGAUUGAAUAAAAUAUUGGUGGCUUGUGAUGAAAUUCCUCUCUUCCUUCAUUAUCCUUUUCCUUCAUUUAUCUCUACCCUUGAUUUCUUCUUCUUGCUAAUUGGUUUUCUCAUAUUCUAUUAGGUGUUUUUAUUGGCCCUGCAUCACCACCCAUAUUGGUUUUAUCAUUUUCCUUGGCUUGACCUCCAAUAAGCUGGAUGUGAAGACAAUGGUUGGAAUUCAUGUAGAGAUCUUCUCAAACUUCCUUCGAGCUUCUUCCUCUUCAAGGAACAUGGCAUUAGCUCUUCCUCCUCCCAUCAAGGAUUCCGCUAACAUACUAACAAAGAGUUCUAAUGAAAAGAAACUAAAAAUUCCUAAAUAAUAUGUCAACAAAUGAGGCGUGCAUAAUUGUUAAGUUGCACAAGCACAAAUCUAUCAUUAACAUGAUGUUAGUAGCGAACAAGCUAUUAACAUUUGUAUUCUUUGUAGUUUGGUAUGCUUCAUUUGUUUUGAAACCAUUUUACUUACAUAAUUCUCCUUCUAUGUAAGGAUCAAGAUGGAAAAGAUGGUUGAGAUAAGGAACUAGGCUGCUAAGCUUUGCAAAAGUAUGGAGGCCAAAAAAGCUCAGGGAAUCGUGAAGGAGAACGGAUGUAAGGAUAGGUUUAAUAAGAUAGAUGUCGAUAGGCUUAAUAAGAUGGACGUUGAGCUCGAGGUCAAAUCAGCGUCUGGGCUCAAACUUUUUGAUAAAAUAAAAGCCUUGAAGAUUUAGGGUGAAAAUGAUAAUGAGAGGGGUUCAUCUGAAAAGGGGAAAAAGGCCUGAGAAGAAAGGAUUUGGGCUUCUAAAGCCAUAAAAAGAGCUGAAGAGGUUGACGUCAAGGCUGCUAAGGUAGGUGAGUUGGACCUUUCCUAAGUUUGAUAUACUAGCUAAAGAUGCUUAUGGUUAGUCGGAUUGAGGUGAUCAAACACAUUAAGAAGAUGUGGCCUAAGUAUGAUGUUGGCUUCUCACAAGCUUUAGAUAAGCAAAGGUACUGAAGGAGAUGUCUAUGGCAGUAGGGAUAAUCAUAACACCUGUUGAUAAAGAUAAAGAAUCUGAUGAAGAUCAAGACUAGUUGACCCCCCAACUGCCUGAUCUGCUUAUUAAACGAAUUGUCUUUAAAACAAUAUAUUUGAAUGUGGUUUUUAUUUUGCAAUGUUAUUUUAAUAUUUUUAUGAAUGAAUGACUAUAUUUUGUAUUAAUUAUAGAUAUGUUUUCUUCAAUUUUGGUUUAUCGUGCUAGUCUGAUAAGUGAAAAGUUUUUAGUCUAAACGUUGUAGCACAUGAACCUUGGAUCAGACUAUUUAAGGGCAGAUCCAAAGGAAUUUCCUUUUGAAAAAAAAAAGAACUAUUCACUAAGUGUUGCAGUACAAGCAUCCUUAGUUAAAUUUUUAUUCACAAUUGUAUAAUUUUGACUUUUAUAGGGAAAAAACACUAAAUUGAAGGAUAAGAAGGCAAAAGAAAAGGAAAGAGGACUAAAGACAUACAAAAAUGUGAAGUUCGAGACCAAAUUGUACCAAAAGUUAAAGAAAAGGCAUGCAAUUUUUUUAAUGAAGACAACCACAUCCUUAGUGACUUUUUAUGGUCCACCGAGGAAGGUAGAUGGGGGUGAGGUUCUCCAGCCAUAUAUAUAUAUAAGAAUACAAGGAAGGAGGGAAAACCUGAUCUCCGAACAAUGCAAUAAGUGAAUAAAUAAGAAGCUAAUGCAAUAAAUAGGGGAGUGCUACUUCCUUGUACAAUGGAAUCAAUGUAAAAAAUGGAAUUUAAGUUACAAACCUCUAAAGCUAGACAGUCCAUGUCUGCCAAUCAAAACCAGUGUUGUAAUCUAUCAUGGUAGGUUGGAUGGUUCAUACUCUUGAUAGCGACAGUGAUCUCAAUCCUCUAAAGUAAGUGAGUCUACAACCUAGUUCAUCUCUCUGUAGAUGUGGAAAACUAUACCUCUAUCGAAGGAGAUGAGGUCUCUAAUUUGUCAAAGAGUGCUCUAAAUCUUCCGUGGUCCUCCGCCCUUGGUGAUGCAACGGAUAGCCAUGGUCAAAUCUACUUCAACCUAAAUUGCUGAUAACGCAAUUCCUUUGACCAAUAGAAUUCCAUCCAAUAUAGCUCUACGUGGGCCAUAUGAAGAUGAGAAUGUCCUGAUGCAGUGUCCUGUGUAGUUCGUAAUGAUGCUCUUCCACUCGCAAAUCCAUCUUUCAUGCAUCCAUCAGUGUUGAUUUUGUAAGAUCUCACCGAUUAGGUGGCUAGACAAUUAUAAUAGGUGGCGGUGGAGGAGGGAGGGUCAUAUAAAUACCAAAGAGUGGUGCGAGUUUUAAAUCCCCUUGCCAGUGCAUAGUGAUAAGUGCGUUUUUGUGCACUUAUAUAACUCACAAACAUAACCAAAAUAUGAGCAAAGUGUAUGAAAUGUGACCUAAAUUCGCUUGAUUCUUGGAUUGUAGGGUUUUCUAAUAGAUUUGAUGGAACUCAUGAGAAAAAGAAGCAAAAAGGACCAAAACAAAUCAAAGUGAUAGUUCAGGGACCAAAGUACAAAUAUCCAAAAUAUGAGCCAAAUGAGCAAUCUAAAAAUUGAGAGUGCCAAGUACCAGUUGGAGGUCAACAUGAGCAGAUAGAACAAAAGAGUCGAAGAAAAGAGGUCAAGAAACAAGAAGAUUGAAAUUGUGGACUAAAAUGGCACAAAGUGAAAGGUUUAACACCAUGUGGUCGCACAACCCCCAUCCAAAACCCAAACCAAAGAAAUAGAUCAAACCAUGCGGCCGCAUGGUGUAAAUUUCUGUCGCGAUUCUGCAAUUUCCUUUUUGCGUUAUAAUUCCUUUGGAACUUGAUUGUGACGCGAUAUAAAAAUCUAGAACCAUCAUAUUUCGGAGAAGAACACAUUGGGAGGCAAGAAACCACAUCUUGGAGAGGAUUUUAAGCGAAAUUAACGAUGAUUUACAUGAAAAUCAUCAAGAUUUUAAGCAAUUUCAUAACCUGAUGAUUUUUUUUCUUCAAUUUAUCAUGUAUUUAGCAAUUUUCUCCAUGAUAGGCUAGAUUUUUCAUGUACUAGGAGAUCGAUGUACUAUAUGAUGUGAUUUCUUUAAUUUCUAGUUUUCAAUUUGACAAUAAACACGUAUUGAAUGUUUGAAUGAUUUAUAUACAAUAAUUUUUGUCCAUAAUUAAGUGCAUGUAAUUAUGUGAUAUUUGGUGGUUUAUUUCAUCUGUUCGAGAGAAGAGAAAUAAAUUAGACUCGGUAUAAAUCGCCGUAGGGUCUGAUAGGGGAUAGAAAUAUAACCCUAUGUUUUGAGUGAAUCUUUAGAUGUUCAUAAAACCACAUGCAUUCUUAUAUAUGCAUUUGUCAUAGAAAUAUAGGUCGGUGGUGUAUAAGAAUAUGUUCAAUACUUCUCGAGAGAGAGUGUUGAAUAGAUUUAAAAGCAUUGAUUCGUCAAUAAUUCAAUCGUGUUGUCAUUUUGUGAAAUCAGGGUUAAGAUUGAUCAUUGCAUGGGAAUUCAUGAUCCUAGUGCUUUUAAUUUUCAUUGAAUAUAACCAAUUCACGUUCUAAACACAUAAUUUGCAUUUUAAUUCAUUAAAAUAUCAUUUUGCAUACUGAGUUUAUUACAAUCUUCAAGUUUGCAUAAUUAGGGCUUUUCUAAGAAUAAAUUCAUGUUUUGACAAAUUUGUUUUGGCGAAGGUUGAAAUAGUUAGAAUUGAACUACUCAAUCUCUGUGGGACGAUACUCGGAACUUAACAUUCCACUUUAUUACUUGUUAACGAACCGUACACUUGCGGUAAAUUAAAUUGAGAGAAAAUAUUUCGUGAACAAGUUUAUGGCGCCGUUGCAUAGGAUUGAGUAUCCGUUUAAUUUUAUCUAUAUUAGCACUAAUUCAGACAUCCAUAUUUACAUUUCUUGUUAAUUUGUUGUAUUUUAUUUCACUUAAUUUUAUUUUGGUUUGUUCUAGUUAUUAUUUCAUUUUAACAUUAAGCACUCCUAUUAACUCUUCUCGCAGAUUUGCAUGCUAAGAUCCGCUGAAGGAGAAUUGAUAUCAGCUGAUCCAGAAAUCGAACGAACUUUCCAUCAAGGCAGCAAGAAAAUAGAGAGGCACAUCAACAAAUGGCUAACGUGUAGAAUAAUCCAAUUUUUUAGGCCAAUGAAGAAGGGACAGCGAAUGAAGGAAAUAUGCUCGUGGGAGAUUUCAUGACCCCUCAGAUAAUUCAAAGCCAAUCAAGUAUCGUGUAUCCACCGUUUGGACAGCCAAACUUCCAACUGAACAGUAAUGUGAUACAAUUAUUUCAAAAUGGCCAUCAAUUCUAUGGAAGGAUCGAAGAAAAUCCACAUACACAUGUUUCUCGUUUUCUAGAGAUGUGCCAGCACUUCAGAUAUCUAGGAAUCUAAUACGAUACAAUAAGAUUAAGGUUGUUCCCACAUACACUACGUGACAAUGCAAUUGAAUGACUGAAUUUGCAACCAAUCGCAAGCAUCACCGCAUAGAAUGAUCUAGCCCAGAAAUUCUGCACUAAGUUCUUCCUACCAGCUAAGAUUCAAAAGCUCAAGCACGACAUCUCUGUUUUUCGCCAAGGCGACUAGGAGAAUUUUGAUGAAACCUGGAAUCGGUUCAAGAAUAUGCUGUGAAAGUAUCCACACCAUAGGAUUAGCAAGGGACUUCAAGUCCAAUACUUCUAUGCAGGAUUACUUCCAGCCUUUAAAAGCAUGGUUGACUCAUCAUCAAACGGAUCACUAUCCACAAAGACAAUUGAUGAGGCACUAAAAUUUUUCAAGACUAUGGCUAUCACUUCAGCUAUGUAGACAUCGGAAUGAGCAGUUCAGAAGAAGACGCCAGGGGUUUAUGAAAUGGAUGUUUAUUCUACCUUGUCAGCGAAAAUUGAUUCAUUAUUUCACAAGGUAGAAAACAUGACACAAUCAACCACCGUAGCACAGUCGAAGAAGACCAGUUGUGAAGAAUGUGGAGCUAAACAUGUAACAACAGAAUAUCCAAUUUUGGCACAAGAAGUAGAGCAGGCAGAUUUUGCUCAAUGGGGACAGCGGUAGCAAAACAACACCAAUGGGAAAACAUACAAUUCAAGUUGGAGAAAGCACCCAAAUUUCUCUUGGAGCAAUCAAAACUAGAAUAACCCAGGGUCAAUAUCAGCAGUCAGAGAAAAAGCGUCAAUUGGAAAAGAUGUUGGUAAAUUCAUGGAGAAGACUAAUCAGUAAAUGGAAGUUAACAAUCAAUUCAUGAGGAAAACUGAAGCCACUCUUCAAGACCAGAAUACAACUAUAAAAAAUUUAGAGACUCAGAUGGGACAGAUGGCAGUUGCUUUGAUCGGAAGAGCACUAGGUAGUCUAUCGAGUAACAUGAAAUUAAACUUGAAGGAGCAUGCUAAGGCAAUUACAACUCGAACUGGAAAGCAGCUACCAGAAAUCCAUGUAAAAAGGUCGAAUGUAAAUCAAGAAGUAGAAUCUCCAAUGAUAGAAGAACCUAUAGAGCAUGAUGAACAGAUGGAGGAAUCCACCCAACUGAAAAAUCGAGCAACACACAAAGUAAAGCAAACGUUAACCCUCACAAGCCUCCCAUAUCUUUUCCACAUAGGCUAAAAAAGCAGAAGUUAGAGCAGCAAUAAAAGAAAUUUCUUUAAGUUUUUAAGAAACUCCACAUCAACAUCCCACUAACCGAUGCAUUAUUCCAGAUGCCUAGCUAUGCAAAGUUCUUGAAGGACAUACUAUCAAAUAAACGCAAGCUAGGGGAUCAUGAAACAGUAAUGCUAACAGAGGAAUGCAGCGCCAGAAUUCAGAAAAAGCUCCCACCAAAAUUGAAAGAUCCAGGGAGUUUUACUGUUCCUUACACUAUUGGUGAAGUUUAUUUUGAUAAAGCUUUGUGUGAUCUUGGUGCAAGUAUUAAUUUAAUGCCUCUAUUUGUUUUCAGGAAACUUAGCUUAUAAGAGGCUAAGCAACUACUGUAACGCUGUAGCUGGCAGACAGAUUGUUAACAUAUCCCAGGGGAAUAAUUGAAGAUGUGCUUGUCAAGGUGGAAAAAUCCAUAUUCCCUGUGGAUUUCCUAAUCUUAGACAUGGAAGGAGACAAGGAUAUUCCAUUAAUAUUGGGCAGACCAUUUUUGGCAAUAGGAAGAGUCUUGAUCGACGUUCAGCACGGGCAACUGAUAUUGAGACUGGGAGAAGAGCAGAUCUUGUUUAAUGUUUUCAAGGUAAUAAAACUACCUAUAGAGAUAGAUAGCUAUUUUUAGAUCGACGUGAUUGAUAUGGUGAUCCAAGACUCCUUUUUGUUACACAACCCAUCAGAUAUAUAUGAAGCUUACAUUGCACAUUCGCAGUCAACGCACUCUGAUUCAAUGGAGAUGGAAGCUUGUGCAAGGUUUCUGGAUACCAACCCACCUUAUACGUGCAGAAGGCAUUUUAAGGAGCUUGUAACAGGACCUACGAAACCACUACCAUCCAUUCAGCAGCCACCAAAAUUAAAACUCAAGCAGUUACCACCACAUCUCACAUAUGCUUACUUGGGGGGAUCCUGUUCACUCCCUAUGAUCAUUUCAAACACAGUUAGUGAAGUGAAAGAAGAAAAACUACUUAUGGUACUCAGGGAGAAUAAGACAGCGAUUGGAUGAAACAUAGCAGAUAUCAAAGGGAUCAGCCCAUCACUGUGCAUGCAUAAGAUUCUCAUGGAAGAGAAUUUUUGGCCAACCAUAGAAAAUCAGCGAAGGUUAAACCCAAAUAUGAAAGAAGUGGUCAGAGCGGAGGUAAUCAAACUUCUUAAUGCUAGAAUCAUCUAUCCGAUAUUAGACAGUGCAUGAACUAGCCCAGUUCAGGUGGUGCCAAAGAAAGGAGGAAUAAUGGUAGUGCCCAAUGAGAAGAAUGAGUUGAUACCGACCAGAACAGUCACAGGAUGGAGGGUUUGCAUUGAUUACCGCAAACUCAAUGCAGCAACAAGGAAAGAUCACUUUUCCUUUUCAUUUAUGGAUCAAAUGCUUGAGAGAUUGUUAGGCUACUCACAUUACUGCUUCCUUGACGGGUAUUCAGUUUACAAUCAGAUACCAGUGACACCAGAUGAUCAAGAAAAAACUACAAUCACGUGUCCUUACGGUACUUUUGUAUACCGCAGGAUGCCUUUCGGCCUUUCCAACGUCCCUACCACAUUUCAACAUUGUAUGAUGGCGAUUUUAUCAGACAUGGUAGAAAAAUUUAUAGAAAAAUUUAUGGAUGACUUCUCAAUCUUCGGGUUUUCAUUUGACGAGUGUUUGGAACACUUGAAUUUGGUAUUACAAAGAUGCAGGGAACCCAAUUUAGUACUGAACUGGAAAAAAUGUCAUUUCAUGGUACAAGAAGGGAUCGUACUUGGACAUCGGGUCUCAGCAAAAAGGAUUGAGGUAGACAAAGCAAAGAUUCGGGUUAUUGAAAAGUUAUCACCACCAACAUCAGUUAAAGGGGUUCGCAGCUUCUUGGAACAUGCCAGAAUCUACAAGAGAUUCAUAAAGGAUUUUUCAAAAAUCACCAAACCUCUCUGCAACCCGUUAGUGAAAGAUGUGCCCUUUGAAUUUAAUGAGGAAUGUCUAACUGUUUUCAACACUUUGAAGGAGAAACUCACUUCAGCACCAGUAAUUGUAGCAUCUGAUUGGGAGUUACCUUUUAAGUUAAUGUGUGAUGCUAGUGAUCAUGCCGUAGGAGCAGUAUUAGGAGAGCGAAAGAACAAGAUCUUCCAUGUAAUAUAUUACACAAGCUGAACAUUGAAUGAUACCCAGAUCAACUAUGUGACCACUCAGAAAGAACUCUUGGUGGUGGUCUAUGCCUUUGACAAAUUCAAAUCAUAUCUCUUGGGAUCUAAGGUCAUAGUCUACACAGAUCACGCUAUAUUGAAGUAUCUAAUGACAAAGAAGGAUGUUAAGCCAAGAUUAAUCUGUUGUGUAUUAUUGCUGCAAGAAUUUGACAUUGAAAAUAGGGACAAGAAGGGUAGUGAAAAUGUGGUGGUAGAUCACCUAUCGAGAUUAGAACAAGAAGAACCAGAAGCGUUAGUGGAAAUCAAUGAAAUUUUUCCAGACGAGUAGAUGUUCAGUAUAGAAGAAGCCCCAUGGUAUGCAGAUAUCAUCAAUUAUUUAGCUAGGUCAAUCCCACCGCUAGAAUACUCGAGUCACCAAAAGAAGAAGUUCUUUGCCGAGCUAAAAUAUCAUUUUUGGGAAGAUCCUAUUUUUUAUAGGCAAGGGGCUUAUCAAAUUGUGAGAAAGUGUAUACUUGAAGAUGAAGUACCUGAAAUUCUUGAGCAUUGUCAUUCAUCUACCUAUGCAGGGCACCUGGGAGCUUCAAAGACUGCUGCUAAGAUCUUACAAUCAGAAUUCUAUUAGCUUACCUUGUUCAGAGACACCUUUGAGUUUGUUGAAAGGUCUGAUAGAUGUCAACAUGCUGGAAACAUCUCAAGAAAGAAUGAGAUGCACUAAACAGCAUAUUGGAGGUCGAGAUAUUUGACUUAUGGGGAAUCAACUUUAUGGAAUCGUUUUCCCCAUCAUCAACAAAUUAGUAUAUCCUGGUCGCAGUUGAUUAUGUAUCAAAAUGGGUGGAAGUAGUUGCAUUGCCAACAAAUGAUGCGACAGUGGUAAUUGCGUUCUUGAAGAAAUAAAUCUUUACCAGAUAUGGCACACCGUGGGCAAUAAUCAGUGACAGGGGCAAACACUUCUGCAAUCACCAAUUCGACAAUUAUUGAGUAAAUAUGGGGUUAAACACCUUGUAGAAACCCCAUAUCAUCCACAAACCUGCGGCAAGCUGAAGUAUCCAAUCGGCAGCUGAAGAGAAUAUUAGAAGUUACAGUGAAUUUCUCCCGGAAGGACUGGUCUAAAAAGUUGAACGAUGCAUUUGAGCAUAUAGAAUAGCAUUUAAGACACUAAUAGGUAUGUCCCCAUUCCGUCUAGUUUUUGAAAAAGCGUGCCACCUUCUACUGGAAAUAGAACACAUGGCAUAUUAGGCUAUAAAACAGUUGAACAUGGAUUUGAAGGCCGCCGGUUUAAAGCGUUUAUUGCAACUUAAUGAGUUGGAUGAAUUCAAAAUGGAAGCAUAUGAGAACUUGAAGCUUAUCAAAGAACGCACCAAAAAGUGGCAUGAUCUACACAUUCAGAGACGAGAGUUCGAAGUGGGGCAAAAAGUCCUAUUAUAUAACUCAAGGCUCAAGCUAUUCCCUAGAAAAUUAAGAUCAAGGUGGUUGGUCCCUUACACUGUCACUCAAGUUCUGCCAUAUAGAGCUAUACAGGUCAGCCAUGAAAUAAAAGGAAUGUUCACAGUUAAUUGACAAAGGCUAAAACACUACUGGGGUGGGGACUUCUCCAAGCAAAAGUCCACCGUUCAACUCGGAAUGCCUAACUGAAGUAGAAGUGGAAAAGUCGAGCUAUCGACUAUAAACUAGCGCUGGGUGGGAGGCAACCCACUAUAUCCUUUAAUUUAUCUUAUCUUCGUUUGUAGUAACUUAGGAAAUUUUGAUUUCAUGUUUACAUGAUUAGUUAGGUCAUCGAUCAUCCAUGCAUAUUAAUGGAGUCUAAGCACCCUUCACACGAAUCCCACAUCAAUGGGACACAUGUUCGGUAAGCUUGAAGUGGUUUUGGGUGAUUAGGGGUAUAAUUCACAUAUUUCCAGACAAAAGGUCAUUUUCAAAAAAAUUUAAGGGCCGAUGUGUGAUUGAGAGUUCAAAGUUUGGUUGAGGUUGUGUUUUUGGGGGAAAUCAAAUUUUUUACUUUAUUUUGUUUCAUUUUAUUUUAUAUAUACAAAAAAUUUAGUCUAUGCGGUCAUAUAAACUAAGUGUCCAUGUGACCGCAUGUACACUGACUGCAAACAAAAUGAAAAAAAAAAACUUCAAAUCCAUGCGAUCGCAUGGAUUAACACCAUGCAGCCUCAUGGUAUUACCAGUUACGGGUUUUUAACCCGUAACUUGACCAUUCAAUGACCACUCCCUCUCCGUUCAUCUCUCCCGCCCAGCACACCAAAACACACACCUCACUCGAGUCAUAGGGCACGAUUUCUACCCAUAUUCACACAACCAACACGCAAGUUCAUCACAUUAUCAAGAAUUGGAGGGCAACUAAGUCAUCCACAUUAACACCAAGUUCAAGGUACAAUUCUCUAAGCCCUAAAUUUUUACUUAGAAUUGGAGGGCUUAAGUUUUCUUAUUUUCCAACAAUUGGUGAAUAUAGAAUGCUAUGCCAUGUUUGUGCUUAUUGUGUGACAUUGGAUGCCAGUUUAGGAAGCUUUAUAUACCAAAGUAGUGAGAACUUCAAAAUGCUCAUAAUGUGUUUGAUGAAAUGCCUCAGUGAAAAUUUGUGUGCAAUUUGGUGCUUUUUGCGUAAGUAAUGAUUGACAGACCUGGUGACCAACACAUUGUGAUGAAUUUCCACAUCAAUUGAAAUAGAAAACAUCUAUAUCCAUUUUGCAACACAUACGUCACGGCACCUCACGUUACCUAAUUUGGCACAUAAUUUGACACACCAAACGAAAUCCAAUUGAUUUGAAAUUUGAGUAUAUGCUAGACCUCAUUGAAUACUUCCAUAUGCCUAGAGAUUUCCUGGAAAUUUUAAAUAAUUCUCGAUGAUGCCCGAGGUCGAAAGUGAGCACUUAGUCAUGGGCCAAAUUUUGAUAAUGUGCAUGUUUGGGCCUAAUUUUUUGAGUUUUUUCCUAUUGGCAUAAUAUUUCUACUAUCUUGAACAUCAUAUUUGGAAUAAUGCACAUUAACAUGUUACACAUGUAUCUAGGAUUAAGUUUGGGGGAUUCAUGCAUCUAUAAUCAACUUUCGUGUUUUUGACAUGCCUUUUUUAUUGCAUUCUAUGGUUUUGACAUUCGAAGUCUUAUUUUUGCAGGAUACUGCCGAAAAGAACUUCGAAAUGCAAAGAAAAAGUCGGUUCAUCCUCUGGAACUGCGAGAACUAGGGAGCUUGGAGGAAAUUUACAGAGGUUCUUCAGUGCCGAAACCAUUGCCCGGUAUGAGAAUAUCAUACGCCACUGGACAAUGAAACAUGAAAGAGCAUUUAAACUUGAAGAUUUCCCGGGGUUUGAAUUGGUAAAUUUGGUCCAUAUUUGUGGUUGGGAAAAAGUUGUAGAGAGACCUCACCUAGUUUAUGAGAAUCUCGUCCGAGAAUUCUAUGCAAAUUUCAACAGUGAAAUCGAUACCCCAAGUUCAGAGCACAUACAUCAGACAUAGGUGAUAGGGAUAUGGAUUAUGUUUUCUCAGAAAGUUAUCCAUUAUUAUUAUCAGUUGAACAUGGAGAAUGUGGUUCUCAUUCCCACCGAAUUCAACUGGCCUGAAGUAGCUGAGAUUUUAUUGGGAAGGGAAAAUAUAUGGCCCCUAGCGACUGCUGAGUGGCAUCAAAUAGAGCUCACACCAUCCACAACCGUUCUAUAGCUCUUCAUGUGCCACAACAUCGAGCCCACAUCACACAGAACCACACUUCCUAAUCAAAUAGCAGUUCAUUUAUCAUCUGGUUUGAGGUUGCGAAACAGACCUCACCACCCUUAUCUAUAAUCAAAUCUAGACAUUAGGCACUUGACGGGAUCGGCGUACCACUUUGGUCUUUCCCAGCCUCAUCAGCAACAUAUGCCGAGCUGUAGGUGUUACAAUCUUACUAGAAGAGGUACCAGAAAAAUCCAGCCCUUUAAUAAAGCGUACUACAUUUGAGGCUCAGGAGCGAGCUCAGAUAAGACAUGGGGAUGAACAAGAGAGAGAGAGCAAAGAAGACAGCAGCAAGCUGCACAGGGCCAGGGACCCGAUGAUGUUGAGAUGCACCACCACCACCACCACAGAUGGGAGCUAAUACACAGGUACUGCGUCAGAUGUCUAUAACUCUAACAAGAACUAGAUGUGAUAUAGAGGGAAUCCAGCAAGCUCUAGGGGCUUUGAUGACUGACAUGCAGAUAGCCCGGCGUGAUAUCAAUACUACUUAAAACAUGGCACAGUUUGCAUAUCAGGAGGCCUGAUCAGCAAGGAGGGAGAUGGAAACCAUGAACGAGCAUCUGAGUGUAUAUGUGGGAAGAGUGGAUGGAAUACAGAUAAGAGUGAACGACACUUGGGACCGACUGCAUAGCAUGGAGGGCAAAGUUAGAGUACAGAGUAGCAUGAUGAAAGCCAUAUAGGCAGAGCAAGUCCAGCAGUCGGAUCUACUGAGGCAGAUUUUGGCUCAUUUCUUACAUCCACCGGGCAACGACACCAUAGGACCUAGCUACCAGGCACCGCCACCACCACAGUGAUCAAGGUAGUUUUAUUUCACUCAUUUGCUAACUCUAAUUUGGACUUGUCUUCAAAAUAUGCCUUUUGAAACCUUUAUUUUUCACAUUGAGGGCAAUGUAAUGUAUAAGUUUGGUGGGUGGUGGCAUAUUUUGAACGUGAUCCUUUUUAAAAUGCAAUUAUCGGCAUGUAAUGUAAAUUUUUUGAAAUGAUCACAAUCCAUCAAUUCUUUGACACUAGUUGAACAGUGUGUGCUUGACGAGUGACUAUUACAUUAAUAUGCUGUAUUUGGCUCAUUGCAUACCUGUGUGGGUUUGAUAGCCUUGUCGAUAAUUAUGUGAUUAUUGGAAUAGGUAUGUGUUAGGAACUGUGAAUAUAGUCUAGAAUUUAAUUAACCGAUACGUGUUGGGAUAGUACUUGACAUUUCAUAAGCACGCCACUCAUACCAUACAUGUCAGGGAAGUGAUUGGGUUUGAAUAAAGCAUAAGAAACUAGAAAAUCUCGACUAGAUUUAGCCAUAAUGUAGAUCCAUAAACCAAAAUGCAUUAAUGCAUUGUUUGGAGACAGUUUAACAAUUAUAGGGGAACAUUGAGAUAAGUGGGGGUUGCGUGCAUAAAUUACGCUAUGUGGAUUGCCUAGACAGUUGAGAUGAAGACUAGGAGAAAGUCUUAAUUCGGGGGUUGAUUCCAAAGACCAAAUGUCUAGAAAAAUAAUGAAGGGGCAUAAAAAUAGGUUAAAAAAAUAUGACACCUUUCCAAGCUUUUAUGAAUUGAGGAAGUAAGCCCUUAAGGAUAUCUCAAAAUCUGGUGCCCUAAGGCCAAUUGGUUUGGGAGUCACCAGCCCAACGCUCGUUAUAGGAGUCAUGUAGAAAGCAAGAGGGAAAGAGGUCAAUAAAAAGUCAUUCGAUCGAUCCUUUAUAACUCAAGUGAAUAAGCCUGUAAGGGUUUGAAACCUGGUUCCCUAAAGCCAACUGGUUUGGAAGUCAUCGGUCUAAAGCUCGCUAUAGGGGUUAUAUAGAAAGCAAAAGAAAAUAUGGCAACAAAAAAAAAAAUUUAAAAUACAGAGUAACAUAGUAUGGAAAAAGCCCUUGGAUAUUUGGUUGAUAAAAAUCACCCUUCACUUGUUGACCUGCGAACCUGUAAUGGUGGGAUCUGUCCAAACAAAGAGAGAGUAAGGACUACAAUUAAAUAAACCCUUAACCUUAAAACACAACCCCGGGAUAAUUGAGUAAAAAGAAUAAGUUUGGGGGGUUGUGUGUCUCUCGAGCAAGGUAAGGAUAUAUUUGACCAUUCUGGGGAUAGAAUUGAACUAAUCAUGAGCUUGCUAUGUUGGUAUGAGAUCACACACACACGAUGAGUCUUGCAUCCGACAAGUAAAGGUAAAUUCUAUUCUUGCACUAUUGAAACUAUUUCUUAUGUUAAUUAUUGAAUUCCAAUCCUAAGAUAUGGCAAGUUAUUGAACCAUGAUUGUUGAGAUUUAAGUCACCAUUUUGUUUGAGGACAAACAACAAUUUAAGUUUGGGAGAUUUGAUAAGUGCAUUUUUAUGGACUUAUAUAACUCACAAACAUAACCAAAAUAUGAGCAAAGAGUACGAAAUGUGACCUAAAUUUGCUUGAUUCUUGGAUUGUAGGGUUUUCUGAUGGACUUGAUCGAACUCAUGAGAAAAAGAAGCAAAAAGGACCAAAAUGAAUCAAAGUGAUAGUUCAAGGACCAAAGUACAAAUAUCCAAAAGAUGAGCCAAAGGAGAAAUCGAAAAAUUGAGAGUGCCAAGCACCAAUUGGAGGUCAAAUGAGUAGAUGGAACAAAAGAGUCGAAAAAAGAGGUCAAGAAACAAGAAGACUGAAUUUGGGGACUAAAAUGACACAAAGUGUAGAACCCCAAAUAAUUCUAGACACCUUAGUGGCACUAAGACAUGAAUAUUGGAUGACUAAAGUAUACUUCAAAUUUUUAGUCUCAUUUAAGACCCAUUUUUGACAUAGAAAACAUUCGAUUUGGAAAAUGAUAACUAAAUAAAAGUUGUAGCUCUUUGAGUUAACUUACUAACGCACUUUGUAUUACCUCAAUCGGAUAUUGGGAGAAGAAGUUAUGAUAAAAUUACUGAAAGCUGUGCAGUGUCAACCGGACUACAACCGGUCGACCGAAACUGCCUGAAAUGAAAAUUCUCAUUUUUCUCUAGAAUUUAAAUAUUUAUUUUCAUCAAUUAUUUCCUCAAAGGGCCACCCACGUUUUUGACAAUAAAAAUCCCACUAAAUUGAAGCAUUUAACCUCAAACUUAAAUGGCACCCAUGUUUUCUCUCUUAAAUGAAAUUUGACCCUUCAUUUGCUUUAAGUUAUGGGAUAUUUACCUAUAAAUAGAGACCUCAUUUCACUCAUUUUUUCUCACACCGAAAGCAAGAGUUUUUACAUACUAAAGAAAUAAUUUCCAAGAGAGAAAAAGAGAGGGAGGAAAACUAUUUUUCCUAGAAGUUCAAGAAUUAUUUUCAAGCAUCAAUUCUCAAUGAUUUUCAAAAAUUCAAGGAGUGCAUUUCUUUCAACAUCCAAGUUUCAUCGAAGUUUUCAAUCUAAGUUUUCAAAAUUUCAAAAGUAUCAAUCAAGGUAGGUAGAGGUGCAAUGUGUUUAAUCGUGUUAAGUUAUAAAUUUCGAUUCAUGUUAAUGUUUGUGUGUCAAAUGGUACUCCGGUACGGCAUAUCCCUCUAUGUUAAUGGUUGUAUGUCAAAUGGUAAUCCGGUAUGGCAUACCCCUCUAUAUUGAAGAAAUGUUCGUAUGUCAAAUGGUGCCCUCGCGUACGGCAUACCCCUUCAUGUCAAAUGGUGCCUCUAGGUACGGCAUGUAUGAAAAGCUAUAAAGUUAAUGUUUUGAACUGUAUAGCUUGAUCACGAAUGCACCUAUGACACCUAUUGAGUUUUUCAACUCACGGGUUUAACCCCAUCUCUACAGAUUGAAGAAAUUCUAUCUCGAGCAUGGAUGGAGGAGAAGAUGGAGAGUGAUGCAACGAGCCCAUGGAAAUCCGGUGAAUAAGUGAUUUGGAUUUAUUUUUGUGAAAUGUUUUCCAAUGUUAUUUCUUUAAAGUUUUGAAUAACGCAGAAUGUGAGAACAAGUUAUGUUUUCUUCAAAUAAAUUACAUUUUGUUGUUUUGAAAAAUGAUUCAGUGUUUUUGUUUAAAGUAUUUGAAGUAUUGUUAUUUAAAUUAUUAUCCAAAGAUGUAAGCUUCUGCUAAAACGUAUAGACUUGUUACUAAACCACCUGUUAAGCUAAGUAAAGUAAGUAGCGUUCCGGUCAACUAGGUGUCGAGGCGUUACAGCGUGGUAUCAGAGUAAGGUUUAGCCGGUUCUGUAGACCAAGUAUGUUUUUUUUUUAAACAAAAGGAAAAUGAAAAGUUUAAGGUAUUCCAUGACAUCGUGCAUCCAUCCAUCAAUCUCAUCCUAUGGCCCAGGUAUGUUCAUGUUUAAAGUUAAUGAUUAUGUUUAUGUUAUGAUGCUUUAAUAUAAUUUAGAGAUGUGUUAUUUAAAGAUAUGUAAUGGACUUGGGCAAAAGCUAAGGGCUGAAAGGGAAUUGCACGAUAUGAAAGUUUAAAUAUUUGCAUUUUUUUAAGCAAAGAAAAAGUAUGAUGUAUGUAAAAACGCAACAGAUAUGGCUCGUAGAACGGCUAGGGCAUAUAGAGAAGCAUUGAGUCAUAGAAUUGCUAUUCAUUCCUAUGAAAACUAUGUAACUAAUCUGACCCGACCGCUUAGAGAACAUGUGUAUGACAUCUAUAAGAGAUGCAUGACGACGGUUAAUGCUGGAAUGGAGAUCACGCAUAUUGAGGCCAUAAAUAACCUCUUACACUCCCUCCCACCUCAAUGGGGAGAUUUAGGAGUCACGGUUAGAGAUGAAAUGUUAGAAGGCAACCCAAACCUGUUCGAGUUUGAGAGGCAUUGCCAUGCCCUGAUUGAUUUGUGGGAUGAUGUAAUCCAUGAGGAGCCUGAGGAGGAACCUUUGGCUAAGGAAGAAGAUCCCAAAGAAGAACUCGAGGAUGAUUUAAAGAAUGAUCCUAAGCCUGAGCCACAGGUUGAGAUGGACAUAGAGUCCGGACCUGAGGCGGAAGACUCCUCCGAAGAUGAAGCUCCACCAAAGAAGAUCCGUAGAACUUAUUGGGAUUAGAUUUAAAUCCUUGUAAUAGCUUCCCUUAUGUCAAGAAAUAAAAUACUAUCUUCUUUGCUUUAGUAUUCAAAGAAUGAAACUAAUAAGAACCAUAUGCUUUGUCUAAAGGAAAUGACCCGCGCAAACCAAAACUUGAUAUGAGACCUCCUCCGAGCGGUUCAAGACUUAGGCAGGCAAAACCUGAACCAAGCUCAACCCCUACCACUAGCUCCUAAUGUUCUAAACCAUGCUUCAAUGGUCGAUCAAUUUCGAAGGCACAAGCCCCCUACCUUCAACGGAGCAGCUGAUCCACGUGCAGUCGAGGAGUGGCUUCGCAAGUUGGAGCGUAUAUUCCGAUUGAUAGGGUGCACAGACGCUUAGAAAGUCCAGUGUGCUGAGUUCAUGUUCUCCGGUGAUGCAAGUCACUGGUGGGACUCAAUGUCAAGGACAAGGACCCCUGAGCAACAAGCAGAAUUGACUUGGGAGCAAUUCAAAGGGGAAGUAAUGGAAAAGUACUUUCCCCAGUCCUUGAGGGAUCAUAAAGAAAGUGAAUUCCUCCAACUCAAGCAAAAGACUAUGUCCCUGACUGAGUAUGAGAGGAAGUUUGAUCAACUUUCAAGGUAUGUUCCACAUCUGGUGGAUACGAAGGAUAAGAAGGUAUGAAAGUUUGAACAAGGGCUGAACUCGGAUAUAAGCAUGAUACUUAUGUCCCAUCGCUUCACCACAUAUCGUGAAAUGCUGGAAAGAGCUCAUGCUAUUUGGUACCAGAAGACUAGCGUCGAACAACAUGGUCAACUGUUCAAUCAACCGGACAAUGGUAACAUGGGAAAAAGGAAAUGGAAUGGCCAGGACAAGGGAAAAGGCAAGUGGCAGAACAAGAAAGCUAAUGGUGGAGCCAAUGCCAGCAAAAGCAUUGUGCUGGUUAUUGCGCCCUGUUCUAAGUGUGGAAGGACACAUUGUGGUGAGUGCUUAUAAGGAAAAAUGUCUGUUUUCGAUGUGGCAAGUCAGGACAUAUCAUUAGGGAUUGUCCCACACAUUCCCAGAAGAAGGAUGAUAACAGCGACCAAACCAAAAAGGGAAAGCACGAGUUUUUGCAUUGACUUAACAGAAUGCAGAAGAAAACUCUAAUGUCAUAGCAGGUACUCUACUUAUAGCCAAUACACCUGCUUGUGUACUGUUUGAUUCAGGAGCUACACACUCCUUUGCUUCAAUAACUUUUAUGGCUAAAUCUAGUAUUACCUGUGAUAAGUCGAAAGGUACAUUAGAAGUUAGUAUUCCUUUGGAUAACCCUUCGAAUACUGAUAGAAUAGCCAAGUCAGUAAGUAUCAAAGUUGAGGGAAAACCAAUGGAAGCGAACCUAUACAAGACAGAAAUGAGGAUUUUGAUGUAAUACUAGGCAUGAAUUUGUUAGGUUGUAAUUACGCCACCAUUCGACGUAAGGAAAUGGAAGUAUCAUUUCAAAAACCAGGAGAUGAAUCAUUUUCGUUCCUUGGAAUGAAGACGAAACCCCUUAUUUAACUAGUAUCAGACUUACAAGCUGAGAAGAUGUUGAGAAAAGAAACAUGUCAAGGAUAUCUAGUAAGUAUCUCAGGAGGGAAACAAGAGAUGAUAAGGGUUGAAGAUGUACCAGUAGUACGGGAAUUCGUAGAUGUGUUUUCAGAAGAUCUAUCUGGUAUUCCACCUGAUAGACAAGUGAAAUUCACCAUAGACUUAAUUCUCGGGGCGGCACCAACAUCUAAGGUCCUAUACCGAAUGGCCCCAAAGGAACUACAAGAAUUAAAGAAGCAGUUGCAAGAACUCCUAGAUAUGGGCUUCAUAUGACCAAGCGUAUCUCCAUGGGGUGCGUCGGUGUUGUUUAUAAAGAAGAAAGAUGGAAGCAUAAGGAUGUGCAUCGAUUAUAGGGAGAUAAAUCGAUUGACCAUCAAGAAUAAGUACCCACUCCCGAGGAUCAAGGAUCUGUUAGAUCAACUGAAAGGAGCUAAGGUAUUUUCCAAGAUCGACUUACGAUCGGGAUACCAUCAACUGAAAGUAGAGAAAAAGGAUAUACUAAGACAGCUUUAGGAACUCGAUAUGGACACUACGAGUUUGCGGUGAUGCCGUUUGGGCUAACCAAUGCACCUAUAGUGUUCAUGGACCUGAUGAAUCGAGUGUUUCAUCAAUACUUGGAUAAGUUUGUCAUAGUCUUCAUCGAUGACAUUCUGAUAUAUUCCAAGAGUAAGGAGCAACAUGAAGAGCACUUGAGAAUAGUCUUAGAGGUAUUACGCAAGGAGAAGCUGUAUGCUAAAUUCAAGAAGUGCAAGUUUUGGCUUGAACAAGUUGGAUUUCUUGGACAUGUAGUUACUGCCCAAGGGAUUGAAGUAGAUCCAGCAAAAGUAGAAGCAGUAACCAACUGGAAAGCACCAACAAAUGCUGGCGAGGUACGGAGUUUUCUAAGAUUGGCUGGAUAUUAUAGGAGAUUCAUAGAAAGAUUCUCCAAAAUAGCUGGACCAAUGACGUAGCUUACAAGGAAGGGAGUAAAAUUCCAAUGGACGGAAAAAUGCAAACAAAGUUUCCAAGAACUUAAGCAAAAGUUGAUAUCAGCACCUGUAUUAACAAUACCUGAAGGUACGAAAGGAUUUGUUAUAUACAGCAACGCAUCCAAGCGAGGAUUGAGAUGUGUACUAAUGCAGAAUGGAAAAGUGAUAGCCUAUGCUUCAAGACAAUUGAAGAAACAUGAACAGAACUACCCGACGCAUGAUUUAAAACUUGCAGCGAUAGUACACGCUUUGAAGAUAUGGCGACACUACUUGUAUGGACUAUCACACAAAUCACAAAAGUCUCAAGUAUUUCUUCACACAGAAGGAAUUGAAUAUGCGACAAAGACGAUGGUUGGAAAUGGUGAACGAUUACGAUUGCACUAUUCACUACCAUCCGGGUAAGGCUAAUGUUGUGGCCGACGCUCUAAGUAGAAAAUCAAUGGGAAAAUUGAUGUCACUACCCACCUCUCAAGUGGAGUUAGUCAAGAACUUGGAAAAGUUGUAGAUCGAAGUGGUUACCACACCAGGACAAGUCACUGCUCGUCUAGCAACUUUAAUAAUUUGACCUACUCUUAGAGAUCGAAUUAUAGAAGUACAAAAUAAAGACUCAUUUUUGCAGGAGAUUAAGAAUGAAGUUGGUACCGAUAAGAAAAAGGACUUUGGAAUAACUAACGAUCAGGCACUAAUAUUUAGAGGAAGAAUUUGUGUGCCUAAGGAUGAAGCCUUGAGAAACGAGCUAUUAAAAGAAGCUCAUUCCACCCCGUACACCGCACAUCCCGGUGGUACGAAAAUGUAUCGAGAUCUUUGAGAUACAUUUUGGUGGAGAAAUAUAAAAAGAAGUAUAGGGUUGUACGUGCAGAAGUGCAUGGUAUGUCAAUAGGUUAAGGCAGAACACCAAAAACCAGCUGGAUUGUUAAAUCCACUAGAUAUACCUGAAUGGAAAUGGGAAAAUAUCACGAUGGACUUUGUGGUUGGAUUCUCGAAGUCAGCAAUAGGAAAUAAUGCUAUAUGGGUAGUAGUGGAUCGACUAACGAAGUCAGUCAUUUUCUUCCAGUGAAAAUGACAUUUAGUUUAGACCAAUUGGCACAGUUGUACAUUAAAGAGGUUGUGAGAUUACACGGUGUACCUGUAUCCAUUGUGUCUGACAGAGACCCAAGGUUCAUGUCCAAAUUUUGGAAAAGUUUACAAGGAGCUAUGGGAACGAAGCUGAACUUUAGUACAGCUUAUCACCCUCAGUCCGAUAGUCAGUUUGAAAAGACCAUCUAAACUUUGGAAGACAUGCUGAGAACAUGUGUCUUGGAUCUAGGAAGUAAUUGGGAGUCAUACUUACCUCUAGUAGAGUUUGGUUAUAAUAACAGUUUCUAAGCAACUAUUGGAAUGGCACCAUAUAAAGCUCUCUAUGGUAGAAGAUGUAGAUCCCCUGUUCAUUGGGACGAAGUCAGAGAGAGGAGAGUUUUAGGACCAAAAAUAGUUGAAAGGACGGUUGAGGUAAUCAAUAAGAUCCGUGCAAAAAUAAAGGCAGUACAGGAUCGACAAAAGAGCUAUGCAGAUAUAAGGAGGAAUGAUUUAGAAUUCUAAGUUGGGGAUAAAGUGUUUCUGAAAGUAGCACCGAUGAAAUGUGUACUUAGAUUUGGAAAGAAAGACGAGCUACGACCCCGGUAUAUCGGACCUUUUGAGAUACUUGAUAGAGUCGGAAAUGCGGCUUACCGACUAGCUUUGCCACCUGAAUUAUCGACAGUGCACAAUGUGUUUCAUAUAUCGAUGAUAAAGAAGUAUGUACAUGAUCCUAAUCAUGUAAUGAGUUAUCAAACCCUGGGGGUACAGAAAAAUUUGUUGUACGAGGAACUACCGAUCAAGAUAUUGGAUCAACAAGUGCAUAAACUAAGGAAUAAAGAGAUUCAGCUGGUUAAGAUACAGUGGAAUCAUCACGGCGUAAAAGAAGCCACUUGGGAAAAAGAAGAAGAAACCAAAGACAAGUAUCCAACGCUAUUCGCCCAAUCAGAAGGUAAAUUUCGAAGACGAAAUUUUAAUUAAAGUGUGGGGGAGUAGAACCCCAAAUAAUUCUAGGCACCUUAGUGGCACUAAGACAUGAAUAUUGGAUGACUAAAACAUAUUUCAGAUUUUUAGUCUCAUUUAAGACCCAUUUUUGACAUAGGAAACAUUCGAUUUGGAAAAUGAUAUCUGAAUAAAAGUUGUAGCUCUUUGAGUUAACUAACGCACUUUGAAUUACCUUAAUCGGAUAUUGGGAGAAGAAGUUAUGAUAAAAUUACUGAAAGCUGUGCAGUGUCAACCGGACUACAACCGGUCGACCGAAACUGCCUGAAAUGAAAAUUCUCGUUUUUCUCUAGAAUUUAAAUAUUUGUUUUCAUCAAUUAUUUUCUCAAAGGGCCACCCACGUUUUUGGCAAUAAAACCCCCCACUAAAUUGAAGCAUUUAACCUCAAACUUAAAUGGCACCCAUGUUUUCUCUCUUAAAUGAAAUUUGACCCUUCAUUUGCUUUAAGUUAUGGGAUAUUUACCUAUAAAUAGAGACCUCAUUUCAUUCAUUUUUUCUCACACCAAAAGAAAAAGUUUUUACAUACUAAAGAAAGAGUUUCCAAGAGAUAAAAAGAGAGGGAGGAAAACUAUUUUUCCUAGAAGUUUAAGAAGUGUUUUCAAGCAUCAAUUCUCAACGAUUUUCAAAUAUCCAAGGAGUACAUUUCUUUCAACGUCCAAGUUUCAUCGAAGUUUUCAAUCCAAGUUUUCAAAGUUUCAAAAGCAACUUUUUCAACUCACGGGUUUAACUCCAUCUCUACAGAUUGAAGAAAUUCUACCUCGGGCAUGGAUGGAGUAGAAGAUGGAGAGUGAUGCAACGAGCCUAUGGAAAUCUGGUGAAUAAGUGAUUUGAAUUUAUUUUUAUGAAAUGUUUUUCAAUGUUAUUUCUUUAAAGUUUUGAAUAACGCAGAAUGCGAGAACAAGUUAUGUUUUCUUCAAAUAAAUUAUAUUUUGUUGUUUUGAAAAAUGAUUCAGUGUUUUUGUUUGAAAUAUUGUUAUUUAAAUUAUUAUUCGAAGAUGUAAGCUUCCGCUAAAACGUAUACACUUGUUACUAAACCACAGGUUAAGCUAAGUAAAGUAAGUAGCGUUCCGGUCCACUAGGGGUGGGGGCGUUACACAAAGUGAAAGGUUUAACACCAUGCGACCAUACAACCCCCAUCAGAAACUCAAACCAAAGAAAUAGAUCAAACACCAUGCGAUUAAUUUCUUUCACGAUUCUACAGUUUCCUUUUUGCAUUAUAAUUCUUUUGGAACUUGAUUGGGACGCAAUAUAAAACCCUAGAACCGUCAUAUUUUGGAGAAGAACACAUUGGGAGACAAGAAACCACAUCUUGGAGAGGACUUUAAGUGGAAUUAACGAGGAUUUACAUGAAGAUCAUCAAGAUUUCAAGCAAUUUCAUAACCCGGUGACGUUUUUUCUUCAAUUUAUCAUGUAUUCAGUAAUUUUCUCCAUGAUAAGCUAGAUUUUUCAUGCACUAGGAGAUCGAUGUACCAUAUAAUGUGAUUUCUCUAAUUUCUAAUUUUCAAUUUGACAAUAAACACGUAUUGAAUAUUUGAAUGAUUUAUAUACAAUAAUUUUCGUCCAUAGUUAAGUGCACGUAAUUAUGUGAUGUUUGGUGGUUUAUUUAAUCUGUUUGAGAGAAGAGAAAUAAAUGAGAUACAGUAUAAAUCAUCGUAGGGUCCAAUAGGGGGUAGAGAUAUACCCCUAUACUUCGCGUGAAUCUUUAGAUAUUUAUAAAAUCACAUGCAUUCUUAUAUAUGCAUUUGUCAUAGAGAUAUAGGCCGGUGGUGUAUAAGAAUAGGUCCAAUAUAUCUCGAAAGAGAGUAUUGAAUAGAUUUAGGAUCAUUGAUUUGUCAAUAAUGUUGUCAUUGUGUGAAAUUAGGGUUAAGAUUGAUCAUUGCAUAGGAAUUCGUGAUCCUAGUGCUUUUAAUUUUCAUUGAAUACAACCAAUUCACGUUCUAAACACAUAAUUUGCAUUUUAAUUCAUUAAAAUAUCAUUUUGCAUACUGAGUUCAUUCCAAUCUUCAAGUUUGCAUAAUUAGGAUUUUCCUAAAUUAGAGUUUUUCUAAGAAUAAAUUCUUGUUUUGAUAAAUUUGUUUCGGUUAAGGCUAAAAUAGUUAGAAUUGAAAUGCUCAAUCUCUGUGGGAUGAUGCUCGGAACUUAGCAUUCCACUUUAUUACUUGUUAACGAAUCGUACACUUGUGGUGAAUUAAAUCGAAAGAAAAUAUUUCGUGAACACACAGCUCUAAAAGUCCUGCAAUAUGAAGAAAAGAGACCAUACGAUAUACCCUCAAAAUAAUCCAUCAAGCUACCAUGUGGAUCUUCUUAUGCUUCACAUCAUUCCUUUCGGUCCAUAAAAACCAAAAUAUUAGUAGAGGAAUGAUAGUGCGAAUGCGUACACAGCGAAUGUACUGUCUAUAAUAUCUCCAUCUCUAGAACCUCUAUCUAACUCCCUCUUCUAAUCUCAUAGGUAUUUAUAAAAUGUCUUCAAAGUGUUGCCAUACCAGAUCAGAGAUGCUAGUGCCUAUGAAAAUAUGAUUGAUGGUCUCAAUCUCAAAGCAAUACUAACAUCGAGAAGCCAACUGGUACUUAAUCUUCCUCUAAAUGACUAUAUCUACUAGAAUGAGAUCCUACUAUAAUCUUAAAUAGAAAAAUGAAAUAGAAGUAGGGAAAAUGGAACUCCACAGUAAUCGAUACGAGCCCUGAGAUUGGUGAACCGAAUAGAUUAAUUACCAUGCUGAGUUGGUAGAAAAGCUAUCAUCUAAUGUAAUCCUUCAAAAAAUAUGGUCCGGGGCAUCUACACAUAAAGGUAUCGUCCAUAUUUGCCCUGUCAUGUAAGGAUGAAGAGCCUGUAAUAAUAAUCCAAAAUCCCACCUAGUGUCAUCAAAAAAUUUCUAUACCCUUGCAGAUGUGUAUUGCCUAUUUGGGAAUAAGGAUGCCAGUGUAGUAUCACGAUCCAGCAAUCAUGCUAGAAGAACGUUUGUCCAGUACCAACUCCUCCAGUGUAAUCGGCAUACCUGUUCUUUAGAAUCCCAUAGGAACCAUGUAAAGAUGCUCUCCAACUUUUUCAGUAUAGCCUUAGAAGGCCAUAUAAUUUGGAAAAGAUAAAGUGGUAGAGAGGAUAGUACUAAUCUUAAUAGAGUAAUUUAACCCCCACGUGAUAGUAGUCGAGAAGCCUAGCCUGAUAUCUUGCUCUUGACUUUCAUGAUGAGGUCAUCAUAAAAAAAAAAAAAAACUUUUCUUGGCCCCCUUAAACAAGGGGACUUCCAAAUAAGUAAACGACUGCUGCUAAUAAGUAAACCCAAUUAAGGAUACAAGUCUCCUCAUCCAAAUAUCUUAUGCCCGUCUAGGUAGUAUAAGACCGCUUUGUCUUUAUUCACCAACUAGCCAAAAACCCUUUCGCAAUGAUCCAGACGAUUAAGAACCUUCUGAUAGACUGUUUCCAGCCAUUAGCAAAUAUGAUCAUGUCAUCAGCAAAAGAAAGGUGUGAGACAUGAGUGUUGCCUCCAUGCCAAUAUCGUAUAUUGGAGUAGGCCUGAAACCUCUGAGUGAGAAGCGAGAUAAAUAAUCUACAGCAAUAAUGAAUAAGGAAGGUGAGAUGGGAUCACCUUGUCCGAGCCCAUGUAAGGAUGGAAAGAAACCAUAGGGAGGGCAUAGUCAAAAGGAAAGUCAAAAUUUGAAGAUUAAAAUGUAUAAGAUUAAAGUUGAGGGACUUGAUAUGCAAUUAGAGAGGACAAAACUCGCAAAGAAACUACAGCAAGGUACCACGGCCAUAACUUACAAAUCAGUUCAAUCACACGACUUGGCAAAUGUUUGGGCAGUAGCCUCAACCCAUUGUCUACGUGGCUACACUAGGGUUGUUGGUUCGGCUACGCCGGCCAUUUCGAGACAAAAAAAAAGUUUGGUUCAUGUUUAAAAUUUCAAUUCAAUUUUGGGGGCUUUUUGUUAUUUUUUAGGGCUCGUUUUUGGGUCAAAUAUAUACUAAAAUUUUUAGCACUAAGUCCAUUACUCUUCAUCCCUCUCUUGAUUCUUCUUCAUUUUCUUUUCAUUUUUGGGAGAAAAAGACCUAAACAAGGACACAAAAAAGGAAAUAACUCAAAGGAAGUAGAGAAAAUUUGAGAAAAUCAAGAUCAAUACAUAUCAUUGCUUCAAUAAUCCAACCAAAAAGGGGUUUAUCUUUAAUCUUGUAUUUUACCAUUAUUUUCCCCUAUUUGUAAUGUAUUCUAUGAAUCUUCUCCUUUUUUUAUCAUUUAUAUAUAUAAUGAACUAGUUCUUGAUGUUGGGAUUUAUGAUGUAGCUUAACCUAACAUUAUUUAUUUUAAUACUUGCUCUUUAAUGUUAAGUUAUUUAUUUUUGUUUGUGUUUAUUAUUGUGUUGUUGCUCUUCAUUUAUUUGGCCAAUAAAUGUAUGUGUUUAGUGAUUGCUCUUCUUUUAAUGUGGUUUGGUUAUAAUCCACAUAGAGUUAUAAUAGGUUAAACCAAUUCAUUAAGGAUAAUUUCAUUCAAGAUAGGUAAUUAACUAAAAUCGGAAAAUCGAGUCUAACAUUCUAAAUGAGUAAUUUGUUAAUUUUCUUGUGAAGAAAUCAUUUUAGUGAAGGUUAAGCGAAAUCAUGAAUCCCAACUAGUUUAUCUUAAAAAUUUCCUCCAUUAUUGGAAUUCUUAUUUUUGUAAAGUUUCUAGAUAUUUUUCUUGUAUGCAAGAAUUAAAAAUUAUUUUGUGUGUUUUGUUGUUAAAAUUAAAAUGACUUGAGUAAUGUAAUUAAAAAUAAACAAACCUCGAGGAAUCGACUUUGACUCACAAGUCUACUUUAUUACUUGACUGCAACCUGCACACUUGCGUUACGUAAUUUUAGCGGGCAAAUUUCUAAUGUUGUUGUCGGGAAAUGCAUUUACUUUGAUUACGAGUUUAGCUAAUUUUAUUUUUAACAAUUUUUUUUUAUUAUUUGCUUUUAUUUUUUUACCUCUUGGCUAACCCCCACAAUUUUAAUCUUUCCUUUAUUUGGUAAUCUUUCCAUAUACUUUUUUGCUAUAUUUUCAUGAUUCUAAUCGUGGUAAAGUAGAAAAUAAAAAUUAUGCAAUGACUAAUCUCUAUAUGGAUUAUGGAUAUAGCUUGGUGGAGAUCCAAGAUGUGAAAUUUGUUGCGGGAUGCAUUGCCUUGAACAAUGUUCAUAUUUGUGCACUGUUGUAUUCAAGUCAAAACUUCUUUGGUUUAGACAAUACUCUAGGUGUCGAAAGCAAGUAGUUGAUAAUUCUGAUGAGAGAUAUAUGCUUGUGAAAGAUUGUGUACCUGGAGAUUAAAACAAGGACAUCAAGCUUGUGAAGAUGGUCAUCUCCUAUUGAAUGAGAAGGUAUUUGCAAAAUAUUAUCAUGAACUUGCUAAGUUGGAUGAAGAUAAUAUGCUUAUGGGAGAUUUCAUGUAUUGGGAUGAAUUUCAAAAGUAAGGGCAUAAUCCACUUGAACGAGCUUAUAGGAAAGACUUGCCAUUCCCUUAGAAUUCGAUUGUGGAUUAGUCAUUCAGUUUGAUUAGAUAUCAACUAUUGACGAAAGAUCAUAGAGAAUGAUAGAUUAAUCACAAAUAAAUUGAACGAAAAUGUGGCAAUUAAUGAGGAUUCAUCUUCCGACUUCAUUGAUUGUCCAAAAAUCAAUUUUGUGAUUAAGUUUGAUGAGAAGAUAGAAAUCUACAUAGUUGAAGUUGAAUCGGAUGGAAUAGACAAAUCAUCUUAUAUUGAAAGAAAAAAUAUUGAGUUUUGGAGAACAAAUGAAGAGUGGAGCAAAGCCAAAAAUAGAAAGAUGUGCAAGGUAUCUAAAGCCUUCUUUAGAUUCCCAUGAUGUAAAUUUCCAAAGUCGCCCUAAAAACUAUAAAGCAAAAAAAAAAAAAAAAAAAAAAAAAAAAAAAAAAAAAGAAGAAGAAGAAGAACCUAUUAUUAGGAAGCAACCAAAUCUUCUUACACUUAAUCUUUUUAUGUUUUCAUUUUUGUCAUUAAAUAUAAUUUUUGUAGUUAUAUAAUUUUUUUGAGGUCCUAGGUUGAUCUUGGUUCUCAACAAGCUUGAUGUUCAUUUUGACUCUGUUGGUUACACUUAGCAACUUUUGAUUUUAAACCAUUUAAUUUACUUCUUUCUUGUGAUUUUGAAGGACACCACAACUCAUUCCAUGAGAUGCUUGUUGAAGGAUAUGAUUUGAAAUCAAGUUGAGGAUUGAUCACAAGUUUGUGGGUGAAUUAUAUCUGAACUAUUAAAGAGCAUCACAAGUCCAAGCCGAGCAUGGCACCUCCUCACCAAAUGUUCAAUCGGGAAAGCUUCGUUAACCUCUCUUCUCUUUUUAUCUUGUUCUUUUGCACAUUGAGGGUUUUGUGUGAUUUAAAAUUUGUGGAUGAUUGUGCUUAUUUAUUUUGAGCUUAUUCUAUGUGCAUGUUAGAUAGCCUUGUCGACUAAGGAUGUUUUAAUGUUUAAAAUUGUUAUUGAUUCAUGAGAUAUGACCAAGUAUGCUAUUUGUGCCUAGAAAAAAAAAUUGCUUAACCAUAUGAGAUCAUAAGUUACUUUGAGCACAAUAGUCAAUAUCAUGAUUAUGUGGAAAUUAUUAAUUGAGGAGAGAAUUUUGAAUUGGUAGAACUAGGUCGUGAAUUUUAAAUUUUAUGAAGAAUUCUUUUUUAUCAAUCUACUUUUUUAAUAAUUAUAAGAUAGGUAAUGACCAUGUACUAGAGAUCUAACCUUCAUGUAUUUUUGUUGUGCUUGAAAAAGGACAUUGCACUUGUUAAAUCUUAUGCCUCACUCUAUAGCCUUUUUACUUGAGUUAUUAAAUCAAUAGGGUAUCUCGAAAUCUAGUACCCUUUGGUCUAAAAAAUCGAUGAAUUAUCAAUCUAAAGAUCAUUACAAUGGUCAAGAAGAAAGCUUAAAUGAGCUUUAAUUGAAAAAAGAAAUCAAUAUUGUGCAAUUGUACUUCAUUUUUGGGCUUAGAUAACUAGUGGUCUAAAUUACUCAGUAUAAGCUUAAAUGUCGAAUCACUCAAUUAGUGGAAUAUUAACACUUGAUUAGAUGUUGGGAUUGCCGAUCAGACCCAAUCGAAUUAAGUGAGAAAAAGAAAAGAGCGAUUUGAGAACAACCUUUAGAUUUACACCUUGAGAAGAAAUAAACAUCUAUUUGGGGGUUACAAAUAUCACUAGUGGGAAAGAAAAUAUAUGACCACAAAGUGUCGGGUUGGCACCAAUUUGAAAAUUCUUUUCCUUCUUUACAGCUUUUUAAUAAUUUAUAUAAUGAUUGAGAGUGACUAUGCAUACGCACACUAAUCAAAUAUUGGAUAAGCUUGAAUUAUUUUUGGUAGCAUAAUUUGGAAACAUAUUUGUGAAUUGAUUACACAAUUUUACACUCAUGGAGUUAUUGUGGUAAGCUUUCAAAUAUUGUUGAUCAUUAACAAGUGUUGCUUGAUUAUGCCAGUAAAUAAUCUUGUUUGGGGCGAGGAAGAACUUAAGUUUCGAGGCGUUUCAUAAGUGUAUUUUUACACACUUAUUUGAUACUUAAAAUAAGCUUAUUAUUGAUUAAAGGAGUGGUUGCUUCUCACAAUUGUGUAAGUGUGGCUUUUAUAGGCUAAAACUCCAAAGUGAAGAAGAUGAAUGUAAAAGGAAAGGAAAAAUGACUAAAAACGUACAAAAAUGUGAACUCGGGGACCAAAUUGUACUAGCUCAAAGUUUCUACCCAUUUUUGCAAUUCCAGUUCCAUUUUGGGUACUUUUUGGGCUUGCUUUUAGGUCAAAUAUAUACCAAAAUUGGCCACUUAGCCCCUUAUUCUUCAUCCCUCACUUAAUUCUUCUUCACUUUCAUUUCAUUUUUGAGAGAAACGACCUAAGAACAAGGGCGAAAGUGAGGAGAAAAACUUGAAGUGGAGAAAUUUUGAGAAAUGAAAGAUCAAUCCAUAUCAUUGUUUAAAGAAUCUAACCAAAAAAAGGUUUCAUCUUUAAUUUUGUAAUUCAUUCAUUAUUUUCUCUUAUUUGUAAUAUAUUGCUCUGAAUCUUCUCCUUCUUUUUUUAUUAAUUAUAAAAAAAAUGAGCUAGUUCUUGAUGUUGUGAAAUAAUGGAAGUCAAACGAGAGCUGAAUACGUAGCUUAUGUGUAUGCGUACACACCAUUACAUAAAAAUUUCAUUGUACAACAAUCAUUGAUCUUGAUUUUGAUAUAGUGAAUCCUCCUCUUCCGUCUGUGAUUUUUUCCAUCUUGAAUUUUCAUGUAAAAUCUUGACGUUCUUGUUUGUGAUUGAUUUAUUUCAUUUUGCAAUUAUCUUGUUUCAUUCAUAAAAAAAUAUGAGUCAAAAUCAACAAUUAAUUUUAAUCACACAUUUUAUGAAACCUACUACUUUUAUUAACUCUUACACCACACAUUUUUAUACAUAUAUAAACUUAAUUUAGUUCUUGUUUGAUUUUGCUAAUAAUUAGGUUUUUUAGUAGAAUUGUUACGAUACUGAGAUCAAGAGUCACGUAUGAAAAUUAUAUGUUUUUACCUUAAAAUUAAGAAAAAGAAAACAUGUUUGGCUCAGUAUUUAGCUCAGUUCAAGGGGCAUGUGUACCUAAGUUUAAAAAAUUUUAAAGUUACUUUUGAGUGAGGUUAGGUGUUCAAAUUUAUACGGAUAACUCAGUUUAAAGUAAAGAUUGCCUUUUUUAGUAAAUAACUUUUACUUAAUAAGAACACUUUUUUAACUUUUACCGAACAAAAAGUUAAUUAUUCUUUAAAAAAACUUAUUUAUUUAAUUAUAAGUAACCUUUUUAAUUUGGCCAUAAAUGCUUUUAAAGUGAGGCAGUAUUCAAAUUAGCAUGGAUAACUCAGUUUUAAAAAUUAUACUUCUCAAAAAUAACUUUUAUUCAGCAACUAGCUUUCAACUUUUACCAAAAAAUAUUUAACUAGUCUAAAAACUAAUUAUUUACUUAUAAGUAAUUUUUUUAAGCUUGGCCAAAAAUGUUAUUAUGAUUAAUUUUACUUGAUUAUUUAUUUAUUUUUUUCCCCUGAGUUUCUCCUAGUCAAUUGUCAAGGAUACGCAAUAGUGUUUCAUGAUUUCGGUUUCUUAGUCAAUUUUCAUCAACCAAUUAUAAAUAAUUGAGACCUUAAAAGAUAACUUUCAUACAUUGAAUUUGGGUCAAGAAAAGGAUAUCAUGGAAUAGUCAUAAAUAUCUUUAUUAUCUUUAAUGGUGAAAUGAAAAGAAAUGAGUCCAGAAAAUAAUAUUCUUUGUUAAGAUAAAUGAGGAAACACAUUUUGUUUUCAAUUGAAAUUUCUAAUAUGUUGGCUUUCUUAAUUUUUCGGAUUAGUUAGAGGAUCAAACUUUCAUUUGAAAUAUGUUGUUGACGAAAUAACACUUUAAAUGAUGGAGUAUUGACAAUGAUUAUCAACUUCACCUCAAGAUUAUCACAAAAAAUUUGAAUUCUAGAGUUCGUGUUUCAAUGAGUUCCACAUUUCGGGUUGGUGGUGGCAAUCGCGUUGUCUCGGUUCAUAAAAGCUCAGCUCUUGGAUGGUUUGUGAAAAUUAUACAAACUAAUUUGACCUACCAACCAAAGGAGAAAAACAAUUAAGAGGAGAAGGAGAAGAUAUAUUAUAGAGCCACAAAAAAACUAGUGUAAAAUUAUGAACAAAAUAGUUUAUAUAGUACGAGGAAACCUAUAAAAUUUUGGAAACUAACAUAAUAAGGAAACUAAUAUAUAUAAUUAUGUUAAAUAUAUUAUUAAAUUAUUAGUUUGGACUCGUUUUGAUGGGACGAGCCUAAAGUUCAUAGAAGAUCACUAAAUUAGUGAUGUAUGGGUCUCAAUUUGGAAAGUUAAGUAACAUUCUAGGAACAUUUUGCAAAGUUCGGUGACUACUUAGGGAAGUUUCGAAGUUCAGUGACCUCUUGGGAGCUCUUUGCAAAGUUCACUAACUAUUUAGAGAAGUUUUGAAAUUAGGUGACAUCUUGGCAACUUUUUGGAAAAGUUUGGUGACUAUUUGGAGAAUUAACCCAAAUUGCUAAACUUUUGUUCACAUAGGAUCCUUUGAUGACUCCAUAAUGCCCAGCGAAGUCUUAGCUUCACCCUUGGAUGUAUGAUCUACUCUUUCUAGCACUUGAUUUGACUAGGAAAUAUUGUUUGGUUUAUAAGGUUAAAUAAAUAAAAAAAAUCAACAACUACUUGUCGAUAAUCACAUUAUGAAUUCGAAUCCAACUAAAAGAUCGUGUAUUUAUUAGAAAGAAAAAAAAAAAAGAAAAGCCAAAUACAAAAUGAAAAUUGUAAAAAAUAAAUUGGGCAACUUCAUAAUGAGAAAAUCCAGAUUUGGUUCUGGUUUCUCGUUCUCAGAUAUAUUCACACAUAAAAUAAGAUUCGGUAUUAUUUACUUCGAAAGUUCCUAAUAUAUUUAGAAUUUCUUGUGGUAUCAUUCAACUAGUAAAUAUUAAAUCUGGAUUCUGGAAGCUGUACAAAUUGGACAAUGUUGAUACAAAAAAGCUAAAAUAAUGAAUCAAAAAUUUUAAUUUUUUUUCUUAUUUAUGGCCUUUGAAUAAAACGCAAAAGAAUGCAUAGAUUUUGCAAACGAAAUAGAUUGUCAAUAAUGGCAUGCUAAAAUAAUGAAUUUUCAGCUGCAAUAUAAUAGUAUAAAAAUGAUGUCACCACUCCCUCACACCUAUAAAUUCCCUCUUCAGGUUUUGUUUUCUACACAGCUCUCAAUUUUUGUUCACUUCAUUUGAGUCUUCCUAGGUUAUAAUAUUCAAGAAAAAAAAUGGGUAUCUUCAAGUUUUUCUAUGAAAUCAAAGCUAAUGCUUCUCACAAGAGGAUGUUCAAGGCUGUGAUGAUUGAUAACGCCGAUGUUUUGCCGAAAGCCUCCCCAUUCAUCAAGAGCAUAGAGACAGUUCAAGGAGACGGUGGUGUUGGAAGCAUUAAGCAGACAAAUUACGGUGACGGUUAGUCUACAAUUCAGUAUCACAAAAAAAGGAUGAGAAUAUUAUAAUUUAUUUGCCAUACGGAUAGGAUAUACCUAUCAUUAAUCAUGUCCUAUAAUAUAUAUAUAUAUCGUUUGUAAUUACAUACAAAUCAUUUUUAAAAAAAAUACAUCUUAGGGUAAUACUAUAUAGCAUUGGAUGGACAAGAUAACAUCUUCAUUGAUCAUGUACAAUCUUGUGUAAUCGAGGGUAAUAUUAGAUUCUUUUUUACAUAAUUUGAUGGAUGAGUAAUUGUGUAAUCCUGCAGAAUCUAAAUACAAGUACAUGAAGUACAGGAUUGAUCAUCUGGACCACGAAAACUGCGCAAGCAAGUUGACUUUAUUUGAGGGAGACGUACUUGGAGACAACAUUGAAUCUAUUAGCUAUGAUGUGAAAUUCGAGGACUCAAAAGAUGGAGGAUGUGUCGUCAAGUUCACCUCUGAGUAUAAUACAAAGGGUGAUUUUGUGCUAAAAGAAGUGGAUGUUAAUGUAGGCAAGGAACAAUCUUUUGUACUCUACAAGGCUUAUGCAGAUUACCUGAAUGCCAAUCCUCAUGUUUGUGCCUAAAUGUUUUCCAAUUAUGUCUUAACGUUGUCAAGAAUUUCUGUAUUUCUACAUAAAUGUUACUUUUGCCUUAAUAAAAUAAUUGUUCUGCUUUUCCAUUGAAGUGGUUUUAUUUUUAUUAUUAUUAUUUUUUUAAUCACAAUAUGUUGCAUAUUUAUUAACAUCGAAUAUAAAAUAUAGUAUAUAAUUAGGAGGAGGCUCGACCUGACCUUCCAACUAAAGUUGAAAACAUAGUUAUACUUUUUCAUCUUGGAAGGAGUACAAUGUAAGAUUUAAAGAAAGUAAACUGUAUUCACUCUAUUCAUACUUUCCAUCAUCUUUUAAUGAGUGGUCACUCUGCCUCAUCGCUAUAUUCAAACUUGCUACUUGAAGUUUGUCCGUUUCCCAUUGUCAUCGUUAUAUUCAAACUCGCCAAUUGAGAAUUUAAUUCCUGAAUGUUCAAAAUUUUCUAUGCUUAGCGAUAUAAUGAAGGGUUUUGUUAAACUAAAAUUAGGCUUGGCAUAGGGAAUUACCAAACACACACAUGGGAUCGACAUUUUUUAAUUCACACGGGAUCCACGUGCAAAUUGUGAGUGUCGAUCAAUUAUUAUGUCAACCAAUUCGAUCACUUUUUCUUAAUUCUACAGAAGAAUUUCAGAUACUCACAUGGAGAGUGGGCCCUAUGUAAAUAAAAUAAUUCAAAAAAUAAUCUGUCCACCCCAUACAGUGUAUUUUAUAAGGUGUCUGUAAAAAAUAAAAAAAAAAAAAAAGAGGAAAAAAUUACAUGAAUAAUCACUCAUUCUAUAAUGAAUGUGCCUGACUUAGCUGAGGCAACCACGUGCCACAUGUUUUAUCUUUGAGCACUUAAAUCUUCAUAUGAGUCGCCAACGAACUCAACCCAACCCAGAUCCCAAUCCGCCUAAGUCCCACCACCACCACUCAUCAUCUCCAUCUGAAAAAGGGUUGCCCGACUCGGUUCGAAAAAAGUCCGAGUCCUAUUUUUUUUUUGUCGUGCUUUUGCUCGGCCCAACUCGAGCCCGCAAAAAAAGCUCGGCCAUUUUAACCGGACCGAACCUAAGCCUAAACUUUAGGCUAGCGAGCCGACUCGUUUACAUCCGUACUAAUAACUCAAAUUUUUAAUGAAGAGUUGUAUUGAAAUAAAAUAUUCCAUAUUACAAUAUUUUUUAUAUUUUAGUCUUUUCGUAUGUCAACCUCAUUCAUACUCCAAAUUCUCCGAUUUUUUCAAAGUUUACAACAGAGAAAGAUUAUUUUUCUCGUAGAAUCGGUUUGCAAAAACGUCAAAAUAAGCAAAAGGACUUACAUAAUUUCAAUACCUCCACUGAAUUUCCUAGAAUUUAUCCAUAAUUGUUUUUUUUUUUUUUUCCAUUUUCGCGACACAACAUGGGGAUUUCAUUCCUGGCUUUUGCGAUAACCAAGCGUGGUGGCUUGGUUUAUCGAAGGAAGAGGCUGGUUGGGAAGGCGGUGAGAGAAGUGGAGGUGGUCGGGGACGAGGUGAGUUUGUUGUGGAAGAUGAAGAUUUAAAUUCUAUAUUUUUUUGGUAGACAGUGCCACAGUGGCCAGUGGCGAUGGCGAAGGUGGGGCUGGUGGGUAUUGAGGGGUGUGAUUGGCUCAAAACCUUUGUUAAAGGUUGAACCCUAACUUUAAGCGUCCUCCACCGCUCCUGUCUUAGAGUAUCAUGAGGGAGGUAAAUCGCAAGUUAUGCCUCAAAGGGUACAGGGUGGAAGGCUAUUUGUACAUUUACACUUACCCAAGAGUCAAAUCCAUAUUUCAGGAUUCAAACUCUUGACGCGACAGUCUCAAGCAAAAUUGGAUUUCUCCACCCUCUCCUUUUACCACUUGAAGAUGUGCCCUGGGAGCAGCUCAAAACCUUUAUUUGUCAAUAAUUCUAUUGCAUUAAAAUAAUAUUAUACAUAAAUUAAAUUUUUUUUUUAUUUUUAAUCAUACAUUUCUGCAUCUAUCACUACUUUUUAAUACACUUGAAAUUAAAGGGCACAAACAAAGUCUACUCGUUUGAUUCCCAUUAAUUUUCAUUCCAUUACAUUUUAUUUUUUUAUCUCCUAUUUUUAACCACACAAUCUUUCAUAAAAUAAUAUUACACGUAAAUUGAAAAUUUUUCCCUCUAUUUCAACCACUCAUUUUUUCAAAAAAUAAUAUUCCAUCCAUUAAUUUUUCCACGGAAUGAGGCCAGACGGGGCUAAAUCGCUGGUGGUGGACUUGAUUUGAAGGGGAUUUAUGGCUGUUUGUCAACAAUGGUGGCAAUGCAUACAGUUUAAAUUAGGAAAUGUCCAGCACCAGGCACCCUGGAAAUCCAGUCUAGCAGGGUUAUUUGAAUUAUGAUCAUCUAUUUUGGGUUUUGUGGGUAAAAAGAAAAAACAUCGUUUUCUUCUUAUUUGCUUCAUUUUUAUAUAUUUUAUUUAUUUAUUUGUGUUUAUAAAACUUUUAAUGGGAAAUAAAUGUCUUUUUAUACCACUUUAAAUAAAAAAUAAUUUACGAAAAAUGUUAUUAGGGAUGAAUCUUGUUAAUAAAUGAAAGGUUGAGAGUCGAUCGGUGAAUAAAAAAUUGAAUACAGACAAAAUUUCCAUAACCAGAAAGGUUGGGGACCCAAGCUGAAAUUUACCUUAAAAGAAAUCCUAGAAAACGUUGGAUUAUGUCCAAUUAAUUUUGAAUUCCAUGUUUCUCCGACAUGCUUAAAAAUCAAGGAUUGUAGGAUAUAUCCGAAGGAAUAAAAUAUUCAAAAUUUCCAAUUAAUUUCAUCAUUCAUGACUUUUAAGGUAAUAAGGAAAAAUAUAUUAAAAAAUUAGAAAUGACAAAUUCGGAGUUGUUGUGGAUGCACAGUUCACUCAUGAAUCAAGUUCUUAAAACACGUGAAGCUGGGAAUAGUGAUAAGCUGAGUUGACCCGGCUCACGAGCUUGCCUAUUAAGCUGGCUGAGCUCCUUUCUUAAACAAGCUCGAGAUUUUGCGCUUGUGAGUCAAGCCAUUACCUAACGGUUGGGCGUGGCUCAUGGCACAAAUUUUUAAAGAGAAAGUGAAGAUUGAUUUUUUAUUUUUAUACUUCAAGAUUUUAGAUAAGAUUGCUCAAAUGAAAAAUUAAGGUAGAUAAAUGCUUUGAUUCUAAACUUUAAUGGGAAUCGUUCUUUCUACUCAUAAAUUCAACACGCUAAUUUGACAAAUAAUCGUAACCUUUAACAUAAUUCAAUCUGACGCUCAAUAUUUUAUAGAUCUCAAGUGGUUAUAACAAGCUCUUUUAUGAUCUUAGUAAAAUACAUAUUGAGUAUUGAAUUCACUUAAAUUAAAUGUCACGAUUAUAUGUCAAAUAAAUGUGUCAAAUUUUUUAGUAGGAGAAACGCCCCAAACUUUGUUAAUAUGAAAUAUUAGUUUAGAAAAUUCAGUAAUUAAAGAAUAUAUUAUUGCAAGUGGGCCUCAAAAGCCGACUCAUGGCAGGCAAGGCAACCAAGCCCGUAAGCCGACUCACAAAACUCAUAAGCUUUCGAUGGUGAGCCCAUCAUAGCUUGCGACGCUAAAAAAUGAAACUCGACUCGACUAGCGGCUCGUCAAAAUUCAAUUCAACAACUUGUGAGCAUUUUCUCAUAAGUUGAACCAAGAAGGUGGUUGCUGGUCUUAAUUGCUACCCCAAAUAGUGGUGGCAAUGAACGGAUCCACCACUAGCUCGGCUUGUGGCUCGUUUGAGACGAGACAAGAUAAGUCAAGCCAUGGGUUCAUUUAUUAAGGGCCAAGCUCUUAGUUCGUCGGGUCGAGCUGAACUUAGCCGUUGAGCACCUUAAUUUUAUUUAUUUCUUUUUUAUAUGUAACUAAAAUGUGAAAAACCCUCUUUCUUUUCUCCGAACUUGGGACUGACUACUUAUUUUUUAAGCAAGUAGAGUAAAAAUUAUAUAUGAGCAAGUUGUUACGUGUAUAAUUUUUUUUUAAAUUUAAAUUAUUAUUGCAAAAAUAACAAAGUUUGAUUAUAUGAUGAAAUUAAAUAUCAUUUACCUGAUUACACGCAAUUUUCCUUAUACUUAUGUUGUAUUUGAAAAUGUGCGUUGUUUCAAUCCUUUAGACACAUCAUUGCUUCCAAAAUAUUUAUUUUUUCAGUAGGUUUUUGGCCUCAGACAAAGUUCUAUUACCUGCAUUGUGGACUUCGAAACUAUAGUCCUAAACAAAGUGUUAGUAAAUCUUUUGCAAUGGCAGAACUAAUAGAGUAUUAUCAUUCAUUUUUUGGUCAAAAAUCAAGUAAAUCAAAACAAAUGGCAUCAACGGGUUCUACGCUCAUAAGCAUUUCAUGAUUAACAUAUCUAACUAAUUCAGCAAGCAUUCCAAUAUGACUUGCGUCCUAUGUUGGAUUAUACGUAGGAGACAUACUAGAAAAAGAAUCUUAUACUUCAUAUCUUUCAUCCCUAAUACCUUCAAAUAAAUUCAAUAGUUCUACAUCAUCUUCUUCAAGAUUAGCAGAAGUGGUGGGCAGAAGGUGUACAACUAAUAUUUGCACCCCAUCGGGAUGCAUACAAUUCGUGCAUAAAAGUUAAAGUGUUUUCUAAAUUCGAAUAAGUAAUACGUUAGUCAAAAUUUAAACAAGUGAUUUUUAGAAUAACAUAUUUAUUGCCUUUUAAAUUGUACUUGGAAUCCAUUAUGCAUUCUAUAGAAAAUAAAAUAGGUAAGUGUUUCCAAUAUUUUUGAAAGGGUAAUUGUCACAAAACGUCCAUACCUUUCGAAGUUAUUGUGAAAAACGUCCACACCUUUCAUUUUUUAACAUUUUUGCCCUUAUUUCAACCUUUCGUUGCGUUGAAAAUCCUUUUCACUGUUUUAAAAUAUAAAAUGACCAUUAUACCCUCUUAUUUAAAACAAAAAAUAAAAAAGAAAUGAUAAAUAAAAUACAAAUUGCAAUCAUACUCACAAAUGUUUUGAAAGAAUGUAAAUGAGUCCAAUAAAUUAUUAAAAUAUCAAAAAAUUAAAAAAAAAUUAUCUUUCUUUUCUCCUCCUCUAGUCCUCCUCCUCCCUCCUCCUCCUCUUCCACCACCAAAACUCCGUCCCCGGCCACCUUGGACACCAGAUCAAUAUACCACCUUAAAGCCCUCAAUAACCCUACUGAGAUCAAUUAAUAAAAGUUAAAUUUGGGUCCCAAAAUUCAAUAGAAUAGUUAUUUCCCAUAAUAAAUAAACCAAAAAACUUGUUGCUUACAUGUUUCUGUGGUUCCAUUACAUACAUCGCCUCCACCGACACCGAAAAAAUACCAUCGCCUACGCCUGUCAACUACCAAAAGGCAGUUCAAAACCAUAGGUCAGUCACACACAGAAUUUAUGCAUAAAGACCCAUUCAAUAGUGGCCCAUAUCUCUAUUUUUCUCUAUCCAAAAGCAGAGAAAAGUUAUUUUUUGUAGAUAAUUUUCAGUAGAAAGUGGGAAUUAGGAAUUGAAGUGCAGGGGGAGUUCUUGAAUUGUCCGGAAGAAUGUGAAAUGUUGAAAGUGAAUCUGUGUUGGAAUUAAUUUUUUUCUUCUACGGAUCUAGAAAUUUGAAUUUCCAAAUCUUGGGUUUUGUUUUGAAUCUUUGUUUUUUCGUGUGGGUUCAUUUGUUCUUAAUGGCUACUGCUUUUCCUUUGCCAGUCACUGUUGCUCCCACUCCCAAGGUGGCCGGAGGGUGGAGGAGGAGGGGCAGGAGGAGAGAAAAGAAAGAUAUAUAUAUUUUUUAAAAUUUUUAAUAUUUUAAUAAUUUAUUGGACUCAUUUACAUUCUUUCAAAACGUUUGGGAGUAUGAUUGCAAUUUGUACUUUAUUUCUCAUUUCUUUUUUUGUUUUUUGUUUUAAAUAAGAGAGUAUAAUGAACAAUUUACAUUCUAAAACAGUGAAAAGGACCUUCAGUAACAAAAGGUUGAAAUAAGGGUAAAAAUGUCAAAAAAUGAAAGGUAUGGACGUUUUCCACAAUAACCUUGAAAGGUAGGGACGUUUUGCGCUAAUUACCCAUUUUUUAAACUUUAAUUCCAUAGAAAAUAAUAUUUUUAUAGAAAGGGGUAAUUGACACAAAACGUCCCUACCUUUAAGGUUUAUUGUGGAAAACGUCAUCACCUUUUAUUUUUCGACAUUUUUGCCCUUAUUUCCACAUUUCUUUACGGAAAACAUCAUUUUCAUCAUUUUUUAAUGUAAAAUGAUCAAAAUACCCUCUUAUUUAAAUAAAACCCAAAAAUAAAUAAAAGAAAAAUAAAGAAAAAAUUACAAUCUUACUCCUAAAUAUUUUAAAAACUGCAAGUGAGUCCAAAUAGUUAUUAAAAGAUCUAAUAGCACAAAACGUCCUUACGUUUGAUCUAUAGUAUGAAAAACAUCCAUACGUUUCAAAUUGGUGAAAGAUAUGUUUUCCGCAAUGAAAUGUGGAAAUAGGAAUGAAAAUGUAAAAAAAUUGAAAAGUUGGGACGUUUUUCUGCAAGAAGUGUCAAACAUAAAGAUAUUUUUACUAUUAGUCCUUAUUAAAAUAUUAAAAUUAACAAAAACUCUCUCUUUUCCCCUCUCUCCCUCUCCCUCUCUUCUCUUCUCUCCAAAUGGACCAAUCACCUUAGAAGCCAAAAAACUCCAGCAAACCACCAUCCAAACUGAUGGACUACCAUACCACCGAAAAGCCCUCACUUCCUUCUACUCAUACCACCCACUCAUACCGCCCAACAUCCAAUCUUGAAACCUUCAUGCCAAUAAAUUUGUUAGAAAUUGCAAGCCAAAAUACCCAACUCGCGAAUGUAAAUACUGAUGGCAUCACCUAUUUCGAAGAGAUCCAUGCCAUUUCUAACACACCAAUUGACUAUACUCACUAUGGCGCCUCUCUUCAUGGUUUUAAAAUAUCAGCAGAUAGUUCAACGGUAUAGAGGUUCGACGGUUUGGACGAUGAUUAAUCGAAAUUUUUUCACUUCUAAUGAGACAGUCCUAUUUAGAGAAGAAGAGAAGAGAGAUAGUAUUUUUUUUCUUUCAAAUAUUUUAAUAAGGCCUAAUAGCAAAAAAAAAUCCUUAUGUUUGACACUUCUUGAGGAAAAUGUGCAUACAUUUCAAUUUUUUUCAGUUUUCAUCCCUAUCUUCAUGUUUCAUUGCUGAAAACGUCCAUUUCACCAAUUUGAAACGUAGGGACGUUUUUCACACUAUAGACCAAAUGUAGGGACAUUUUGUGCUAUUAGACCUUUUAAUAAUUAUUUGACUUACUUGCACUUUUUAAAACAUUUAAGAGUAAGAUUGUAAUUUAUUCUUUAUUUUUCUUUUCUUUCUUUGGAUUUUAUUUAAAUGGGAGGGUAUUUUAGUCAUUUUACAUUAAAAAUGGUGAAAAUGACUUUUUUGCAAAGAAAUGUGGAAAUAAAGGCAAAAAUAUCAAAAAAUAAAAGGUGAGAAUGUUUUCCACAAUAAGCCUUAAAGAUAGGGACGUUUGUGCCAAUUACCAAAUAAAAAGUGAGAUUGUUUUUGUCUUUUUGAAAUCAAGAACUCAUGAACUAGUGGAGUAGUAUACCCCAGAUAAGAUAGUUGUGGGGACAUUAAAACUUAUCAAAAAAUUAAAAAUAAAUCACUCUAAAGGCUAGUUUCCAAUGAAAAUCAAUCAAAACAUAAUCAUCAUCAUUUCUUACAUUCUUAGAGUUAUGAAAUUCAGUAAUUAAAUGUUCAUAUCCUUCGGUUUAAUAAUAAUAAGUGGAGUUGCAUAAUGUCCUUCGUCAUUCACAAAUUUUUGGAAUCUUGGCCAUAUUAUGCACAAAGUUCCUUGUUUCAUACUUAUAUAUAUAUAAGAGAGAGAGAGAGAGAGUUAUGAAAUUCAGUAAUUAAAUGUUCAUAUCCUUCGGUUUAAUAAUAAUAAGUGGAGUUGCAUAAUGUCCUUCGUCAUUCACAAAUUUUUGGAAUCUUGGCCAUAUUAUGCACAAAGUUCCUUGUUUCAUACUUAUAUAUAUAUAAGAGAGAGAGAGAGAGAGUUAUGAAAUUCAGUAAUUAAAUGUUCAUAUCCUUCGGAUGAUUUUAAUAAUAAUAAGUGGAGUUGCAUAGUGUCCUUCGUCAUUUACAAAUUUUUGGAAUCUGGGCCAUAUUAUGUUCAAAGUUCCUUGUUUCAUACUUAGUGAUAUGGUUAUAUAUAUUUUAUCCAACCCUAAUUCUAUCGAUUUACUCCUUAGUUGUUUCAUACUAAUUUGCACAACUAAAUUAAAAAUGUGACACGCACAAUGCACAUGAAACAAAAGCUACUAGAAUCAAGAUUAAACACUUUUCAAAGUUUAUCAAUUACAACCUUAUUAACGCUAGCAUUGUCAAACGUAAAAGAAUGAAUUUUACUUUCACAACGAUAUUCUUUAAUAAUUUGCAUGAUAGAGUUAAGAAUAAUUGUUAGUAUUAUAAGGAAUUCAAUUAUCUUAAAAACAAUAAUUUUUUUUUAUGCAUUACUCAAAGUGUAUCGAUGUAGUGUGCAAUUGCUGCUACAUAACCUUUUUUCUAAUUUAUACCUUCCAAUAAAUCUGAAAUAAAAGUAAUCAAUUGGUUCUUGCUUCUAUCGAAAAUAGUUGAUAGUAUUAUUAUGAAGAGUAUUUCAACUUAUCCCUACAUAUUUCGACUGAAGAUAUUUUUUUACAAGUGUUGUGAGAUGUUUAUUGUCCACUAUGUUUAACGAAGACUCACCAAUAACAAUGAAAUUGACCAUUCUACCAUGAGUUCUUUCCUCCGAAUACAUCCAUGUACUUGGUGUUGAAGUUGCACCGCUACCAAAAAAAUGAGUACCAAAGGCUAGUUAUGUUUGAGAUCCACCAACGAGUCUAUAUGUUUCGCCAUACAUUUGGUAUAGUGAUAAUUGAGGUGGGUAGUAAUGAUACCCUAUUUUCCAGGCCAAUCGUUGUUGGCAAUUUUUUAUUCACUACUUUAAACUCUUGACUUUCACACCCCUCUUGUAUUGGGAACUUACAUUUUUGAUUUGCUAGUCUCUUCAUCGAUGUUGUUGGGUUUUUUGAUACCCAAUAAUUCAGACGAUGAUUUAAAAUAGUUGUCGGAUUAUUUAUCGACACCAUGGACUUGGCUCAGCUCGGAAACGAACUACACUUUUGGAUGGCUCGGGUUUGGGUUGGAUGAUUAUUUGGUUAGUUGGACCAUUUAGUGAUUAAUAUGGAGUUGAAUAUUAGCCCAUUAGUUUAGGGUAAUUGGUAGCCCUCUUAGUGAACCCUAGGCCUAAUUGAAGUGACCUAAACUAACCUAUUUAUAUAUGUAUUUAUCUCCAAGCAGUUUUGUGGUGGUGUAUGUGUGUUGUAGCAAUGGAGAGGAGAGUCGAGAGAAGAGAGGCAACCGAAAGAGAUGAAAGCCAUGUGAAGUUGUGAGUAAGAUUUAACCACUAUUCUUCUUCCUCUCCAUACCUUUGUGGAUUGCUAACACCACCAUCCUUCUCUUUUGUGGGGUUAGAGAGAAAGAGAGCAGUCUAAAGUGAAGGUGAAAGUCUUGGGUUGAGCCGAGAUAAAUCGGUGUUCGUGAGAGAAAGAGAGCAGUCCAAAGUAAAGGUGAAACUAUUGGGUUGAGCCGAGAUAAAUCGGUGUUCGUUUGGUUAUUUUCUAAGCUCGAAAUCAAGAUUUAUAGAGGAAUUUCCGCUACAAAUGGUAUCAGAGCUUGUGUUGUUGAUAAAUCUGUGAUUUUGGGGGCUAAAAAUGGGCUGGAAGUGGUCGGAAACGGAUCUGGAAAUCAGAGGCAGAAACUGUCCAGUUUUUUUAAUUUCUACCGAAUCUGUUUUGGCGUUUUCUGGUGAAACCAAAAGGAGUUUGGCAAAAUGGACACCACCGGUGGACUGUACAAGCGAAGAAGAAGUCAAAAGGGUGACAGGUCGAUGGCGCGUGGACGGCGCGAUGCGGCGCGUGGGGUUUCUGUUAAUGGCGCGUCUUUCUGAAUCCGGCGAAGUGGUCUUCAGACAGAAUCUUCCCCAUGACGAGAUGGACCCUACAGUGUUUUCAGAUUUCAGUUUGGAGCAAUACAGUGAAAGUUGGACGAUUUUGCCCUUGGACGUUCGGGUGCCAGGUGCUGUUUUCGUGUUGCUAUGGUUGCUGAUGACUUUAGGAUGAAUAGUAAUAGUCCCGAAGUAGUGAAUUCACGUCUCGAGAUAUUUACGGACCUUCAGACGUGGUCUGCUCGGUAUCGUAUUCUUUGCUUUUUAUUAUUGCAGUUAAAAUAAAUGUGUAGAGUAGUUUAUUUUUUGCAUUAGAGGUCAUCGUGUGGGGUGACAUUAGGUUUGGGGUUACCAUGGAGGGGUAACCAUUGCCUGUUACUAGACAUAGGAAUUAUUUGUUAAUUAUUUGCCUUAAAUUCUUUGUGAAUUUGCUGUCAAUUUUUCUAAAUUAUUAGAAUUGCAUGUGGCCUUAGGAAAGUUUACUAGACUAUUAUAUGUGAAUUAUGUUCAUACUUUACUUGUGGUCAUUAUUUGGCAUUGGUGGCAAAUGUAGGUCUAAGGUAAGUGCGAAAAAUAACAUAUAUUUUAACUGUGGCAAAAUCUGGACAUAGUUGAAAGACAUUGUUCUAGAAUGAUAAUAAAAGGAAAAAUGAGAAUAGAGAUAAGGCGAAUGUGGCUUUAGGGUCGAGUAGUAAUCCUAGUAAGGUUUAUUGAGAAAAUAAACCUGGUUCUUGCAUUGCAUCUGUAUGUAAUCCUUUUUGCAUGUAUUUGGUCACUUAAUUCUGUUGUAAUGUUGAUGUUACACUUUCAAUAUGUUUGAUGUGUGUAAUUGCAUGAGUUAGAGUGACUUAUUACUUUGUGUAAUAUGUUUACAUGCAUAGUGGGUUAAGUUUUGUGGUGUACUCUAUUUGCUCUGUGAGUGGCGUGAAAGUGUGGUAGUGAGAAGAAAGUUGGGUAGCCGUUUCUCUCCUUUAUCUUUGUGAGCCUAUGUGGUUUGUGAGAUUAUGUGAGGCAGCUAUGUUAGGGUUACCUUCUUUAUCUUUGUGAUCCUUCUUUGUGAGUGUUGUGAAGUAACCAACUUUUUCUUCGAUUCUUUUUGAGAGUACCACCUUCACUAUUUUCUUUGUGAAUUUUUUGGGAGCAUUGGUGAGUGGAUUAACCUUCGUGGUCACCAAAAGGUGUUAUUUUGCCAUAGUGAGUUUGAGAUGUAUUAGCAGUGAGUUGGAUGUCUUUUGGUAAGCUGGAGUAUAGAUGCCUAGAGGUACAUGGUGAUUUGUACCGAGGGAUGUGGAGUGUGACAUUUGGAUCACGAGUGGAGAUGUGAUUAAAUGUGUAGAAUCCUUUAUCUGUGAAAGAAACUCUGUACAGGUAGAGUGUGAAAGAGGCACUUCUAUCACUUCUGUAAGGUGGAGUCCCAUUAUCCACAUAGGUUGGGAGAAGUGAUGUGGUGAUAGAGGAUUAUCCCGAAAGUUUAGUAUCUAUUGUGACUUACCAGUUAGACAUGAGUUAAGUUAUUGGUUUAGUGAGCAUGGUGGGCGAUGAGAGGAGAUAUGUGUUCUCGAGGUGGGAGUAACACGGAAUGAGAUAGGAUAAGUGUGGUGAGAUCUUUUCUUAGGGUCAUUUAUGCAUGUGUUGCAUAUGUGGUUGACCAUGGUUUGAUUAACUAGGUGUUAAUCUGUGGUUCUGUGUGAACGUGAUUUUGAAAAGAUCUAUAUGUGUGUUAUCCUAUAUAUAUCUUCAUCACAUGAUAGUUUGUUCAUUGUGAAUACUUGUUUCUACUUGAGUAUUUUUGACCUUAGCACCGGUGAGUACAUGGAGCAAGUAUGGUAUGUGUUUCGGUUCGAAACACGAGAUAAUGUCUGUUAUUCUAAUUUUAUUGGAUUAUCUUGAUUGUGCAAGUAUAAAUUGUGUGUUUUGGUUGCUUGCAGAUUAUUGGGCAUCAAGGUGGAGAUUGUUGGAUUUUUUGAUACCUAAUAAUCCGGGUAAUGAUUUAAAACAGUUGUCAGAUUAUUUAUCGACACCAUGGACUUGGCUCGGCUCGGAGACGAACUACACUUUUGGAUGGCUUGGGUUUGGGUUGGAUGAUUAUUUGGUUAGUUGGACCAUUUAGUGAUUAAUAUGGAGUUGAAUAUUAGCCCAUCAGUUUAGGUUAAUUGGUAGCCCUCUUAGUGAACCCUAGGCCCAAUUGGAGUGACCUAAACUAACCUAUAUAUAUAUAUAUAUAUAUGUAUUUAUCUCCAAGCCCUUUUGUGGUGGUGUAUGUGUGUUGUAGCAAUGGAGAGGAGAGUCGAGAGAACAGAGGCAACCGAGAGAGAUGAAAGCCAUGUGAAGUUGUGAGUAAGAUUCAACCACAGUUCUUCUUCCUCUCCAUACCUUUGUGGAUUGCUAACACCACCACCCUUCUCCUUUGUGGGGUUAGAGAGAAAGAGAGCAGUUCAAAGUGAAAGUGAAAGUGAAAGUCUUGGGUCGAGCCGAGGUAAACCGGUAUUCGUUUGGUUGUUUUCUAAGCCCGGAAUCAAGAUUUAUAGAAGGAUUUCCGCUACAGAUGUCAUCCAAAUAAAUUGAAUUACUACUUCCAUGAGCAUCUUCAACGCUCAUUGGCCCCAUUCCCAGCAAAUUGUUGGGGAUGGGGACAUCUUUGAGAUCGACAAAGUUGAUUGGAACAUUUGAAUUGUGAUGUUGUAAGUGAUUUGCCAUCAACAAGCCCCCAAUAAAAUUCCAAAGUUCUAUGUGUAACAUGUAAUAAAAAUAUAGAAUGACAAGAACGUAGAUUGUAGUGUAGAGAAUAAAGAUAAAAUUUAUUAACGUAUAGUAUAGAGAAUGAAUUGAGAAAAUAUAUAUAAUAGAAAUGAAAUUCGAAUUAAUAAAAAUUAUAGAAUGUAUGUGAAUUAUUAGUAAUUAAUGUUGUGUAUGUAAUAUAAUUGCAGAGAACAGAAGAAUUGUAGAAUAAUUGAAUAAUGAAUGAAUUAUUAUAGAGAGUAAGAGAGAGUGGAGAGAUUGUUGAGUUGAGAAAAUUGGUGAAGCAAAUGAUGUAUUUACAGAGUAAGAAAAAUAAAAUAAAAAAUUCAGAUACAGUUGGGGACGGACUCUUUUAAAGGUUUGUGACCGUUUAAAUGAAGAAAAAUGAUCUUUGUUUGGCUCGUGAGACACGCGAUAGCUUGGCUCGCGGGCAUGCCUAUUUUGGCAAGCCAAGCAAGCUUAGGCUUGUCUGUCGAAACGAGUUCAAACCAUCCAAGGGUUGAGCUUUGCGAACCAAGACGAUGCGAUUGCCACCUCCAAUCCGAAAUGAGGAAUUCAUUGAAACACGAACUCUAGAAUUCAAAUUUUUUUGUGAAAGUCUUGAGUUGAAGUUGAUAAUCAUUGUAAAUACUCCAUCAUUUAAAGUGUUAUUCCGUCAACAACAUGUUUCAAAUGGAAGCUUGAUCCUCUAAAUAAUCUGAAAAAUUUAGAAAGCCAACAAAUUAGAAAUUUCAAUUAAAAAAAAAAACGGUGUUUCCUCAUUUAUCUUAACAAAGAAUAUUAUUUUCUGGACUCAUUUCUUUUCAUUUCACCAUUAAAGAAUAUGAAAGAUAUUUAUGACUAUUCCAUGAUAUCCUUUUCUUGACCCAAAUUCUAUGUAUGAAAGUUAUCUUUUAAGGUCUCAAUUAUCUAUAAUUGGUGAGUUAAUUAUUCCGAUGGCCACUGAACUUAGGUCCAUAUCUUUUAUUGGUCACUAAAGUUUAAAAUGUCGAGUUUUGGUCACUGAACUUAGGUUCAUAUUUUCGAUUGUUCACUAAAGUUUAAAAUGUCGAAUUUUGACCACUGAAUUUUCAAAAAUGUUCUACAUUCCUUACUGAACUUUGAAAAAUAUUGCAGAUUACUCAUUGAACUUUAAAAAAUGUUGUACAUUAUUCACUGUAAACUCGAUAUUUUUCAAAGUUCAAAAGUUAUAUUAGUGAGUAACGUACGACAUAUUCCAAAAUUCAAUGGUCAAAAUUUGACAUUUUAAAUUUCAGUGAGCAAUCUAAGAUAUGAACCUAAGUUCAGUGAGCAAUCGAAGACAUAGAUCUAAGUUUAGUGACCAAAACACGAUAUUUUAAACUUCAGUGACCAAUCAAAAAUAAUGACCUAAAUUCAAUGACCAUUAGAACAAUUAUCUUGCAAUUGGUUGAUGAAAAUUGACUGAGAAACUGCAAUCAUGAAACACUAUUGCGUAUCCUUGACAAUUGACUAGAAGAAACUCAGGGAAAAAAACAAAAAUAAAUAAUAAAGUAAAAUUAAUCAUAAUAAAAUUUUUGGCUAAGCUUAAAAAAUUUACUUAUACGUAAAUAAGUAAUUUUUAGACUAGUUAAAAUUUUCAAUAAUCCUGCACGCAGAAUUAUUUCAACAGAAGAAAAACAGGAUACUCAUAUGGGGUGGAACUCAUGUGAGUUUUAUAUUGGAAAAAAAACACACUACCCAUCCCGUGUAUGUGUGUGUAUUUUGAAUUUCUUUAUAGAUUGUGUUCAAUAAUCCCUGUACCCAUAGCAACACUAAAAUUUUUUGGUAAAAGUUGAAAGCUAGUUGCUAGAUAAAAGUUAUUUUUGAGAAGUAUAAUUUUUAAAACUGAGUUAUCCAUGCAUAACUUGAAUACACAGCCUCACUUAAAAAGCAUUUUUGGCUAAGUUAAAAAAUGUUAUUUAUAAUUAAAUAAAUAAGCUUUUUUUAGAAUAAUUUAAAAGUUGAAAAAGUGUUCUUAUUGAUAAGUAAAAGUUAUUUUCUAAAAAUGUAAUCUUUACAUUAAACUGAGUUAUCCGUACAAAUUUGAACACCUAAUCUCCCUAAAAAAUAACUUACUUUUUUUUUUUUUUUUUAAACUUAGGCACACAUACCCUUGAACUGAGCUAAAUACUGAGCCAAACAUGUUUUCUUUUUCUUAAUUUUAAGGUAAAAACAAAUAAUUUUCAUACGUGACUCUUAAAUCUUAGUAUCGUAACAAUUCUAAUAAAAAAACUAAUUUUUUUAGCAAAAUCAAACAAGAACUAAAGUUUAUAUAUGUAUAUGAAAUGUGUGGUUUAAGAGUUAAUAAAAGUGGUAAAUUUCAUGAAAUGCGUGAUUAAAAUUAAUUGUUGAUUUUGACUCACAUUUUAUUAUGAUUGAAGCAAGAUAAUUGCAAAAUGAAAUAAAUCAAUCACAAACAAGAAUAUCUAGACUUUACGUGAAAAUUCAAGAUAGAAAAAAUCACAGACAGAAGAGGAGGAUUCACUAUAUCAAAAUCAAGAUCAAUGAUUGUUGUACAAUGAAACUUUUAUGUAAUGGUGUGUACGCAUACAUAUAAGUUGCGCAUUCUACUCUCGUUCGACUCCCAUUAUUUCAAAUUAAAAAUUUUCUCUAUCUUAUUUCUAAUCACACAAUCUUUCAUAAAAUAAUAUUAUACGUAAAUAAAAAAAACAUUUCUUUCUUUUUCAAAUACAUAUUCUCCAAAAACAUAAUAUUCCAAAAAUAAUAAUACCAAAUAAUUAAGGUCAAAUGGCACUUCUAAUUGCUCUGUCCAAUUAAAAAGUGAAUUUUUUGUAGGGUUUUGUCGUCAUUUUUUAUCCCGCAAAUGGAUGGAUCGUAAUAAGUAGUAAAGUGGACAUUUUGAAUCCGAAUUAUCGUUCCCACGAGAACUAUACAUUAAUACUCAAAUUAUUACUUCUGGCUUCUAUUUGACGAAGAUAAACGAGAACAAUGAUUAAAAGUGAUUUUUAUUAUAACUACUUAAAAGUUCGUGAGUAUAACAUAAAAUGAGUGAGAAUUCAAAUAAUAAUUGGGCAUUAGGGUGGAAUAACUUCACCUAUUAGUCACAUUUACUUCUAAUAUCGAGAUUCAUAAAAUUUAAAGUAGUGUUUGGUCGAAUUCUUCUACGGUAUUCAAUUUACCACCAUCGAGUUCUCAUUGAGCCUAUUUAAAUAAUUUAAUUCCAUAUCUGUAUGCGAAUCAACAUUAUUUAAACGAAAUAAUAGUUCUAAGAAUUCAUAUAGAACCGCAGCAAUUAAUAUAGGUAUCUCUGCACGUUAUAUUAAUUUACCAAAUUUUAAUAUGUGGUCUAAACAAAAAUCCACAUCUCUACGCAAUUAUUGUUCACGAAAUCAUUGAAUAAUUGGCCAGAAAAUUCAAAGCAUUAAUAACAUAAUUAAAAUCCACAUAUGAAAUUAUAACGGACAAGAAUCUCAAAUAAAAGAAAUAAAGGUUCUCAAAUCAGUUAUAUUGUUCGCCCUAAAAUCAGAUUAGCUCCUCAUAUUAAUAAAAGAAAAAUAAGAAAUUAUUAUGAAAGACAUCAUCGGGUUUUGAAUAAGAAUGUAGAAUAAGAAAUCAAUCUUGCACCAAGAUAUUUUUUCUCUUUCAAUUUAUGCUUCAACCCUUGAAUUGCUUGUUCUCCUCUUGAAUUCUUCUUUUUUUUAUUUUUGAUUCUCCAAUUAUAUAUCUUACCUCUCAAUCUGUGAAGAAGAGUCCCCCCAAAAGUGUGAGAAAGAUGUAUUUAUAGAUGCCUCCUCCGUUUGUGUAGAAAGUAUGGUUUUUAUGGACUUCAAAACGGCCCAAAAACGCGUUCUAAACAAUCCCGACGCAGUGCCUAAGCGCUACGUCUUUAGAGCCUAGGUGCUGACGAUAGCGCUUGGGUGCUAUGAUUGCAGCGCAUAAGCGUGGUCUCUCGAGUUCAAGUUUCAUUUUUUUAAGUUUCGUAGCGCCUAGGCGCUACAAAUGCAGCGCCUAAGCGCUUUUUUUUUCCUCCAAUUUCCUUAUUUUUGAUCUUUUCAUCCGCUUUAAUUCCCAUUUUUGCAUCGACUUUCCUAAUCUUCAAAACAAAACUAACAAACACAUUAAAAGCGUUCUAUACUUAUAAGAUCUAGCAAAUAAUCAAGAUAAAAUUGUGCAAAAUUUAUGAGCCAAACAAAUUCAUCAAAUAUCCCCAAACUUAACCGUUUACUAGUUCUCGAGCAAACAAACACACCAAACAAUAAAAUCAUCCAAGGACGAUACACACUAGCAUGCAAAAGAUAAUUGGUUGGACAAUCGAAUUUUUUACUUCAGGAUUUGAGAUUUUGAUUUUAUUCCACAAACAUGCUUCAAGUCACAAUACCAAACCAAUAUCUACUCUUUCAGUGCAGAACUGACAUAUGUGUGUGUGAAGAAUUAAGAAAUCAACCAUGAUUACAAAAGUUGCUUCAAUUUCCGUCCCUCUGUGGUCAAAUAUACCAUACACUUCUCGUAAGAUUCAUGUAGCCCCAAACUUAUACUUUUUCACUCAUUCCCAGUGUGUAACCUAAGGUUGAAUAUUUCAUUACUAUCCUCACCCUCUCGAGUUCAGGUGGAUGUUACUAAUUGCAAGUCAACACUUAAGUGAACAGGGAUUCUCCAAUUAUUCGAUUGCUUUGACCGCCACGACUUAACUAGCUAAUUAUCUUGCAUCAAAAGGAAAAUGUUCUCAAAUAAAUGUUAGGGCUUAAUUAAGAUAUUUAGUGCUUUUGCUCUUUUCAUGCACUUUUUUUUUACAAGUUAUUUUAUUUAUUUAUUCUCUCCAUUAAGUUUUCUAGAUGACCUAUGUAGCAGGCUUUAGGCCAUGACUCCCAAAUCAGAUGAUUUUAGGGCACCAGAUUUUAAACACCCUUACAGGCUUAUUGGCCUGAGUCAAAAAGGUUUCAAAGAGAACAAAUUUUUUUUUUUCAAGUGCAACUUCAUCUCUGAUUGCUUUUUGAAUGACUCCUAUAGCGAGCUUUAAGUCGAUGACUCCCAAGUCAGACGACUUUAGGGCACCAGGUUUUAAGAUACCUUUAUAAACUUAAUCACUCUAGUCAUAAAGGUUUCAGAGAAAUGAUUAAAAUUUUCAAAUGUAUAUGCCUCGAUUAGUGCAAUGCCCCUUAUCACACACUUAUUCAAAAAAAUCGACUUCUAACUUGAGACUCUCACCUAGUUUUAUCAUGUUAAUCUACGACAAUCCAUACAUAAGUUUUUACACAUGGAAUCCAAAUUCACAUCCGCAUCUAUCGACAACUGUAAAGUCACCGUCAAACUAUGCUAACUUUGGUCUGAGGAUAAAUAACUUACUUAGUUUAGGUAAAGCAUUUAUAUCCAAUUAAAUCAACCUAUCUAACAAAUGAAUCAACUCGUUUCAUCACAUUUUUAGACUCAAUUCUGGUGCACUUAUAAUAUCGAGUUUUCAAUGUUAAGUUUCAAUCAAUCUAGUAUGCAUCAUAUCCACAGUUCAUAAAUUAAUACCAAAUCUCAAAAUUAAUUGUAAGCCAAAAUGUCCAACUCAAAAAAUUUUAGGUAGGCAAUUAAUAAUAAUACACUUCACUCUCCCAAAUUUAAACUAAACAUUGUCCUCAAUGUUAAAUUUAAAGGAAAAUGAGGACUUCCUUGAAAUGUUAGUAUUGCCUAUGAUAUUGUGGUGUCUUGGUGUUGCAUUUGAUCGACUCUUCUUCCACAUUCUCCCCCAAACUUGAGAUUUGUCCCAUUUUCUCCAGGUCAAUGUUGGUUUAAGUAUUCCGCGACGUCAUGUUCCUGAAAAAUUAGAUUUGAGAAAUUAAACUCAUGGAACAAGGGUUACUUAGUUCAAACAUCUAAUAACCAACUUAAUUACUCAAUGACCUAAGGGUAAACGGGAUAUGGGUAAUGUCUCCUAAAUAGACUAAUAAACUAAACUAUCUUAUAACUUGAAAUUAAAAUAAAUAAAACAAAAAGAAAGCUUGGGUUGCCUCCCAAGAAAUGCUUCUUUUAAGUCAUUAGCUAGACUUUUGCACAAGUUUUCAUGGCACUUUGAAUAUGGUUUUGGAGCUCCUGCUCAGCUUGCUUAAUUUGACUUUGUUCCAUAUCUCGUACAUUUUCCAAACUCUUACAUUUACCUUUUGAAUACGAUAUGACCUGCCUAAAUUGUCUAUUUCGUACUCAAUCAAAUAUACUGCAAUCUUUUCAUCAUCCUUAAUCACAAAUUCAAUGAAGUUAGAAGUUUGCACGCUGAUCCCAUCUUCAUUGAAUGCAACUAAUUCAUCUGACUCCUUCACGACUAAUUUCUUGAUUUCCACCUGUUCUACAUCUUUAGUCGUUAGUUCCUCGGGUUGAAUGAUGAAGAGAUCCUCCGUUGGCAUGUUAUUCGGCUCGUCCAGAGUUAUUUGAUCUUCAAUCUUUUUACAUCUUUGUAUGAUGAUGUCUCCAGUAAUUAUUUUAUUGUAAUCAAAAUAUUCUUCAUAUGGAUAACGUUCUCUCACUUCCACUGGAGUUGCCAAAUAUGAGCAAUUUUUAGUAUAAUGAGAAACACCACAACAUUCACAUAUCAGUCUGAUCUCUAGAUAAACAAUUGAUUUGAUGUUUAAUCCCUUUGGCCAACCAUCCUUACCAAAUUCGAUAGGCUGAUUAUAUCCCAACCUUUUAAGUUCUUAUCUGACCAGGAAUUCUCCAAAGAGCAUGUCAUCUUCUUUCAAGUCGGAAUUAAUCAUUAUGAAAUUAAACCUCUUGCUUCUUCUUAUUUCCUGUAAAAAAAGAAAAAAGAAAAAGAAAAGAUGGAUCAAUUGAACAAAAAAAGAAAAAGAAAAGAAAGAAAAAAAAGGAAAAAAAUCAAACAGAAGUAAGAAAUAAAUAAACCAAUAUUAAAGAAAAUAGUCCCUGGCAACGGCGCCAAAAGCUUGUUGUCAAUUUUUAUCCCGCAAGUGGACAGAUCAUAUAAGUAGUAAAGUGGACCUUUUGAGUUCGAAUUAUCGUUUCCACGAGAACUAUACCUUAAUACUCAAUUUAUUAUUUCUAACUUCUAUUUGAUGAAAAUAAACGAGAACAAUGAUUAAAAGUUAUUUUUAUUCUAACUACUUAAAAGUUCGUGGGGGUACAACAGAAAAUGAGUGAGAAUUUAAAUAAUAAUUAGGUAUUAGGGCAGAAUAACUUCACCUAUUGAUCACCUUUACUUCUAAUAUUGAGAUUCAUAAAAUCUAAAGUAGCGUUCGGUCGAAUUCUUCUACGGUAUUCAAUUUACCACCCUCGAGUUCUCAUUAAGCAUAUUUAAAUAAUUCAAUUCCAUAUCUCUAUGCGAAUCAACAUUAUUUAAACGAAAUAAUAGUUCUAAGAAUUCAUAUAGGAUCGCAACAAUUAAUAUAGGUAUCUCUACACAUUAUAUUAAUUUACCGAAUUUUAAUAUGUGGUUUAAACAAGAAUCCGCAUCUCUACACAAUUAUUAUCCACGAAAUCAUUGAAUAAUUUGCCAGAAAAUUCAAAGCAUUAAUAACACAAUUAAAAUCCACACAUGAAAUUAUAACUCAAAUAAAAGAAAUAAAGGUUCCCAAAUCAGUUAUAGUGUUCGCCCCAAAAUCAGAUUAACUACUCAUAGUAAUGAAAAAAAAAAAAGAAAUUAUUAUGAAAGACAUCAUCGAGUUCUGAAUAAGAAUGUAGAAGAAGAAAUCAAUCUUGCAUUAAGAUCUUCUUCCUCUUCCAAUUUAUGCUUCAACCCUUGAAUUGCUUGUUCUCCUCUUGAAUUCUUCUUUUUUUAUUUUUGAUUAUCCAAUUAUGUUAUCUUGCCUCUCAAUGUGUGAAGAAGAAUCCCCCCAAGAGUGUGAGAAAUAUGUAUUUAUAGGUGCCUCCUCCGUUUGCAUAGAAAGUAAAGUUUUUAUGGACUUCAAAACGGCCCAAAAAUACGUCCUAAAUAAUCCCGGCACAGCGCCUAAGCGUCGCGUCAAUUUAAACGCAUCGCCUAAGCGCUACGUCUGUAGCACCUAGGCGCUGAUGAUAGAACCUGGGUGCUAAGACUGCAGCGCCUAGACUCUGUCUCUUAAGUUCAAGUUUCAUUUUUUUUUAAAGUUUCGUAGCACCUAGGCGCUACAAAUUCAGCGCCUAAACGCUGUCUUUCUGCCACAAUUUCCUUAAUUUUGAUCUCUUCGUCCGCUUUAAUUCCUUUUUUUGCAUCGACUUUUCUAAUCUUCAAAACAACACUAACAAACACAUCAAAAACAUUCUAUACUAAUAAGAUCUAGCAAUUAAUCAAAAUAAAAUUGUACAAAAUUUAUGAGCGAAAUAAACUCAUCAGGUUUAAUUCAGUUUUUUGACAAAUGGUAGGAUGUAGUAAAAUUUUGAAAGAAUUUCCGUUAAAAUAUAUUUGUCUCGUUCUACUAAAUUGUUUCAAAUAUUAUUAACGAAUGAAACUUUAACAAGAUAAGGCAGUAAAUAAGAAUAAUACUUAAAAGUAAAUGUUAAAAAAUUCACAAAUAUGUGGUGUAACAAAAGAUUUCCGUGGUGGCAAUGUAGUCUUCCAUAGGUAAAACAAUCUAGGAGUAGGUUUAAAUAGGUUUUUAUAAAAUUCCAAUUUCUUUUGCUAAAAGAUAUACAUUUCGAUUUAAUUUGGACCUUAGUUCGAAACUACGACCGAUCUCCUGCAGUUGUAGAUUCCAAACCAUUGAUAUGACAUAGAAUUUGAUUGGAUAAGUAUGUUGAUUGUUCUUAAUUUAUUUGAAGAGAAUUCUUAAGUAGUUAACGUUAUUUGACCAGUUAGCCAAGUAUAAUAAAACAUGCAUUAAACCAAAAUUAAUUAAGGCAAGAAACAAGAAUUUAACGUGGUAAACCCGCUCUUACAGACUAAAAAACUUCCACUACAAAAAAAGGGAGUCAUUACAAAUUUUUUGAAUUAAUAUAAUUAUUUACUAUUAAGAAACUAAAACAAAGAACAUACUCUUAAUUAAGAAACAACUAAAAACCCUUCCCUAUAUCAGUUUUUCCAAUUCUUUCAUGUAGAAUUAAUGCUUUUUUGGAAGGGAUUUUGAAAAUUGAUUUUUUGACCAUUAGAGAUAAAAUGGAUCCUAUUUAUGAGAGAAGAAUUAAAAAAUGACGACUAAAAUGGUAAAAUAAUAAUAAAAUAUUAUUUUAAUUGAAUUAAAAUCUUUACCAAACACGCUUCCACGAAACUGACUUCAUCCUUACCCUUUGCCAAUUUGACGUUUUACAACGAAAGUAAAGGUUAUCUUUAUUUACGCGCUUUCAUAUCCUAUUUCUCGACCCAAAUACAACGUAUGGAAGCGACCUUUCUAAGUUCCUAAUAUUCUAGAAUCACUUUAUGACCAUAGACUAGGAAAAAUUCAUACUGUGGAAAUUCUUAGCAGACCUUUGAAAAUUGAUUAGGAGAAACUGACAAGAAAACAAGACUAAGAGUGAUUGAUGCUGUCAGUAAACAAGACUAAGAGUAUGAUUGAUGCUAUUUUUUGCAAAUAAUGUAUUUUUAAAUAGUGAUUUGAUGAAAAAUGUGUGAUUAAAAAUUAAGAAAAAAAUGUGAAUUCACGUGUAAUAUUAUUUUAUUAAAAAAUAUAUGAUUAGAAAGAAAAGAGAGAAAAAUGUAUUUUAAAAAAAAAAAUGCUUAAAUAUUCAAGUUAGAUUAAUCAUAAUAGGUAUGUUUGGUUGGGAUAAAAAUAAAAAAUAAAAAGAUGUUUACUUGUAAGUAAACAAAUAGGUUUAAAUUAAUUUUCUUCUUAUUUGGUAAUGCUUGCAAAUAUGUAAUUUCAAUGUCUUCACUGUAAAAUAAAAUGUUAUUUUCAAGAAGAAUAUUUUUUUAUUUAAAGAUGUGUUAAAAGAAAAGUUUGGAGAUAAAAGUAACUUCAACUUUUUAAAGCUCAGGUAAUCAUACUAUUAUAUUCAGUAAAAAAGGGUACGUAUUUCUUACUUUUAAGUAAAAAAAAUUUUAAUUUAUUUUUUACUUUAUUCAAUAUAAGUAACUUAGCCUCCAUUAGAUUUUUUUUUUUUUUUUAAUCACUUGAAAAGAGGAAUAAUGGUGAGUAUCACUAAAUGUCAUGAUAAUAAAUGAGUAAUAGCUAUAAAUAUGUUAUUGAAAUUAAUAUUUAACUUUGACUUAAUUUAUAAAUUAUUUAUAAAUUGGCUGCAAAAUGGAGGUGGUUGAUAAAACAUUAUGUAUUUCAUAAGGUACUUAUUAUGUAUAAGUAAAUUACAUAAGCCUAAAAUUAUAUUCUUAGCCAAACAUAAAUAAUAGCAACCGGCAAGCAACCAUGCCAGCAAAUUUUUUGUUGUUUAUAAUUAGAACAAGUCUUGUCACCAUUCAUAAAUUACCUUUGCAAAAGAGAAGUAAGUAAUUCACGAGAAAUCCACAACGUCCCGUUAUGGAUUUGAAUCCAAUCACACAGGCCAUGUAUUUAUUAGAAAGAAAAAGAAAAGACAUUAUGUUACGCCUAUUCCAAUGAAACUCUAAGCAUUGCCGAUCCUAACUUUCAAGUUCACGCAUUAUAUAACUAUUCAUACAUGAAAUUGGGGGGCCAUUGUUAUGCCUCUUCCAAUGAAACUUUAAGCAUUUUCAAUCCUAACUUUCAAGUUCACGCAUUAAAUAAAUAUUCAUACACAAACUUGGGAGACUAUUGUUACGCCUCUUCCAUUGUCAAAUGGCAUCUCCAUCGUAAGAGAAUUGAGGCCCGCACUUCACAUCAUUCUACACAGGUAGCAAUUUGGCCGAGCCGCCAUGGAGGGCUGAGCCCCCAUGAAUGAAGCGAGGAAGGUAGAGGCAUCUUAGGGAAGAUCUUCAUAUAAGAUCUUGUAACAAGUGGGGUGAUGUGACAACUCUCUACAUGGACUGCCCAACUCAAUAAACAAGUCAAGUCAAGUCUAGUCUAGUCUAGUCUUACAUGUCAGGUUUAGAACUGCUAAUGGUCAUAACAUUAUAUGCACUUGAGUCUAAGCCUGACUGAUUGAUGCCUAUAACAAGAGGCCCUAGCCGCCAAGAUGAGGCCACUUGUCUCUUCAUCCAACGGUUCUUAUUCACCUUCUUCUAUUAUAAAAGCUCACACUUGAUAUUAUUUCAAAGGUAAUGCAAGUUUAGACUUUUAUACUAUAACUUUGUUUUUUGCAUUCUUUACUCCCAAUACCGACCCCCUUUUUAUAUUGGAGGCUCACGUUAAAAGCCCUCCCACACUCAUAUAUGUCUUCCCACAAACUGAUUUGACCGUCGGAGUAUGCGCGGCCGGCUCCAACCCCAUCGGAGAAGGCCACGUGUGUCUAACGGUUUGUCUUAGUGUGCAUGAAUACGACUUACUUGGACAUGAGAAGUUUUGAAAUCUGUUGGCCAUAUCUGAGGUUUAUUUUUUGAGUUCAACAAAUACAAAACCAAAAAAAUACCAAUAUAAUUUCAUCAACUUCAUAAUGAGAAGAUCCAAAACUGACUCCAGUUUUUGGUAUUCAGAUAUAUUCCGAUCAAAUAAGCUGUGUUAUUAUUUUACUUCAAUAUAUAGAAUUUCUUGUGGUAUCAUUCAACUGGUAAAUAUUCAAUCUGGAUUCUAGAAGCUGUAAAAAUUGGAAUAUGUUUGAUAUAAAAAAAGCUAAAACGCAUCUGUCAGAAAUUCUAAUCUUUAUCUUAUUCAUGUCCUUUGAAUGAGACGCAAAAGAAUGCAUAGAUUAUUCAAACGAAACAGAUAGUCAAUAAUGGCGUGCCAAGAUAAUGAAUUUUAAGCUGCAGUAUAGUAAUAUGAGAAUGGCCUUAUCCACAACACCGCACCUAUAAAAUACCUCUUCAUGUUCUGUUUUCUAACAAGCUCUCAAUUUAUAUUCACGUCAUUUUUCUUCGAGUCUUCCUAGGUUACACUAUUAACGAAAAACAUGGGUAUCUCUAAGUUUUUCCAUGAAAUCAAAGCUAAGGCUUCUCACAAGAGGAUGUUCAAGGCUGUGAUGAUUGAAAACGCCGACGUUUUGCCGAAAGCCCAUCCACACAUCAAGAAAAUCGAGACAAUCCAAGGAGAUGGUGGUGUUGGAAGCAUCAAGAAGACAACUUUCAGUGAUGGUUAGUCUACUAAACAACAUCACGUAAAACGAAUAAGAAUAUUAUAAUUUAUUUGCAGUACUGAGAGAAAAACGCUAUCUUUAAUCCUGUUCAAUAUUAUCAAUAUAGCAUUUUAAAUAUUUGAUAAGUAUGUUAUUACAAAAAUUAAAAAAAAAACAAUAAAAUAUAAAAAAUUCUUAGGGACAGACAAUAUAACAUCGUCGUUGCUUAUGUACAAUGUUGUGUAAUCUAGCAUACUAAAUGUGUCAUUCUUUUUUACAUAAUCUGAUGAGCAUAUAUGUUUUCCCAAAGGCAAGUACAUGAAGAACAAGAUCGACCAUCUGGACCCUGCAAACGGCGUGGCUAAGUUGACUUUAUUUGAGGGUGACGUACUUGGAGACAAAAUUGAAUCUAUUAGCUACGAGGUGAAAUUUGAGGAUUCAAAGGAUGGAGAAUGUGUUGUCAAGAUCAACACUGAGUAUCAUACCAAGGGUGAUGUUGUACUAAAAGAAGAGGAUAUUAAGGCAAGCAAGGAACAAUCUUUUGAAUUCUACAAGGCUUAUGCAGAUUACCUAAAUGCCAAUCCUCAUGUUUGUGCCUAAAUAUUUUUCAGUUAUGUCUUGACGUUGUGAUGUAUAAUGGAAACACACAUGUUUCCCUAUUUCCCUAUUUCAGCAAGAGUGGUGUUUUUGCCUUAAUAAAGAACUUUGUUCUACUUUCCUUUGAAGUCUUCUUUUUUUAUUUUUUUCCUCCAUCCCACCGCCGCCCCCCCUAAAACGACUAUAUAUUGCAUAUUUUAUUAAUAGCAAAGACAAAACAUAGUAUAUACUUAGGAGGGAGGUUCAACCACACCCUCCAGCUGAAGAUAAUAUAUAUAUAUAUAUAUAUAUUCUCUAGAAACAAUAUAUAAAAUGUAAGAGUUAAAAGAAAGCACACUAUAUACGCUCUGUCAUACUCCCCAUCAUCUUUCAAUAAGUGGUCAAUCAUGCUCCUUAUUAUAUUUGAACUCACUACAUGAAGUUUGUUCUUUUCGACUAAUUAAAUUCAUGUUUCUAUAAUCAAUUCGAUCCCCCGAUUGAAUCGGGCGCAAACUGUCAUCAAAUUUUCCAAUACUAAUCAAGAAUUUUGUCAUGACCCAUACCGAAUCAUCCUAAUAAAUCCAACACCUGUCAUGCGCCGAUAGUAGAUACCACUUAAGUAUGGGAUCCACCACCAAGGCAACUAUAUCCUGCUUAGAUUGUGACAUAUUUCUAUAAAAAUUUGACAAAAUUUCUUCUGAAAUAUGGACUAAAACCACGUGAAUAAAACGCAAUUUCUCAACCUUGUACAUAUAAUAUAAAAUAUAAUACUCUAGUCCCUCAAAAUACUAAUUAUUCAAAAUAAAAUACUUACAAAUCGAUAUUUACUUACUUUACAACUAACAAUCAUUAAAUGUACUAAAGAUGCCAAAUAUGUAGUGUGCCCAUAGAAACAUGUAUUAUAUAAACUGAUAAAGUAGGUCAUACAACUAAUGACUUGUGGCUCAAUUCAAUGGAUCGACAAGAUCUAAAGCUGUUCAACUCGAUUGCUAUUUGAUAAAGAAAAAGGUGAUAAGAUAAAUGAGCUUAUAGCUUAGUGAGUGAAUAAUUUGCAAAUGAGUAUAUUUUUUCAUUUAUACAUAUUUUUUGAAAAUUCCUACUCUGUUAAAACUUUGAGAAAUCCAAAAAUUUAGUAACACUUUUAAAACUAAACAUAAUUUCGUCAUACAAUUCUUUGUUCUUAUUCUAGGUAAGCAACUAUAAGGUACAAUAAAUAUGAAUAAUCUGAUAUCAGUAAAUAUAAGUGAAAAUAUCAUUUCACAUAACUAUAAGUUGAAAUCAUAACUCUAAAAACUAGAUAAGCUAAAUUCUAUACUUUGUAAUCAGAUAAGUUGUAGAAAAAAAAUAAAAUAAAAAUUCACACCAAAAAUGGUACCCAAAAUAACCUUAAUCAUGUAUCGAUUAGUACCGUUACACAUGGCAAAUCUAUUCAAUUUUGAAAUUCUGGUCAUAUGCGCACAGAGCUGCCUGAAGGCUAUAAUCUAGUCAUACACUAUGGAAACACAUUCACAAUAGUACAAAGCAGAUAAAAUCACCAUAAUUGAUCAUACACUGUGAAAAUACAUUCACACCAGUACAGAGUAGGUAAAAUAACCAUAUGCAAGGUCGGACCUAAGGAGAGGCCCAAGAGGCCUCGGCCUCAGGCCCAACUUUUUAGGCAACCCAAAAUUGUGUUUUCCUUCUUCAUUUCAUUUCUUUUUUUUUUUUUUUUUAAACCCACUAUGUGCACAAAAGGGGGAAAAAACCAAAACGGCAAAAUCCCGAGAAAUCAAAAGGGUAAAAAUCAAGAACAAAGAAGAACGACGGUGGAGGUCGGAGAUUCGGAGCUGAUGUGAUCGUCAUCACCAUCAAUAGUUCACCUCCCAAUUUCCUCUCCGUUGACGAUGGUAUUUUUCUUCAAAAUAAUCUUGUAUUGUAUUGGGUGAUUGGUAUGGAUUUUUCCGAAGCAUCCUACAUUUUUUGGCAUGCUUUUUAUUUAAAUCGCAGUGGCCUGAGGGCUGACAUAUGCAUUAGAUUGAGAAUUGAGAUUAAACAAUUUGGUUCUAAUUAACUUUACUUAUUCAGAAAAUCACCAGCUCCGUCCGCUGUUUUGUUUGAGGAGAAAAAGUAAAAGGCUGAAAAGGAUUAACUUUUGAGUUUUGGUAUUGAAUUGCAUGGAUUUAGGCAUUUAGCUUUGUGUUGGAACUACAUUGAAUCAUUGAUAUUAUUUUGAUUCCUGGAUUCUUAGAUGUUCUUUCAUGUAUUUAAUCGGGCAAUGGGCAGCAACUGAGGCUUUAUGUGAAAUUUGAAUUUCAUAGAGUUUAGACAUUGAGGCAAUCAGAUCCUGGAGCUUGGGUGCUAUUUCUGUGAUUAUCAAGAGAGCUGGGAACUGAAGGUCAAACACUUGAAAAAACCAUCACUGGACAUAUGAUUAGAAGUAGCUACAGGAACACGAUGAAUUUAAGUUAUUAGUUUUCUCUUUUUUGGAGUUGAUAACUAAUUUAUAUAAUAAUAUUCUCUUGAGUGGCCAAGACAAUUUCGCCUGCUGAUCCAGUAAUGAAUGUUAAUUGUCCUCUGGCAGUUCAUAUUACUCUUUCAUGUCCCUCUAUAAAAGUAUGGAUUUUUGACUGCUAUGAAAUAAUCUUCUAUACUCAGGUUACUCUUACAUUUCAUUAAAUCUAAUUUAUUAACAUUUUGUGAAACUACAGGAGAGUUGAUUGAUAUAAUUUUUGUUCUAAUUUUACAGUUUACGAAGUGUUAGAUGUUGAGUGACUUGAGUCAAAUACCAUACCUCUAAUUUUUGUUGCUUCAUUAUUGAUUUUAAGUUAAUAAAUUUAAUUCCUUAAAACUCUUAUAAAUUAAAAGGAUGAAUUGCUUGCUGUGACUUAGAAGCUCAAAUUCUAAAGUUUGCCUCAAGCCCUGCGAAACACAAGUCUGGCUAGGGUUGGCAACGGUUCGGUUAUGGGUCGGUUCGGCCAAAACCAUACCGCACCACCAAAUUUUUGACCAUACCAUAACCGCACCAUAACCACGUAAAUCGAUUCGGUUCGGUUCGGUUCGAUUUUUAUCUCGGUUCGGCACGGUUCGAUUCGGUUAAUAACCACGAAAAUAAAUUAUUUUUUAUAGGUUCAUCCGUCAAAUUGAUAUAAAACAAUUUAUGAAAAAAGUCAAUGAAAACAAAAAUACAAUAUUUCAAACGAAAAUGCAAACAUUAUCAAGCAAUAUUCCAAACGUAAAUGCAAACAUUAUCCUAAUUUUCAAUUGUAAAAUGCAAAUUUAACAAACAAUAUUAUAAAUAUAAUAAUACUAAACUUUUCCUUCAUUCUUAAUUGUUGUGCAUUGAAGUUACUUGAUGCAUUCUUCCCUACAAGUCUUAUUAGCAUAGAUCAGCAUUCAAAGUUGAUUCCUAUUCAUCCUUGGCAAUAUUGGCACGUCUAGAAAAACAUCGAACUCUGUUUUUACAUGAUCAGCAGUAAUAGAAUGACUAACAAAUGUAACAAAUUUUCGUAGGCGACGACGAUUUGGACCAUAGAGGCAAUGGAGCCGUGCGUGAGUUUUUGGUUGUGCAGAGUAGGGUUUGUAUUUAUAUACUGUCAUACUAAUGUUAUUAUGGGCUAAUGGUAAGUAGAUUGGCCGAAUGAGUGAGGUAGAUAUAAUGAGGAGGGGAGGGAUUUUGUUUUGAUUUUGAUAGAAAAGUAGUGUAAAACCCAUUAUCAAUUCAAUUUUUUUUUAGCGGGUAGCCGGUUCGGUUUCGGUUCGACGACGUAAAUACCAUACCCGCACCAUUACGAACCGGUUCAUUAAAAUCAAAACCAUAUCCGCCCCAUUGCACCAUCGGUUCGAUUUUUUUCGCCCCAUUCGGUUCGGUGAACCGCGGUUUUCGAUUUUGACGGUUCAAAUUGCCAUCUCUAAGUCUGGCCCUGGUGUUAUGGAGCCACACACCGUGGAAACACAUUCACACAAAUGCAAAUAUGGGUAAAAACUCCUAUAUACUUUCUGAUAGUUUUAAAAAUAACUUUAAAUAUAUUGAAAUAUUUAUAUUCAUUUAGCAUGCAAAUCAAAUGAUUUAACUAAAUUGGAUUUAACUUUAAAAAUAAUUGAUUAUAAAUCCACUUUAUUCUAAAAUUCAUGUUAUCAAAUCAACUAAAUGAAAUAAUAAAUUUUCGGAUCUGAUAUAAAUUUAAUAAAUACUAAUUUUUGAAAAAUAAGUUUAUAUCUACUCACCAAGUUAGAGAUUGAUUGUGAUUUCAAUCUUCUUGUCACCUCCUCACAUUCAAAUACCAAGUAUGACAUCUUGCACUCCUCCCAAGAAACCAUAUCUCGUCACUAAAGUGCUUUAAGCAAUUUUUCCUACCAUUAGAAAUGAUUAUUUACUGAUAAGCACUUGGAGUAUUUUAUUUUCAAUGUAAGGUAAUAAUCUCAAUUAGGGUCAUAAUAACAUAACGACCUUUAUAUAAGUUACUUCAACAUUUAAUCCCCAAUAUUUAAUACUUAAUUUGGUUUUCACACUAAAAAAUCCAAGAAAAUCAAAGAUAACAAAAAAUAGCACUGUAUUUCCAGAAUAUAGAAAUCUGGCACCAAUUUCUGUAUAUUGAACUGCCACCAAAACCAUUGACAGAAAUGGCACCUUCUGGGCAGAAUUUCAAAAAGAGCACUAUACAUGAAUUUUGCCCGAAAAUUAAUUAGAAAAAAAAAAAACCAAAUCCAACCUCAACUCCUUAUCUCAUUGUAAUGCCUCAUAAAUCAAGUAUUUUAUAGCAUAUACACAAUAAAUAUAGAGAUUUAGGCUGUGAUUUACAAACCCAUUUCAUAUUACUCUAACAUAUAUUCAACUCCAAUAUCUAUUCUUUCCUCCAAAUCUUUAAAGUUAGGCCACUAAUUACAAACCCAAAUCUAACAAUAUUGAAUAACAAUGAGUUUUCUUACCUCUUGGAAUAGAAUGAAAGAAAUGAACCUUGUACUUGAGUCCAUAUUUCAUCUUCUUCAAUAAUCUCUUUUUCCUUUCCUAUUUCCCAUUUUUUCUUAUCAUCUUCCCCCUUUUUCUUUCUCUAUCUCUUCUUUCCUUCUCUACCUCCUUCUCGAUUAUUCUCUCAGCUUCUCUGCUCGUUUUAUCCCCAAAUGGAAAAAUAGUGGUACUAACUCAUAAUUGCAAAACAAGUCCUCCAACCUUCAUUUAAAACCACAUUAAAUCCUUGUCUUUCAAUUCUAUAUAAGUCGAUCCCCAAAAUUAAAUUUUAUCCAUCUUAAACCCUCAAAAUAUUUUUCAUAAUAAAUUAAGCCCCAAUAAACUAAUUUAUUUCAUUUUAGUCCCUAUUGACUUUGACUUUGAUAACUAAACUUUUAAUUUUUGACUACAAAAUAUUGAGUUGUAACAAAUUUAGUUUAUAGUUUUCUAUUCCGAGUGAUAUAAUGAAUGUUUUGAGUUAAUUGAGACAAGCACGUGGGGCUUGUUUUAUAUCCCUAUUUAUCGCCAGAAACACAUAGAAUCUAAAUCUUCACAUGAGUCCCCUAAUCACUCAAAUUCUUAGAAAGUUAUUUUAUUUAUGUGCCAUCAUAUCCUAUUUCUUCACCCAAAUUCAUCGUAUGAAAGUUACCCUCAUAAUUUCCUAAUUCUAGUGUCACAUGAUGUGACAAUUGACUAGGAAAACCUGAAAUCGAAGAAAAUCAUAGCAUUGUCUUUGAAAAUUCACUAGGAGAAAGCGAGAAGAAAACAAGAAUAAAUAAUCGAGUUAGAUUAAUCAUAAUAGAUAUGUUGGGUCCUGAUAAAAGUUUACUUGUAAGUUAAUAAUUAGUUUAGAUUAAUUUAAUUUUUAUUUGAUUAUUUUCAAAAAUAUGUAAUUUAAUUGUCUUGACAGCAAAAUAUAAUGUUAUUUUGAAGAAUAAUAAUUUAUUAUUAUUUUUAUUUUAUUUUGAAACGCAUUAAUAAUAAGUUAUUCAAAAAUAAAUAAAUAAAUAAAAAUGGUUUGGAAAAAAAAGUAUUACAUAAAAGUAAAUUUAUAUUUUUUAAGCUUAGCUAAUCAUACUAUUAUAUUUAGUAAAUCAAAUUAUGUUUUUCUUAUUUUUAAGUAAAUAUAUUAUUUUGAAGAAUUUUUACUUUACUCAUAAUAAGAAACAUAGCCUCAAUUCGAAAAAUUUAUAAAUCUUUAUUAAUAAUGAGGAAUAGUUGCGAGUCUCACCAAAUGUGUGGAUAAUAAAUAAGUAAUAAUUUAUGAACAUUAAUUGAAAUUAAUCUUUGAUUUUGACUUAAUUUAUAAAUCAUUUAUCAAUUGAUUGUCAAACGGAGGUCUAAUUACAUUCAAUAGCAACAGAUGAAAAAUUAUUUAUUUCAUAUGUUACUUAUUAUGUAUAAGUAAAUUAUAUAAGCAUAAAACUUUUUAGUCCCAGCCAAACGAAAAUAAUAGAAACCCAAUGGCUGCAAAUUUGUAGUUGUUUAUAAUUAGAUCAUCUUAUCAUCAUUUAUCAUUACCCUAGCAAAAGAAAUAUAAGUAAUCAACGAGAAAUCUGUUGGAAAAAUGGUUUUAGUUAAGCAAACUUGAGCUUAGUUUUACGUGAGGCUCUCCAAAAUUUACAAGAUCAAGCAUUCACAUUCUACUCCGUGAGAUGAUUGACAUGAUAUAUUUAUUUAUUAAAAUCAUUGAUAAUUGAAUGAAAUAUUUGAUUCCAAAUUUACCCUCUUCAAAAUUUAAAUUUGAAAUUGCUAAAUUCUUGUCCACAUUUGAAACCUUAUGGUAUAUAGUAUGGUUUAUAAGGUGAGAGCUGACAAUUGGGUUUGGGUUUCAAGGGUACCACAUUUGAAAGCAUGUUUAGUCGUGGGAAAAAUAUGAUAUAUAGUAUGAGCUGUUCAAGGGUACCACAUUUGAAACCUUGUGAUAUAUAGUAUGAGUUGUUUUAUUAUAAGGAAUGUGAGAAAAAUAUGGAUGAACUUCAUAAUGAUUACUUAUUAUGGGAUAAUUUGUUGCCUAAGAAAAGAGUUAAAUGGAUAUGUACAUUCAAGUAUGUUUAUGUGAUUUGAGAAAAAAGGGGAGUAGAGAAUGGUAGAGUUGGAAUUUAUUUAGAUUAAAAAAUUAAUAUAAGAGAUCUGGGUGGCAUAUUGAUGUGUGAAAGGUUCAUAUUAAAAAUAUGAAGGUUGUUAUUUUGUGAUCUUAACUAAAAUUGAUAUAAUUAAAAGUUAGAAGGCAUAUGGUACGGCUAUAAGUAUGUGAUGGUGUUAUAUGAUUACAACAUGAUAUGAUGAGUAUGUAAAUGAACAUAAUGGUUGUCAUAUAGCAAAAUAAUGUGAUGAUUGAUUUGGUUAUUAAGUUAAUUCAUUUUCUUAAUGCCAUUUUGCUGGAUUAUUGUGUUAUAUUCCAUACAAUUUGGAAGCGUUGAGUUAACUUUUGAGGCCAAGGUGAAAUUAUUGAAAUUUUGGUGAUAUAAUUUUUAGGUCAUUUUCAAUUUUAUUUUAGGAUCUCAUGAAUAAAGUAUUUCAUUUUUAUCGAGAUGUAUUUGCUACGAAAUAAACGGAUGAUAUGUUGGAAAAUUUAAAGUUUAAGAGGAUCAUCAGAUGUAUGUUUAUACAUUGUGGAAUGAUAUCUUUAGGUUACAUUAACUUCAAUAAAGGUCUUUAUCUGACAUACAAAAAGACUUAUGUAUUGGUAAUAGGUCCAAGGCCUCUAUAUGGAAUAAGAGUGUAGCAUUAUCAUGGAUCAAAUGUUAUUAAUGUCUCUUCAUAGAAAGAAAGCGAAAAAAAAAAUGUGUUGGUUUAGAAAGGUAAAAUUUGUGCCUACGAGGAGCUUGAAAUUGAUUAAAUUUUGAGGAAAUAUUUGCUCACAUAUCUAAAGUUGAUGAGGGUUUGAUUUAUGAUAAUGAAUUAUGCUAGGGUUUGGAAAGUGUUUUGAAUAAACGAUAAAUUAUGGAUUAUAAGAUAGAUUGUUGAAAAUGCAUGAUUAAAAUAUGAUUUAGAGUUGACUAUUUUAGUAUUGACAUUUAGAAUUAUAAUGUUAUCACAUGGUGAGAAAUACGAAUACUUACCAAUCACAAAAGUUUAAGGUAUAUUUGUAUUCGAAAGAAUUGAACAUGAAGCUGGCAUAUAAGACUCGAUACAAAUAACUCUUUUGAGGUUAUAUGAUACUUGUAUAUUUCAAUGGCUUAUUUAUUGGGAUGAAAGUUACAAAAGAAAGCUAUUGAAUCUUAAUACCACUACAACAAAACAAUGAUUUAGCGAUAAGAUUUUUUGCGACAUACAAAAAGUUGUCGCAAGAAGUGACUUAACGCGACACAUUUUUAAAGUUUGUCGUGAAGAUUGUGAUGAAAAAAAUAUGUACCAAAAACUAUUUUACGACAUAAAAAGUUGUUGUGAAAUGUGAGAUGUUGCGACAAAUAAUAAAGAUUGUCACCAAAAAUAUGAGGGAAGCAAGGCACCAAAAUAUUUUUGCUGUGAAAUUUAUGGCGACAAACUUCUUUUCUUGCAACAAAAUGCUUAUGAUGCAAUAGGGUCUCCUCUUGGCGAUAAAAAAAUAUUUUUUUCUAAAAAUUCUAUAGUUGGAGGAAAAAAAGGCUACAAGAAUAUAACUUUUUUGCAGCGGACAAAAAAUAUUGCAGUAGAUUUUUUACAAUCCUCACCCAUAUAUGUCGACCCUAAUAUUGUCGUAGAGUUGAAGGAUACUGCAAUGUGCAAUACAUGCCGCAAAAGACCUCAAAUGUAAGUGUUCAUGAAAUAUUUCUUUCGACUUAAAAUUAUUGCAAGUGUAUGAUUCGUUAGCAAGUAAUAAAGUUGAAUGUUAAGUUCUGAGUAUCGUUACACAGAGAUUGAGUAGUUUAAUUCUAACUAUUUUAACCUUAAUCGAAACAAAUUUUUCAAAACAGGAAUUUAUUCUCAGAAAAACCCUAAUUUAGUAAAACCCUAAUUAUUGAAACUUGAUGAUUGGAAUGAACUCAAUAUGCAAAACAACAUUUUAUAGAAUUAAAAUGCAAAUUAUACGUUUGGAAUGCAAAUUGGCUGUGUUCAAUGAAAACUAAAAGCACUAGAAUCACGAAUUUCUAUGUAAUGAUCACUCUUAACCCUAAUUUCACAAAAUGACAACACGAUUAAAUUAUUGACGAAUCAAUGCUCCUAAUUCUAUUCAACACUCUCUCUCGAGAUGUAUUAAACGUAUUCUUAUACACCACCGGCCUAUAUCUCUAUAACAAAUGCAUAUAUAAGAAUGCAUGUGGUUUUAUGAACAUCUAAAGAUUCACGCAAAGCAUAGGGGUAUAUCUCUAUCCCGUAUCGGACCCUACGUCGAUUUAUACCUUGUCAAAUUUAUUUCUCUUCUCUCGAACAGAUAAAAUAAACCACCAAAUAUCACAUAAUUACGUACACUUAAUUAUGGAGGAAAAUUAUUGUAUAUAAAUCAUUCAAACAUUCAAAUACAUGUUUAUUGUCAAAUUGCAAACUAGAAAUUAAAGAAAUUAUAUCAUAUUGUACAUUGAUCUCCCAGUACAUGAAAACCUAGCCCAACAUGAAGAAAAUUACAAAAUACACGAUAAAUUGUAGAGAAAGCAUCACUAGGUUAUGAAUUUGCUUGAAAUCUUGAUGAUCUUCGUGUAAGUUCUUGUUACUUUAGCUCAAAAUCCUCUCCAAGAUGUGUUUUCUUGUCUCCCAAUGCGUUCUGUCUCGAAAUAUGAUAGCUUUAGGUUUAUUAUAUUGCUUCCAAAUCACGUUCCAAUAGAAUUAUAACACAAAACAGAAACUGCAGAAUCGUCCCGAAUUUUUACACCAUGCGACCGCAUGGUUGAACCUAUUUUGGGAUUUUAAAUCUCGGGUGGGGGUUGUGCGAUCGCAUGGUUAUAACACCAUGUGACCGUAUGGUGUAAACCUUCCAAUUUGUGCUGUUUUAGUCCACAAACUCAAUCCUCUUGUUUAUUGGCCUCUUUUCUUCGACUAUUUUAUUCCAUCCUCUCAUAUUGACCUCCAAUUGGUACUUGUUACUAUCAAUUCUUUGAUUGCUCCCUUGGCUCAUCUUGUGGAUAUAUGCACUUUGGUCCUCGAAUUAUCACUUUGAUUCAUUUUGGUCCUUUUCACUUAUUUUUCUCGUGAAUUCCAUCAACUCUAUUAGAAAACCCUACAAUCCAAGACUCAAGAGAAUUUAGGUCACAUUCCAAACGUUUUGCUCGUAUUUUAGUCAUGUUUGUGAGUUAUAUAAGUGUAUAAAAACGCACUUAUCAACUCCCCCAAACUUUAACUGUUGUUUGUCCUCAAACAAGAUAGUAACUUAAAUCUCAACAAUCAUGACUCAAUAAUCUGCCAUAUCUCAGGAUUGGAAUUCAGUGAUUAACACAAGAAACAGUUUCAACAGUGUUAGAAUAGAAUUUACCUUUACUUGUCGGAUGCAAGACUCAUCCUGUGUAUGUGAUUUCAUACAAUCAUAGCAAGCUCAUGAUUGGUUCAUUCCCGACCCCAAAAUGGUCAAAUAUAUUCUUAAUUCGCUCGAGAGAUACACAACCCCCAACUUAUUCUUUUCACUCAAUUAUUUCAGGGUUGUGCUUUAAAGUUAAGGGUUUGGGUAACUGUAGUCCUUACCCUCUCUUUGUUUGGAUAGAUCUCACCAUCACAGGUUCGCAUGUCAACAAAUGAAGGCUCUCCUAGAUUUGAUUGCUUUAACACUCAAGAUUAAACUAAGUUACUUGCCUCGCCUUGAAGGUGUGAUUUUUAUCAACCAAAUGUCCAAAGGCUUCUUCUAUACUAUCGUACUCUGUAUUUUUCAUUAAUUUUUUUUAUGUCAUCUUCUCAUUUGCUUUCUAUAUGACCCCUGUAGCGAGCUUUAGGCCGGUGACUUCCAACCCAAUUGGCUUUAGGGCAUGAGGUUUUAAACCAUUGCAUGCUUAUUCACUCGAGUUAUAAGGGCUCGAUCAGAUUUUUUUUAUUAAUAUCUUUCCCUCUUGCUUUCUAUAUGACCUUUGUAACGAGCGUUGGGCCGGUGUCUCUCAAACCAGUCGGCUUUAGGGCACUAGAUUUCGAGAUAUCCUUAAAGGCUUACUUGCUUGAGUCAUAAGGGCUUGGAAAUGUGUCAUAUUUUCGUAACCUAAAAUUAUGCCCAUUUUUAUUUUUUCUAGACAUUUGGUCUCUAGAAUCAACCCCCCAAUUGAAGAGUUUCUCCUAGUUUUCAUCUCACAUGUCUAGACAAUCCACACAGCAUUACAUGCACGAAGCCCCAACUUAUCUCAAUGUUCCCAUAUAAUUGUUAAACCAUCUCCAAUUUAUUCAACAAUUUUUGGUUUAUUAAUCAAAUCGAGGUUUUCUGGUUUCUCCUGCUUUAUUCAAACCUAAUUACUCACUUGACAUGUAUGGCAUGAGUGGCGUGCAUAUGAAAUGUCAAGUACUACCUCAACAAGUAUCAGUUAAUCAAAUUUUGCACUAUAUUCACAGUUCCUAACACAUAUGUAUUCUAAUAAUCACAUCAUUGUCGGUAAGGCUAUCAAACCCAAAAUGCAUGCAAUGAACUUAAUAGAGCAUAUUGAUACAAUAAUCACUCAUCAAGCACACAAUAUGCAACCAGUGUCAAAAGAUUGAUGGAUUGUGAUCGUUUAAAAAAGGAUUACAUUACAUGCCGAUAAUUUAGUUUCCAAAAGAGUCAUGUUCAAAAUAUACCACCACCCCCAAACUUAUACAAUACAUUGCCCACAAUGUGAAAAAUAAAGGCUUCAAGAGACAUAAUUUGAAGGACAAGUGCAACUUAGAGUUAGCAAAUUAGUUAAAUAAAACUCCCUUGAUCACUAUGGUGGUGGUGACUGGUAGCUACGUCCUACGGUGUCGUUGCUCGGUAGAUGUGGAAAAUGAGCCAAGAUGUGCCUCAGUAGAUCUGACUGCUUGACUUACUCUGCUUACAUGGCUCUCAUCAUGCUACUCCGUGCUCUAACUUCGCCUUCCAUGCUAUGCAUUUGGUCCAAAGUGUCGUUCACUCUUUUCUGUAUUCCAUCCAUUCUACCCACAUAUAUGCUCAGUUGCUCGUUCAUAGUUUCCAUCUCCCGUCUAGCUGAUCGGGCCUCCUGAUACGUAGUCUGUGCUGUGGUUUGAGUGGUACUAAUAUCACGUCGGGCUGUCUGCAUGUUGGUCAUCAAAGACCUUGGAGCUUGCUGGAUCUCCUCUAUAUCGCGAUUGGUUCUUGUGAGAGUCGUAAACAUCUGAUGCAGUAAUUGUGUAUCAGCUCCCAUAGGUGGUGGUGGUGGUGCCUGGGACAUCUCAUCAUCGUUGGGUCCCUGGUCCUGUGCAACCUACUGCUGUCUUCAUCGUUCACUCUCUUGUUCGUCCCGAUGUCUUAUCCGAGCUCGCUCUUGAGCCUCAAAUGUAGUACGCUUUAUUGGAGGGCUGGGUUUUUUAGACACCUCCUCUGGUAAAAUUGUAACACCCCGACAUAUGCCGUUGAUGAGGCUCGGGAAGACCAAAGUGGUACGUCGAUCCCGCCAAGUGUCUAAGGUGUGGAUUUGAUUGUAGAUAAGGGUGGCGAGGUCUAUUUUGCAAUCUCGAACCAGAUGAUAAAUAAAGCCUGUUGUUUGAUCAGGAAAUGUGAUUCUUUGUUAUCUGGGCUUGAUGUUGUGAUACAUGAAGAGCCAUAGUAUGGCUGUAGAUGGUGUGAGCUCUAUUUGAUGCCAUUCAGCAGUUGCUAGGGGCCAUGCAUUUUUCUGUCCCAACAAAACCUCAGCUACUUCAUGCCAGUUGAAUUCGGUGGGGAUGGGAACCACAUUUUCUAUGUUUAGCUGAUAAUAAUCAUGGAUAACAUCUGAGGAGAACAUAAUCCAUUUCCCUUGCAUCCAUGUCUGAUGUAUAUGCUCUAAACCUGGGGUGUCGAUUUUACUAUUGAAAUUUGCAAAGAACUCUCGGACUAGAUUCUCAUAAACUGGGUGAGGUCUCUCAAUUCUGGACCAAAUUCACCAAUUCAAACUCGAGAAAUCUUCAAGUUUAACUGGUCUUUCAGGGUUCAUUGUCCAGUGGUGUAUGAUGUUCUCAUAUCGGGCAAUGGUUUCAGCACUGAAGAACCUCUAUAAUUUAUCUUCGAGUUCUCUAGUUCUCACAGUUCCGGAAUAUGAGCCAACUUUUUCCUUGCCCUUUGAAGUUCUUUUCAGCGGCAUCCUGCAAAAAAUAAUAUUUUCAAUGUCAAAACCAUAGAAUGCAAUGAAAAAGUAUGUCGAAAACACGAAAAUCAACUUUAGAUGCACGAAUUUCCCAAACUUACUCCUAGAUGCAUGUAUAACACGUUAAUGUGCAAUAUUCAAGAUAUGAUGUUCACGAUAGUGGAAAUAUUGCGCAAAUAGGAAAAAUAACAAAAUUAGGCUCAAACAUGCACAUUAUGAAAAUUUGACCCAUGACCGAGUGCGCACUUUUGACCCCGAGCAUCGUUGAAAAAUAUCGAAAUUUUUUCAGGCCAUCUCUGGGCAUAUGGAAGUAUUCAAUGUAGUCUAUCACAUAUUCAAAUUCCAAAUUGAUCGGAUGUCAUUUGGUGAGGUAAAUGAAUGGGCCAAGUAGGUAACGCAGGGUGCUGUGACUUGGCCAUGUAUUGCUACAUUAUGCAAGUUGGGGUUUUAUGUUUUUCAUAGCCUUUCAUGUGAUAUCUCAUUAUCGAAUUGUUAUUCACGUUAAUUGUACGGCAUGACAAAAUCAAAGUUGACAAAAUUGUAUAAAGCUUGUCACUUAGGCAUUUGAUCGAACAUAUUGUGUGCACUAUCAUCAAUUCCAUUCUAUGAAUGAUUGGCAAAGUGUAAUCACCCACAAUGCAUAAACACAAAUCAAUGUUAAAAUCUAAGCCUACUUACACCCUUUCACCUCAAUUUCCAAUUGUAAAUUAUAAGUACCUACAAACUGAAAUCUAAAGGAGGAGAAGAGAUAAAGUUCAUGCCUUGAUUUUGAUAUGAAUGUGUGGAUGUAUGAAGGAAUGAAGGAUGAUUCAUGAUUUUUUUUGGAUGUGUGCAUGUAUUUUGGGGAUUUCGCGCUUAGGGUUUGAGAGAUGAGUAAAAGGGGAAUGGGGAAUAAUUGCCAAGUUACGGGUUAAAAACCCGUAACUGGCUUUGCCAUACGGCCGCAUGGCAUUAAUCCAUGCGGUCGCAUGGUAUGGAGAUCACCCAAAAAGAUUUUUUGGUAGGUAUCCAUGCGAUCGCAUAGACACUUUUUCUAUGUGAUUGCUUAGACAAAUUUUUUUUAACUAAUGAUUAUGAAAAUGUACCACACACCUAAUUCUCAAAAACACGACUCAAAUCACUUUUUCCCAAAUUUUUUGAUUUUCAAUUGGUAAAUUUGAUCUAGCAUCUUCUAUGCUUGAAAAGUUUUGAAAAUAUAUUACGCAAUGUGGGAUAUGUGCUGGCCUAUAGACUUAGUACCAAAACCAAUUUUCGAAUUGAAUUCAAACCACACUUUGGACAAUUUUAUGAAAAAUGAUUGUGUGCCUCGAAAUGCGUGAGUAUCACACCCAAUCACCCAACAACAACUUCAAUCUGUCUUAACUCGUGCUUAAUGUCUGGGGACUCAUGUGAACGGUGCUUAGACUCUAUUGACACAAGGAUGAUCGAUGACUUAACUAAAAAUGCAAGCAUGAAAUGCAAAGAUAAAAUAAAUCAAAGGAUACAGUGGGUUGCCUCCCACUCAGCGCUAGUUUAUAGUCGAUAGCUUUAACUCUUCCACUUCUGCAUCAAUUAGGCAUUCCGAGUUGAACGGUGGACUUUUGCCUGGAGAAGUCGCUGCCCCAGUAGUGUUUCAGUCUUUGCCCAUCAACUGUGAAUGUUCCCUUUGUUUCAUGGCCGGCCUAUAUAGCUCCAUAUGGCGAAACUUUAGUGACAGUGUAAGGGCCCGACCAUAUUGAUCUUAAUUUUCUAAGGAAGAGUUUGAGUCUCGAGUUAUAUAAUAGGACUUUCUGCCCCACUUCGAACUCUCGUCCCUGAAUAUGUAGAUCAUGCCACUUUUUGGUACAUUCUUUGAUAAGCUUUGAGUUUUCAUAGGCUUCCAUUCUAAAUUUAUCUAACUCAUUGAGCUGCAAUAAAUGAUUUUCAUCGGCGGCCUUCAAAUCCAUGUUCAACUAUUUCAUAGCCCAAUAUGCCUGGUGUUCUAUUUCUAGUGGAAGGUGGCACGCUUUUCCAAAAACUAGGCGGAAUGGAGACAUGCCUAUCGGUAUCUUAAAUGCUAUCCUAUAUGCCAACAAUGCAUUCUCCAACUUUUUAGGCCAGCCUUUUUGGGAGGAAUUCACUGUGACCUCUAAUAUUCUCUUCAGCUGUCGAUUGGACACUUCGACUUGCCCGCAUGUUUGUGGAUGAUAUGGGGUUGCUACACGGUGUUUAACUCCAUAUAUACUCAAAAUUGCUCGAAUUGGCGAUUGCUAAAGUGUUUGCCCCCGUCAUUGAUUAUUGCCCGUGGUGUGCUAUAUCUGGUAAAGAUGUAUUUCUUCAAGAACCCAAUUACCAUUUUUGCGUCGUUCGUUGGCAAUGCAACUAUUUCCACCCAUUUCGACACAUAAUCAACCACUACUAGGAUGUACUGAUUUGAAAACGAUGGGGAAAAACGGUCCCAUAAAAUCGAUUCCCCAGACGUCAAAUAUCUCGACCUCCAAUAUGCUGUUUAAUAGCAUCUCAUUUCUUCUUGAGAUGUUUCUAGUGUGUUGACAUCUAUCACACCUCUUAACAAACUCAAAGGUGUCUCUAGACAAUGUAGGCCAAUAGAAUCCUGAUUCUAAGAUCUUAGCGACAAUCUAUGAAGCUCUCAGGUGCCCCGCAUAGGCAGAUGAAUGACAAUGCUCAAGAAUUUCAGGCCCUUCAUCUUCAGGUAUACACCUUCUCACAAUUUGAUCAACCCCUAGCCUAUAAAGAAUAGGGUCUUCCCAAAAAUAAUAUUUCAGUUCGACAAAGAACUUCUUCUUCUAGUGACUUGAGUAAUCUGAUGGUGGGAUUGACUUAGUCAAAUAAUUGAUGUUAUCUGCAUACAAUGGGGCUUCUUCCACACUGAACAUUUGCUCAUCUGGAAAAAUUUCAUUGAUUUCCACUGACACCUCUGGUUCUUCUUGUUCUAAUCUCGAUAGGUGAUCUAUCACCACAUUUUGACUACCCUUCUUGUCCCUAAUUUCAAUGUCGAAUUCUUGCAGCAGUAUUACCCAACGGAUUAAUCUCGGCUUAGCAUCUUUAUUUGUUAUUAGAUACUUCAAUGUAGCAUGAUCUGUGUAGACUAUGACCUUAGACCCCACGAGAUAUGAUCUGAAUUUGUCAAAGGCAUAGACCACCACCAAGAGAUCCUUCUUAAUGGUUACGUUGUUGAUCUGGGCAUCAUUCAAUGUUCCGCUUGAGUAAUAGAUCUCAUGGAAGAUCUUGUUCUUUCGUUGUUCCAAUACUGCACGUACGAUAUGAUCAUUGACAUCACACAUUAACUCAAAAGGCAACUCCCAAUCAGGUGCUACAAUUACCAGCACUGAUGUAAGUUUCUCCUUCAAAGUGUUGAAAGUUGUCAGACAUUCCUCAUUAAAUUCAAAUGGCACAUCUUUCAUUAACAGGUUGUAGAGGGUCUUGGUGAUUUUUGAAAAAUCCUUUAUGAAUCUCCUGUAAAAUCCAGCAUGUCCCAAGAAGCUGCAAAUCCCUUUAACUGAUGUUGGUGGCGGUAACUUUUUAAUAACUUGAAUCUUUGCUUUGUCCACCUCAAUCCCUUUUGUUGAGACCCGAUGCCCAAGUACAAUCCCUUCUUGCACCAUGAAGUGAAAUUUUUUUCCAGUUUAGUACUAAAUUUGUUUCUUUGCAUCUUUUUAAUACUAGAUUCAAGUGUUCCAAUCACUCGUCAACGAAGACCCGAAAAUCAAGAAGUCGUCCAUAAAUAUCUCUAUAAAUUUCUCUACCAUGUCUGAGAAAAUCUCCAUCAUACGAUGUUGAAAAGUGGUAGGGGCAUUGCAAAGGUCGAAAGGCAUCUUGCGGUAUGCAAAAGUACCAUACGGGCACGUGAAUGCAGUUUUCUCUUGAUCGUCUGGUGCCAAUGGUAUCUGAUUGUAACCUAAAUACCCGUCAAGAAAGCAAGUAAUGUGAGUGGCCUGCCAAGCUCUCUAGCAUUUGGUCUAUAAACAGAAGGAGAAAGUGAUCUUUUCUUGUUGCUGUAUUGAGUUUGUGAUAAUCAAUACAAAUCCUCCAUCUUGUGACUAUUCUGGUCAGUAUCAGCUCAUUCUUCUCAUUGGGUACUAUCGUUCUUCCUCAUUUCUUUGACACCACCUGAAUUGGGAUAGUCCAUGCACUGUCUGAUAUCGGAUAGAGAUUCUAGCAUCUAGAAGUUUGAGUAUCUCUGCUCUGACGACUUCCUUCAUAUUUGGGUUCAACCUUCGCUGACUUUCUAUGGUUGGCCAAAAAUUCUCUUCCAUAAGAAUCUUAUGCAUGUAUAGUGAAGGGUUGAUCCCUUUGAUAUAUGUUAUGGUCCAUCCAAUUGCAGUCUUAUUCUUCUUGAGUACUCUAAGCAGUUUCUCCUCUUCCACUUCGCUGACUAUGUUCGAGAUAAUCAUUGAAGUAUACACGACUCCCCCAAGUAUGCAUAUCUGAGAUGAGGUGGUAGCUGCUUGAGUUCUAAUUUCGACGGCUGCUAAAUGGACGAUAGUGGUUUUGUGGGUCCUGUCCCAAGCUCCUCAAAAUAUCUUUUUCGUGUGUACGGUGGGUUAGUAUCUAAAAAUCUUGUAUAUGUUUCCAUCUCCACUGAAUUGGAGUGCGUUGAUUAUGAAUGUGCAAUGCAAACUUUAUACGCAUCUAAUGGGUUAUGAAGCAAGAAUGAGUUUUGGACCACCUUGUCAAUCACAUCAAUCUAGAAAUAGUUAUAUGUCUCUGUAUGCAGUUUUAUUGCCUUGAAGACAUUAAACGAGAUCUGCUCUUUUCCCUGUCUCAAAAUUAAUUGCCCGUCCUGAACGUCGAUUAAGGUUCUUCCUGUUGCCAAAAAUGGUCUGCCCAGUAUCAAUGGAAUGUCUUUGUCCUCUUCCAUGUCCAAAAUUACGAAAUCCGCAAGGGAUUUGAAAAUUUCCACCUUGACAAGUACGUCUUCAAUUAUUCCCCUGGGAUGUGUUAAUGACCUGUCAGCUAGCUGUAGCGUUACAAUAGUCAUCUUAGCCUCUCCUAAGCUAAGCUUUCUGAAAAAGAGAUAAAGGCAUUAAAUUUAUACUUGCACCAAGAUCACACAAAGCUUUAUCAAAAUAAACUUUACCAAUCGUACAAAGAACAGUAAAACUCCCUCGAUCUUUCAAUUUUGGUGGGAUCUUUUUCUAAAUUUUGGUACUGCAUUCCUUUGUUGGCAUUAUUGUCUCAUGGUCCCCUAGCUUGCAUUUAUUUGAUAGUAUGUCCUUCAGGAACUUUGCAUAGCUAGGCAUUUGGAACAGUGCAUCGACGAGUGGGAUAUUGAUAUGGAGUUUCUUGAAAACUUCAAGAAAUUUCUUGUGUUGUUGCUCCAACUUUUGCUUCUUUAGCGUUGUGGAAACGGUAUCGAGUUGCUUUACCCUACGUUUUGCUUGGUUUUUCAACUGCGGCGAAUUCCUCUAUCUGAUCAUCAUGCUCCAUUAGUUCUUCUAUCGUUGGAGAUUCUAUUUCAUGAUGUACACCUGACUUUUUACAUGAAUUUCUGGUAGCUGCUUCCACUUCGAGUUGUAAUUGCCCUAGCAUGCUCCUUCGAUUUAUUUUCGUGUCACUCGAUAGACUGGUUGGGGCUCGGCCAGUCAAAGCAACUGCCAACUAUCCCAUUUGAGUCUCUAAAUUUUUUAUUGUUGCAUUCUGGUCCUGAAGAGUGGCUUCGAUUUUCCUCAUGAAUUGAUUGUUAACUUCCAUAUACUGAUUAGUUUUCUCCAUGAAUUUAACAAACAUCUCUUCCAAUUGAGACUUUUUCUCUGGCUGCUGAUAUUGACCCUGCGGUUCAUUCUGGUUUUGAUUGCUCCAAGAGAAAUUUGGGUGCUUUGUCCAACUUGAAUUGUAUGUUUCCCCAUAUGUGUUGUUUUGCUGCCGCUGUCCCCAUUGAGUAAAAUCUGCCUGCUCUACUCCUUGUACCAAGAUUAGACAUUCUGUUGUUACGUGUUCAGCUCCAUAUUCUUCACAACUGGCCAUCUUCGACUGUGCUGUGGUGGUUGAUUGUGUCAUGUUCUCUACCUUGUGAAAUAAUAGAUCAAUAUUUGCUGACAAGGUAGAGUAAACGUCCAUUUCAUAAACCCUCGGUGUUUUCUUUUGCACUGCUCAUUCCGAUGUCCACACAGCUCAAAUGGUAGCCAUAGUCUCAAAAAGUUUCAGUGCCUCAUCAAUUGUCUUUGUGGACAACGAUCCAUUAGAAGAUGAAACAACCAUGCUUUUGAAGGUUGGGAGUAAUCCCUCAUAGCAAUAUUGGACUUGAAGUCCCUUGCUAAUUCCAUGGUGUGGACACUUUCACAGCAUAUUCUUGAACCUAUUCUAGGCUUCAUUGAAAUUCUCCAAGUCACCUUAGCGAAAAAUAAAGAUGCCGUGCUUGAGCUUCGCAAUCUUAGUAGGUGGGAAGAACUUAGUGUAGAAUUUCUGGGCUAGAUCAUUCCAUGUGGUGAUGCUUGCGAUUGGUUGUGAAUCUAGCCAUUCAAUUGCCUUGUCGUGCAGUGUAUGUGGGAACAACCUUAAUCUUAUUGCAUCGUCUGAGAUUUCUUGAUAUCUAAAGUGUUGGCAUAUCUCCAGAAAAUGAGAAACAUUUAUAUGUGGAUUCUCUUCAGUCCUUCCACAGAAUUGAUGGCUAUUUUCAAAUAAUUGUAUCACAUUAGCCUUCAGUUGGAAGUUCGGCUGUCCAAACGGUGGAUAUACGAUGCUUGACUGGCUUUGAAUUAUUUGAGGGGUCAUGAAAUCUCCCACGAGCAUAUUUUCUUCAUCCGCUAUCCCUUCUUCAUUGGCCUAAAAAAUUGGAUUAUUCUGCACAUUAGCCAUUGUUGAUGUGCCUCUCUAUUUUCUCGCUGCCUUCGAUAUAGAGUUCAUUCGAUUUCUGGAUCAGUUAGGAUCAAUUCUCCUUCAGCAGACCUUAACGUGUAAAUCUGUGAGAAGAGUUAAAAGAAGUGAUUAGAUGUUAAAAUGAAAUAUUAAAUAGAACAAAUAAAAAUGAAAUUGAAUAAAAUGAAAUAAAACACAACAAAAUAACAGAAAAUGCAAAGAUGAAUGUUCGAAUUAGUGCCAAUAUAAAUAAAAUUAAACGGAUACCCAAUCCUUGACAACAGCGCCAAAAACUUGUUCACGAAAUAUUUCUUUAGACUUAAAAUUACCACAAAUGUAUGGUUCGUUAACAAGUAAUACAGUGAAAUGUUAAGUUUCGAGUUUCCUCCUACAGAGACUAAGUAGUUCAAUUCUAACUAUCUUUUCCUUAACCGAAACAAAAUUUUCAAAGCAGGAAUUUAUUCUCGAAAAAACCCUAAUUAUUGAAACUUGAUGAUUGGAAUGAACUCAAUAUGCAAAACAAUAUUUUAAAGAAUUAAAAUGCAAAUUAUAUGUUUAGAACAUAAAUUGGUUGUAUUCCAUGAAAAUUAAAAGCACUAGGAUCACGAAUUCCCAUGCAACGAUCAUUCUUAACCCUAAUUUCUCAAAAUGACAACACGGUUGAAUUAUUGACGAAUCAAUGCUAAUAAUUCUAUUCAACACACACUCUCUCUCAAGUGUAUUGAACAUAAUCUUGUACACCACCGGCCUAUAUCUCUAUGAGAAAUGCAUAUAUAAGAAUGCAUGUAGUUUUAUGAACAUCUAAAGAUUCAUGCAAAAUAUAGGGGUAUAUCUCUAUCCCAUAUCGGAUCCUAUGACGAUUUAUACCUUGUCAACUUUAUUUCUUUUCUCUUGAACAGAUGAAAUAAACCACCAAACAUCACAUAAUUAUGUGCACUUAAUUAUGGAGGAAAAUUAUUGUAUAUAAAUUAUUCAAAUAUUCAAAUACGUGUUUAUUGCCAAAUUGCAAACUAGAAAUUAAAGAAAUCACAUCAUAUGGUACAUCAAAAUCCUAGUACAUGAAAACCUAACUUAUCAUGGAGAAAAUUACAUAAUACAAGAUAAAUUCUAGAAAAAGCAUCAUCGGGUUAUGAAUUUGCUUGAAAUCUUGAUGAUCUUCGUGUAAAUCCUUGUUAAUUUGGCUCAAAAUCCUCUCCAAGAUGUUUUUUCUUGCCUCCGAAUACGUGCUGCCUUGAAAUAUGAUGCCUCUAGGUUUUUAUAUUGCGUCCAAAUCGUGUUCCAAUAGAGUUAUAACGCAAAACGAAAACUGUAGUAUCGCCCCGAAUUUUUAUACCAUGCGGCCAUGUGGUUGAACCUAUUUUGCGGUUUUAAUUCUUGGGUGGGGGUUGUGCGGCCGCAUGGUUAUAACACCAUGCGACCGCAUGGAUAAUGAGUUUCCAAUUUGUGUCGUUUUAGUCCCCAAACUCAAUCUUCUUGUUUAUUGAUCUCUUUUCUUCGACUAUUUUAUUCCAUCAUCUUAUAUUGACCUCUAAUUGGUACUUGGCACUAUCAAUUCUUCGAUUUCUCCUUUGGCUCUCUUCUGGAUAUUUGCACUUUGGUCGCUGAACUAUCACUUAGAUUUGUUUUGGUCAUUUUUGCUUCUUUUUCUCGUGAAUUUCAUCAACUCCAUCAGAAAACCCUACAAUCCAAGACUCCAGCGAAUUUAGGUCACAUUUCAAAUAUUUUGCUCGUAUUUUAGUCAUAUUUGUGAGUUAUAUAAGUGCAUAAAAUGCGCUUAUCAGUAAGUUGUUGUAAAGUUUUUACGAUGUAACUUAUUCAUUGAUUUUUUUUUUUAACAUUCUUUGCUUGCUUUCUUAAUUUUUUUCUAAUUUUUUUUCCUUUAAUUUUUGCAAUAAGCGUUUGUUUUUUUUUCCGUCCAGCUAAAUUUUAAUGUGUAAUACAAAUUUUUAAAAAUUUUAAUUAUUUUUUGUCAAGAGCAAAAUUUUUAUAAUAAAAGCUAUAUAAAAUUUAUAAAACAAUUGAUUGCCAAAAAAAUUAAGAAAAAAGCCUUAGAUGAUUAAACUUUCAAUCACAUAAUAACUUACAAAAUUAGAAAUACUAGGUCGAACUAAUCCAUAAAGGAAAAUAGUUGUCUCAACAAUUAAAGCAAAUAAAUAAAUAAAUCAUAAUUCAUAUAUUAUCAGUAGGUGGUGACAUACUAAUCAUUGUUGCUGUUCAGCUUGUUGUGGAGACAUGCUGACUUGACUCGAUACGAACUUAUGCAUUAGUGCCUCAAAUUGAGAAAUCUUAGCAUGCAUAUCCAAUAAUCCUUGCUCUUGCUUUUGUAUUUGCUCUCGAAGGGCUAUUGAUUUAGUAUCAAUCGAUGUCAAAUAAGCAGAGUUUCUUGAGACAGGUUUGGGACCAUGUCCAAGUCCUCUAAUGUAACCUCUAGAUUUUCCUAAAACUUCUUGCAUAAUCUCAAGUUCAGUGGGGGCCUCAGAUCCCUCUGGAAUAGGUUUCUCUUUAAUUUGAAGCAUCCUCUCCCAUAUAUAAGUAAAAAAGAAGUAGAGAGAAUACAAGUUAAUAUAUAUAUAUAAAAUGUCUAUAACAACGAAUAAAUUGUUAAUAUACUUACAUAUCUUGUGUGCUUCAUCAUUUACCCCCCCUUCUCACUGUAAUGAGUCUCAUAAUAAAGUUCUAUUUCUCCUUGUACAUUGUCUUUAGUAAUUGAUUUCUAUUUGAAAUAAUAUAUAUCAUGUUAUAUAUUUGUCUUCAUAAAAAAAAAUGUAUUACCUUUUCUUGAAGACAUGCAACAAAUGAUUUUGAUACACCACGAUGAUUAUAUUUAAUGCAGUUGUGGCUUGCUAGAUUACGUGUAGAUAGUGCAUGUAAUUAAUUUAUAUAUAAAUAUAAUUAACUCAUUAUAAUUUAUUAUUUUUAAUUAUAUUAAUUAUUUUAAGAUAACAUCUAAAUUACAUUAUUCUUAAUAUUUACAAGUAUAUGCAUUUUUAAUUAAAGUUACUUGAAAUUCAGGGGUACACCAAUAUUGAGACAACCAGUCCCAAUCAACUUGCUUUAUGCCAGUUGGGUAGUUCUUCAUUGCAUCAUCUGAUGUUUUUCCAUUGAAAUAUUUCUCUUUGAGUCUACAUCUAUAAUCAUGAUAUCUUGUCGCUAAAGUAUCUUUCACAUAUUUAUGGACAUGCUCAACUGUCAAAUCAAACUUGAAUUUUGCCUACCAAAAAAGAAAUGUGUAUAUUAUUUAUUUAAAUAUGGGAAACUAAAAACUAUUCUACAAAGUUUUGUAAAAAUGAAUUUGUUUAUGACUUAAAAAAGCUUGAUCAUAUAAUUUAUUUUUCUCUUCAUUGGGUAUGUCGAUCCAUCUUUUGUAACAAGUGGAGCAAAGGAGCGAACGAGCCACAUUCACUAGCCAAACGUGCUUGCUGAUUUCCAAUAGCUCUUUCUAGUUUUUAAGAAAUCUCCCAUGAUAUUUUUCCAGCUGUACUAUCAAUGUCAUCAGUGCACUUAUCUCUUGUAGGACCACGUCCCUUCCUCUUCAAAGAAUGAGAAUCUAUGAAAUAAUUUACUCUAAGGAUCAGAAUAUAUAAACAAAAAAUUAGAUUCUAUCAAUUAAAUGUAUACAUUGGGAUGGUUUUAUAUUAUAAACAUAAAGAUAAAUUGUUACCAUUGGAAUUGAGGAUGGUCUCAUCUGCCAAUGUGGUUUUUUGUGAUGAAUUAAGUUGUGGCUGGGGCUGAGAUAAUGGGGCAGGAACCUGUAGAGGUUGAGGUAAAGGAGUAGGAACUUGAGCAUUACUAGUCUUUGAGAAUGAGGAAGAGAUAUUAGCUUGAAGAGUAGUAUGGGUUAAUGUACCUUUGCAUGAUGCCUUUGACGAGAACACAUCUGAAGUGGCUCAUAAGAUGUAGUAAAAACUCUAUUUUUCUAGCCAAUUCUUGUUCGAAAAGCCGUUAUCUACCAAGAAAACCCCCAAAAGAGAGAGAGAGAUAUCAUUUUUAACCAAAAAAUGGGUCUCCAUUCUUGCAAAUUCUUGUUCGAGAAGCCAUUAUCUACCAAGAGACAUAAAUGAUAAUAAAAUCUUGAAGACAAUUAAAUUUAGUUAUUUUUAAAAAAAGAAAAUAAAAUGAUUUAUUUCUUGACGAUAGGACAACUUCUUCUUAAUUUUCAUGGCUUUUCUCUGCAUUUAAUUCUUUGAUCCCAACUGGAUAUCUUUAUUUCAGUUGUAGACAAACCCAUCUAUUAUUUUCACCAUUAACCAAACAAAAAAUAAUGCACCACUCUUUUCAUUCACAAUGCCUUCCAAAUAACGUAAUGAUGUCAACUUAACUCCUAAAAGAAAUCAGUUGUCUUGCAGCUUCAUUGAUGAGCUCAUUUUAGUUAAAAGAUGACUAACCCACAGAUAUCUUCAAGAAUGGUGAGGAAAUUAUAUUACACAUCCUAAAUGUAGUCCACCUAUAAGCUAUACAUGACAUGAUUAAUGAACUAAAAUUUGUACAAUAUGGCCGUUGGUAUAUAUAUAUACACACACACACACACACACACACACACACACACANNNNNNNNNNNNNNNNNNNNNNNNNNNNNNNNNNNNNNNNNNNNNNNNNNNNNNNNNNNNNNNNNNNNNNNNNNNNNNNNNNNNNNNNNNNNNNNNNNNNNNNNNNNNNNNNNNNNNNNNNNNNNNNNNNNNNNNNNNNNNNNNNNNNNNNNNNNNNNNNNNNNNNNNNNNNNNNNNNNNNNNNNNNNNNNNNNNNNNNNNNNNNNNNNNNNNNNNNNNNNNNNNNNNNNNNNNNNNNNNNNNNNNNNNNNNNNNNNNNNNNNNNNNNNNNNNNNNNNNNNNNNNNNNNNNNNNNNNNNNNNNNNNNNNNNNNNNNNNNNNNNNNNNNNNNNNNNNNNNNNNNNNNNNNNNNNNNNNNNNNNNNNNNNNNNNNNNNNNNNNNNNNNNNNNNNNNNNNNNNNNNNNNNNNNNNNNNNNNNNNNNNNNNNNNNNNNNNNNNNNNNNNNNNNNNNNNNNNNNNNNNNNNNNNNNNNNNNNNNNNNNNNNNNNNNNNNNNNNNNNNNNNNNNNNNNNNNNNNNNNNNNNNNNNNNNNNNNNNNNNNNNNNNNNNNNNNNNNNNNNNNNNNNNNNNNNNNNNNNNNNNNNNNNNNNNNCCCUAGAUCCAAUCGAUUUAGGUUGUAAACGCCUUUAAUAUAUCUAAUGCAUUUGAUUUUGGCGAGAUCUAUUAUUUAUUUAAAUUAAUUUUGUAAUAAAUAAUAUUAAAUAAUAGAAUCCGAAGAUCCAAUUUUUAGGUAAUCUGUUAAUCACAAGGAGUUGUGAUUGUGAGAUACAAAUUACAUAUAAUUGAAUCUUAAAUUAUUUGUGGUCGUAAGUAAUGACAAGAUACAAAUAUCGUUAUUACGGAUAAAACAUCAUGUGUGAAAUUUCUUACUUGUGAAGUAAGUAGUUGAUCUUACAAGCUAAAGUGUGAAGUAGCUGAUCUCACGAGCUAAAGUGUGGUGACACUUAAAUGAACACGUGGAUAUUUUGUUAUAGAACAAAACAUUGGAGACCCGCUAAGAGAUUCCACAUGGAUAACUAUCUGAGUGUCAGUGGCUAAUCUCUAACGUUCGGUAGUGGAAUUGGUCCUUUGACUUGAGGUCGUCAUGAUAUCUUAUAUGAGGACAUUCAUACUUUGGCGGGUGUUGGAUGUUGCUCUGAAAGGGGCCUCUAAUACGACAUCGUUCGGGUAUGUCAAGAAUCGUAUGAAGGUUGUGAUUGAUCAAUAAAGGAUUCGUCACCCUUAGAUAGUAGGAGAUUAUGAUCUACGUUUCAUUCAAUUAAGUCGAUGAUGAAAUCCUUGGCCAAGGUGUACUCAUAAGUCGAAAAGGAGUUUUCGAUUUAUAUUGACUUAAUAGUGGAGUGAAAGAUAUGAUCAAUGAUCGAGUUUGACACAAUUUCAUAUCUCGUAAUUGAUUGGAUCGUAUUGACGAAGGGAUAAUAGUUUCACGAUAAACGGACGAAUUUGGUUUUGUCAUACCACGUGACAUUUCCCGUCACAUGUACUGCCUUGACACAUUGCUAGAUGUCAAUCAGGGACGGCGAAUGUGAAUUGACAAUAAAUUAAAAGGGUGUAUUAAUUUAUCAAUUUUGAUUAGAUCAAAAUAAUAUUUCACGACGUUAGGUAUCGUGGUCGGGAACCUAAUGGGUCGCACACAAAAGAGAAUUGGAAGACUGCAAAUUGUCAAUUGAUUAAUUUAACAAUCGUUGGAUAAAUUAAUUAAUUGAAUUUGUUAUGUAUAAUCCCGAAUUAAUUAAUUGGAUUAAUUAAUUCACGGGCGGGGUUUGAUUAAUUGGAUUAAUUAAAUAUUUGACCGGAUCGGGCCGGGUCCGUUUGGGUUUAUAUAUAUAUGCAGCUAGGGUUUGAGGUCCAUAAGUUAUUCAUUAUUCUUGCUAGCACAAGAAUGAAACCCUAGCAGUUGCUGUCUACUCUCUGUGUGGAUUUCAUUGGAGGCUGGACAAUUGGAUAGCUGUGGGAGGCAGAUUCAAGCUGUUGGAAAGGAAUAACGCGAAAGAGUUUGCAAAUCACAAAUAAGGGUAUAUUUCUCAUCAUAGGUUUUAUCUAAAUACAAAACUGAAUCCUGAAUGGGAAUUGAAACUUGUUAAAUUCCGCUGUGCAUAUUUAAGUAAAUUCCCAACAAUUGCUAAUUCCAGGGCCACAUGUACCAGGAAGAGAUAUUGAUGUUUAUUUGAGACCACUAGUAGAUGAGUUGAAAGAAUUAUGGAAAGUUGGUGUUGACACGUUUGAUGCUUAUAAUGGUCAAAUGUUUUCUAUACGUGUAGCUAUAAUGUUGACCAUUAAUGAUUUGCCUGCAUAUGGGAACCUAUCAGAAUGGAGCACUAAGGGAUACAAAGCUGGUCUAAUAUGUAAUGAGAAUACUUCCCACGUAGGUUAUGUAAUAAAAUAUGCUUUAUGGGGCAUCGGUGUUAUUUGCCACUUAACCAUUCUUGGAGAAAAAGGUAAAUUACAUGAUGGGAAAUGGAAAUUACGACCACCACCAAAAAAGUUAUCAGGAGAUGAUAUUUUGAAUCAAUUACAAGUUGUGAGGUGUGGGAAACAUGGAAAGUACCCAAGUAAUAAAGAUAGAAAAAGUAAACGUACUCUAGCUGAGAUAAACUUGACGAGAAAAAGCAUUUUCUUCGAGUUGGAGUAUUGGUCUAACUUGAAACUAAGACACAAUUUAGAUAUAAUGCAUAUUGAGAAGAAUGUGUGCGAUAAUAUUGUUGGAACAUUGUUCAAUGUUGAAGGGAAGACAAAAGAUACGGAUAAGACUAGAUUGGAUUUGCAAGAUAUGAAGAUUGGGUGUGUACUGCAAUUGUAGAGCUAUGUUGUUUUUUUAAAUAAUUAUGUACAAGAACAUUGAAUAUCAAUGAUUUAGAGAAGCUGGAAAAAGGGAUUAUUAUAAUUUUAUGUAAACUAGAACGAAUUUUCCCACUGGCAUUUUUUGAUGUAAUGGUUCAUUUAGCUAUUCACCUACCUGAAGAAUUAAAACUUGGAGGUCCCGUUGCAUUUAGAUGGAUGUACCCAGUUGAAAGGUAAUUGCUAAUAUUGCAUACAUAUAUACUUGUUCAUUGACUUAUUACAGAAUAUUAGGUUGAUAUAAGAGUUGUGUUAAGAAUAAAGCUUGACCCGAAGGAUCAAAUGCUGAAGCAUAUAGUGUUAAUGAGUCUUUGAAUUUUUGCUCGAUGUAUCUCAAUGACAUUGAAACAAGAUUUAAUCGAACUAAAUGUAAUGACGAUGGUGGUACUUCAUCUACAAGCUUAGGUCAUGCAGAACUAAAGUUACUUUCAAAACAAGAAAUUGAUAAAGUGCAUUGGUAUGUCCUAAAUAAUUGUGAUAAAGUUCGACAAUAUUUAGAUUAAGUUCUCAAUCAACUUUCAAAAAUUGUUUUGCUAUUAACUAUUAAUGUGUUGUAGUAUUUAAUUGCAUCUCCUUUCAUAGCGAACACAUGUAGCUAUUGCAACAACAUCACAACAAUUUGGAAAAAGACAAGAAAAAUUGUUUCACGAAUGGUUUGAUUCACAUGUAAGUUAUAAUACGUGUCUUUAUUAUUUAUUAAAGCAACAUAACAUUCGCAUCUGAAGGUAUAUUGAUUAAUAUGUUUUUAUUAGCACAAAUAAGGAGAUUAUAUAAUAAAAAAUAUUCAGGUGUAAACAAAGAAUUGUAUUCAUUAACAUGUAAACCGGAUUUUAGAAUAUUUUCCUAUUUGGGUUUUAUUGCUAAUGAGGUACGAUUCCUUAUUAAAGAUCGAGAUGGUUGUCGUACAACACAAAAUAGUGGAGUGAUGGUGUCAGGAGAUGAGAACUUCAACUUUUUCGGUAUACUUUGUGAUGUUAUUGAGUUGGUAUAUGUUUUUUUACUAUCGCGUCACUUUGUUCUAGUGUGAUUGGUACGAUAAUAAUCCAAAGCAAAAAAGAGCAGUCGUAGAUUAUCAUCUUACUUCUAUCAAUGUGAAUUGCAAAUAGUACAUGGAUGAUUCUUAUAUACUUGGCAUCCAAGCACAACAUGUAUUUUAUAUGGAUGAUGUUUUGUUGGGUCCACAAUGGAAGGUACUGGAAAAGGUACAACACAGAGGCAUAUGGGACAUCCCUUAAAAAAAUGAUGGUGGUAGUACGCAAGUAAUAUUUCAAGAAAAUGAAUCAUCAGAUAUUGUCUUACCAAUACAACAGGAAGAUCUUGACUCUCAAGUAUGCCAUAGAAGAGAUGUUGAUCCAGAUAUUAUUGAAAAUGAAGCACUGCAAAUAGAUGUGGAAUCAAUAAAUAAAAAUAUGAAUAAUGUUAUAUAUGAUACUUCAAAAGAGGAAGAUGAUACAUUGAAUGAAUAUUACAAUGAAGAUGAGAAAUCUCUAGAUGGUAACCAUGAUGAUGAUGAUGAUAUUGGUAAGUAAAACAUUCUUUAUAUAUAUAUAUAUAUAUAUAGGUUUUUUUUUGGUGUAAUGUUUUUCUAUUUUAUUUUUAAAUGAUUACAUUUUUCACUUUCCUCUACAGAUUCGAGUACUGACAAUGCAUCAACUGAUAAUUUGUAAGAAUUUUUAUUCACAGUUAAGUUUAGAUUAAUCGACUAAUGAGAUAUAUUUGAUUUAUUAUUGUGAUGAUUGUUGAUCUUGUACUCAUAUUCAAUGUGAGAUAUUUGAAUAUUUUCUUUAAGCUAAUAUUUCAUUACCUUUUAUAUGUAGAUGUUUGACUAAAGUUAUAGAGCUUUUCUUUACAGGAAUUCUUAUUUAACCAAAGAACAUAUUGAUGGUCAGUUGAAAGUAUAUCUUAAGAGUGAAGAAUGUUAUUUGUGUGUCUCGUGAGUUUUGUUAUUUCUUUCAUAUUUCUAGUUCUAUUUUCUAAUUUCAAGUUUGGUGAAUCAUUCUAAGUAGUCUAAUAUUGAAAUUACUAGUCCUAUAGUUUAUUUGUAUUAGUUUUGAUUAUGGCGGUAACUAAGUUUGUAGAUAAUACCUUGAUCUAUAUUUAUUUGGUUGAUAAUAAAGUCACGAGUUAUUUCUAGUUAAGUUAAAUUUUCAUAUAAAUGUGCACCACAAUAACGAUUCCAUUUCCAAGAAAGAAAUCAAAAAUUGUGUUUAAAAUAGAAUCUACGACAUACGUAAAUAAAAAUAGAAUCAAUUAGGCGAUAAUUGUACAUGCUUGGAGUAAUAAACCUUGUGUUGCGGAAUAAAUCUAACUACAAGCACAACUUGACACAUAAAUAAAAGUUCAUUAUCACAAAAUACUUUUCGUAAUAAUAUUCUAUAUCAUAAAAUAAAAUAUGUGACGUAUAUAAAUAAUCAUGAAAUAAAUUAGGCAAUAGCUAUACUCGUUGCACAAAUGAUGGCGCAAUAGACUAUUAGUGUUGCGAAAUAAAUUUAAAUACAAACAUCACUCGUUAUAUAAUAUAUUGUACUACAAAUAUUGAAUAUAAAAUACAUUAUGCGACAUAUCAAAUACAUUUAAAACAUAUUUCACGACAAACAUGCUUGUUAUUAAAAAUAUAGUCCUACGUGCAUGUGCUGUUGCAAAAUAAAAUAGGUAGCAAAAGUUACACGCUUAAAAGAAUAUUCGCAACAAAUAUUUUUCUUGUAAAAACUUUAUUGAAAUAAUUGUUGCAACAAAUUGUCGUGUCGCCUUUUUAUUUUUUGGCGACAUAUAUGCAUCGCGAGGACAUUAUAAUUACAAUUAUCGUGUUGCUGUUUCAUUUUUUUUUUGUGGCAAAUAAAUAAUGUUGCGAUUUUGUUAAUGUGAUGAAUGAUUGAAGGUAGUUGCAAAAUAUAUUUGAUGACUCAACAUUCGCAACAAACAUGUAUCUCAUAAAAACUUUAUUGGAAUAUUCGUUGUGAUAAACAAACUUGUCGCACUUUAAAUUUUUCACGACAUAUACAUUGUGACACAUUAUGGCUACAAAUAUUGUGUUGCCAUUUCGUAUUUUCUGUGUUACACAACUAUAGUCGUGAUUUUGUUAUUGCGAUGAGCUAUUGAAAAGUGUCAUAGAAACAUUUUGCAACCUAUAUAGAGCGACAAUACCCGCAACAAAUGUAUUGUUGUUGCUAAAUUACUUUUACAACAAAAUCCCAAUUUUUGCAGCAACAUUUUUUUUGUCUCGAAAUCGAUUAUUUUUUGUAGUGUAUGUAACCAUUGUUAUAAUGAAAAAAGGGAUUUGAUUAAAGAAUAGUUUAAAUUGUGACAUAAGCUGAAGAUUUCGAGAACAGAAAAAGUCAUAUCUUGAAAUUUAAAGUGGGAAAUAGCUAAAUUUUUCUAAGACUUGGCAAAAUGAAAAGUGGAGAAUAUCAUAUUUUGAUCCUUAGGAUAUUAUUUCAAGUAUUGUUUUAAUGGUUUAUUGAUCAGGUUGAUAACAGAUUUUUCUGGUAUUCAAUAAUAUAUAAAGUUUUUGAGGUUUAGUAAGUGGAUGCAUAUUUAAUUUAAGUGUUAAGAUUAUUAGUUCAGUUAAAGAGAGCUCCUCUUACUACAGUUGAAGAGAUAUUGACAUAGGAAAGGUCAAGGAAAGUCCAAGAACAAGAAAGAAUGAGUUUUAUGUAGUUAAAUUAGUACACUAUUUAAAGGUUGGGAAAGCGUUCAAUAGAAGAGGCAUCAUGAGCAUAUGAGGGUCAAAUAAGCUACACACUCUAUACCUGCAUAUAUCUAAAUUCUGGUUGAUUGAAUUUCGAGGACGAAAUUAUUUGAAGGAGGUAAGAUUGUUACACUCCGUUCAUUUAUAGUCGAAGUCAAAGAAUGAUUUAGUCAAAGCUAAAGUCAAAUAAGGACUUAUAGUUGAAUGAAUGAUUUUAAUAGGACUUAAAUUGCAAUUACAAAUACUUGACGCUAAAAAUGAUAUAGUAACAAAAUCUAGGAAUUUAGUUUCUAUUGUUGAAAAUUUAACGACGAAAUGUUUGUGUUAUAUAAAGAUUGGUGACUUGACUUGCAAUUGUUCAAUAGUUAUCCUUUAAACCUUAUAUAUAUAACAUAUCUAUCCAUCUUUCUCAUUUGGGGUAAAGAAAAACGAGACCAUGGAGAAAAGGAAGCAAGGAAGAAAGAAGAGAAAUAGAAAAAGAAGGAAGAGGUAGGUUCCAAUUUUUCAAACCUAGGUUCUCAAUUUCUUAAAUUUUUCCUUUAAUUUAGUGAGGUAAGUAUGAGAAUGUGAAAUUAUCUCCUUUAGGGGUUAUGGAACUUAUCUUUAAAGCUUCGAAGUUAGCAAGAAUUAGGUGUUAUUGAUUUGUAUUCAAGGUUUUAAAUAAGAAUAUAGCAAGGACAUGUUUAUUGAAAAUUGGAUUUGAAGAAAGUAGAAUUUUGGAAAUGGGUUUUGAGAUAAAAGAUAUAUUCUUUGAGUUUCUUGUGAUUAUAUGAUGCUAAACACUUAAAUUAAGGGUUUGAGUUUGGAAUUCUCCAUUUUUAAAGCAAUUUUCAAGGUAGUAUUGUACAGGUGUUAAUUCUGAAAUUCUGCCAAGAAAAUAGCUAUUUCUGUCAAUGGUUUUGAUGCCAGAUUUGAAUAUACAGAAAUUGUUACUAGAUUUCUAUAUUCUGGAGUUUUAGUGCUGUUUUUGUCAAACUUGGAUUUCGAAAUUUUUAAAGGUUUGAAUGAAUUUAUAUGACAAUAUUGAAGUCUAUGUAUUGGACUAACAAUGUAUAGGGGUUGUAUAUGUAUAAGGUAGUGAUUUUAAGGAAGUGUGAGUGGUGUAAUGGAUUUGAUAAUGUAUGAUGAUUAGUUGAUCAAUCAUUAAAGAGAAGAAAAGUUGGGAAAUUGGAGAUAUUCUUAAGUACAGAAAUUGAGAAGUUAAGUGGUGGAUUUGUAUUGAUUUAAUUGUUAUGUUUUAAUUCAAGAAAUUAUACCUUCAUUUCAGGUAGGGACAUGGAAGCUUGGAAAGGCUUGUCAAUUAAUCAGAUUUUUAUCUAUAGAUCUGUGAGUAAAAAAGCUUAAUAAUUUCAAAGUAUUUAUAAAUUAAGUAUCUUAUUAAAUUAUGUGAAUUAUUUGCUCAAUUAUAUGAUUACCAUGAAAGUUUCUUUUACUAUUUCAAAGAUUGUAUAUGGUGCAUUUGCGAAUUGGAAUAUGAGACAUGAUAUUUAGAUUGACCAGAAAAGUACCUGUGAUUAUAUACUUCUUUUAGUUUAUAGAGGGGUCUUGUCGGGGUUUCAUACAACACUAAGGGGUCAACUGGGGGUGAAAGGGUCGUGCCCAUGUAUAUAUAGUUCACUGAGGAGCCUUGGCCGUGUUCUAGAAUUGAUGUAUCAGAGGUCUUUGAGACCCGCUUUCGUGAAUAUGAGAUGAUAUUUACAGAAUUAUGAGAAUGUCCCCUUUUUGGCUAUAAUUGUAUGAGGCUAUCGUAUGAAUUGCUAAAUGAUAUGAACUUGAUGUCUAUGUAUGAGAAAAAUGUUUAAAUGAGAAAGUAUAAUUAUUUUCCUUCCACUCAUUGAGCUAUAAAAUUAUAUUCUUCCACGAUUUUUCUUACAGGUAGUAUUGGUCCAUGGUAGCUUAAGGAGCCCGAUGGUUUUAGAAUUAGAGCCACAAUACUUAUUGAGUGACAUGAUUCAUUUUGGUAAAACAUGAAGUAAUUAUUUCUGGUUCAUUGCAUUAUAUUUUUCAUAAACAUUUGAUUUUGUUGCAUAUUUUGUAGUAGCUCAUGGUUAGCCUUGGUGAUAGAUCUGGUAUAUAAUCAGUAUCUACCAUUGGUACAUGUCACGUUUUCGGGUCCAUUAGGAUGAUUCGAGACGGAUUGUGUCAGGAAUACUAAGGAAUGGCGUGUAAAAACUGGAGCUACUCAUCUAUAUGUGCAAACCACUAGAUAACAUCUUUGUCGCUCAUGUACAAUGUUGUGUAACCUAAUGUAUUAAAUGCGUUAUCAGAUUCCUUUUUACAUAAUCUGAUGACCAUAUGUGUUUUCCUACAGGCAAGCGCAUGAAGAAUGUUAGGAAAUUGUUGUCAAACGACCUCCUCGGACUGUGAUGUUAACUCAAUUUUAUUUUCAGUGGGCCUAGGCCAAAUGAUUGAACCUUAUAUUGACAUCUCAAAUGGGACGACCUAAACCUAAUUUGUAUGGGCCAUUCGAAACAACCUAAUUUAUUAGUAUUGCUCAUGACCUGUCCCACUUAUUUGGACGGCUAAAUAAUGGUAUCCAUUUGAUAGUCCACUACUGUGUUUGGGCAUUUUGGGCCACUACCUUUGACCUAACUAGCGUACCUUAUUUGGUCUACUCCACUGGUUAAUAUGGUUCGUCUCCUUGGCUGCCUUAUUGUUGCGACUUCAUGUUCUCUUCUUCUUCUUCUCCGUUUACUUUCGAUUGGCUCAUCUCUACUGCCUCUGUUGUUUGUGAUAUUGGCUUUUCCUUUAUGGUCUCUUUGUAGGUAUUUAAGGAUCUGUUUGAUUGCGGAGAUGGAAUUUGGUGGAAAGAAAAUGAAUUCUAGAGAAUCGAAUUACUUAAAAAUUAUGUACUUUUUGUCUAUUGUUGUGUUUACUUCGAAUUCUUGUGUAGUUGGAAAUCUCAACUACAACACAUCGUUGCACUAUCCACGACAGAGGUAGAAUAUAUUGUUAUCACUAAAGCCAUUAAGGAGUCUUGAAUGAUUAUGUGGUAGUAUAUUUCGAUAGUUAGUAUUCUUCCAUACAUCUAUGCAAAAGCUCUGUUUUUUAUGAACCAUCAAGUAUAUUGAUGUUAGAUUACAUUUCAUUAAAAAUACCGUGUCACAAAAAGUGGUAAGACUUGAAAAGAUACAUACACAAUACAAUCCUUCAGACAUGGGUACAAAGGUACUUUCACUGGUAAAGUUUAGAAGUUGCAAGAAUCUUUUAAAUAUUGGUGAAGGUAAUUAAUUUCCAAUUUUAUCAUCUCCUGAUAUUGAAAUUAUUGCUAACAUGUGUUAAUGUUUCUUUGAAGGUCAUUUGACACUAAGGUGGAGGUUUUGUUAGGAAAAUUGUUGUCAAAUGAUCUCCUCGAGCUGUGAUGUCAACUAGAUUUUAUUUUCAGUCACCCUCGACCAAAUGAUUAAAUUUUAUAUCGACACCUCAAAUGGGACGAUCCAAACGUAAUUUGUAUGGGUCAUUCGAAACAACCUAAUUUAUUGGUGUUGCUCAUAGCCCAUCCCAUUUAUUUAAAUAGCUAAAUAAUGGUACCCAUUUGAUAGCCCAUACUCUUGUGUUUGGGCCUUUUGGGCCACUACCUUUGACUGAACCUGCUUACCUUAUUUGGUCGACUCGAUUGAUUAAUGUGGUCCGUCUCCUUUGUUGCCUUAUAGUCAUGACUUAUUGGUACAUUUUCUCUCCUUCUCCGUUCAGUUUCAGUUGGCUCAACUCUUCUACCUUUUUGGUUUAAUUCUUAUGUGAUAUUGAAUUUCCUUUGUGGUUUCUUUGUGGGUAUUCAAAAGCAACUGUGAAUGGAGAAACCAUUUUGGGAGUUUUAGGUUGUUGCUCAUUGUGGUGUAGAUUGGUUGAUGAAUGAUAAGUGUGUUUUUACACACUUAUUUGGUUCGCAAACAUGACUUAAACAUGGAUAAAAUGGUUGAAUUGUGGCUUAAUCCUAUUAAAUUCAUGCAAUGUAGGUAUUUCAAUGGAAAUUGUGGAAUUCAGGAGAAAAGAGCCGGAAAAAGACCAAAAUGCAACAAAGUGAUAGUUCGAGGACCAAAGGUGCAAAUAUUGAGAAGUUGAGCUAAAUGUAAAACGAAGUAAAAACAUGCUAAGUAUGAGCUCAACGACAAAGCAAAACAAUUGGAAGAAGAAAGUAUUGAAGAGGGACUGAAAUGAAGACAAUUGAAAGUUGGAGGACUAGAGCGCAAAUACUCAAAAGAUGUUCCGAAUGAGUGGCAUGAGAUUUGAUGGUGUCAAUCAUCAAUUGGAAGAUAAAAUUUUUUGAAAAGAUGAAGAAAUCGAAGAAAGAAGUCAAGAGAAGCAACAAGGAAGUUCAGGGACCAAAAUGUAAAAACCACAUAGUUGGUUAUAUCUAUGCGACCGCAUAGUAUAACCAUCUAUGCGGUCACAUAGAUGGAUGUAGGGAAAUUAAUUGGGCAUUUCAAAUGACCUAUGCGACCGCAUAGGUUUCUUCUAUGCGGUCGCAUAGAAGAAAUUUUGGGGGAUUUUCUGCAGUUUCCUUUUUCGACUCCAACUCCUUUCUUAUCUAAUUUGGACACGCUAUAUAUACCCUAAAACACGUCCAGAACUAGGGUAGACAUUUUUGGGAGAAAAGAGGCACACAAGAACAUCAAGAUCCAAGAAUUUAUGCAAGAAGAAGGAGGAUUUCAUCAAGAUUGAAGAUUUCAAGCAACAAUUAUAAUAGGGUGAUGUCUUCUCCUUUAUUGAAUCUUUGUAAUUUUCUUCAAAAUAUGAUAGGCUAGGGUUUUUGUUCAUUAGGAAUUUGAUGAACCUUUUGAUGAUUUAAAUUUCCAUUAUUUCAUUAAUUCAACAAUAGUUUCGAUUGGACAAAUGUUUGAUUUAUAUGAUUUGAAUGCUUCCAUAAUUAUUUGGCCAAUUGUUAUGUGAUUGUAGAUGAUUUGUUCUUUGCAUUCGAAAGAAGGGGAAUAAAUUCUAUAGAAUAUAAAUUGACAUAGGGUCCGAUAGAGGAUGGAAACUUACCUCUAUGCUCUAUGCAAUUCAUGAAGAUGUUCAUAAAAAGUCAUGCAUUCUUGUACAUUGCAUCAUCCAUAGAAAUAUAGGCUGGUGGUGUGUAAGAGUAGAUUCAAUAUAUAUCGAGAGAGUGUAUUGAAUAAUUUAGGAACAUUGAAUUGGCAUUUUGUUCCAUCGAUUCGUUGAAUUUGUGAAAUUAGGGUUUUUAAUAGUGAAUUGGGGAUUCGAGUUCUUAAUGAUUUCAUUUCGAUUCAUUUCAAUACAUUAGUUCUAAAAUUGCAUAUUUACAUUUCAGUUGCGUGUUUAUUUCAUUCGAUUAGUGAAAUUUUGAAAUUACGAUUUCCAAUUGUGAAAUUAGGGUUUUUUUUGCAAUUAGGGUUUCAAAUUGGGGAUUUCUUCCAAAAUUAGGGUUUUUCACAUUUAAACCAAAUUUUCAUUCAAUUAGAUUCGGUUAAGGUCACAUUAGUCUAAUUAGAGCUAAUUCAAUCCUCGUGGGAACGAUACUUAGACUCAUAGUCCAUUUUACUACUUGUUAACGAACCGUACACUUGCGGUGGGUUUUAAAAUCGAAAAUAAAUAUUUCGUCAACAAUGAACUGUGCCCGACAAUGCCUUGGCCGUAGUGUUUUCUCUCUACAAAGAACAGAAUCGACAUCUAGACCCUGAAAACUCUAUGGGCAAGUGGACUUUAGUUGAGGAAGACGUACUUGGAGACAAAAUUGAAUCUACGUGGUAAAAUUCAAGGACUCGAAGGAUGGAGAAUGUGUUGUCAAGAUCAUCAUUGAGUAUCAUGCCAAGGAUAACGUUGUUCUAAAAGAGGAGGAUAUUAAUAAAAUCAAGGAACAAUCGUUUUGGAUUCUACAAGUCUUAUGCAGAUCAUCUGAAUGUGAAUCCUCGUGUUUGUGACUAAAGAUUUUCAUUAAAGAUUUUUUUUUCCAACCACUAUAAGUUACAUAUUUAUUAAUAUCAAAGAUAAAAUAUAGUAUAUACUUAUUAGAAGGAGGCUCAACGUAACCUUCUAGCUAAAGUUGAAAAAAUAAUUAAACUCUUCCAUCUUGAAACAAGGCCUACAAUAUAAGAUUUAAAGAAAGUACAAUAUAUUCCCUCUAGUCAAACUUUUCGUCAUUAUUGUUACAUUUGAACUCGCUACUUGAUGUUUGUUAUUUUUUCACUGUCAUCAAAACUUCCAAUACUAAUUGAAAAAUUAAUUUCGACUUUUCUAUGCUGAGUAAUAUAAUAAAUAUUUUGAGUUAGCUAAGGCAAAGCUGAGGCACUUGUGUUAGAUUUUAUUUGUCAUGUGGGCCUACACAUAUAAUUAAUUGAGAAAAUUACACUAGUUACCUGUUUAAAAUUAAAUAUUUAUAUGUACUAAUCACUUUUCUAUUUUCCAUUUAUACUGUAAUUUAAUAAUAUAACUAAAAAUCAUCAAAUCACUUAACUCCUUAUAAUAAUUCAAUAAAUUACUGACCUUACUCUAUCAUCAUUGAAUCUGAAUUAAUUAUCUCAAAUACCCAAACCACUCCCACAAAUUAAGCUCUGUAUUAGGUCAUUUCCAAAUCGAGACUGACGCAACUAUUUUUCGCUUUCCUUUUUGUUCCUUAAAUAUCUAAAAUUCUUUCCUCGUUUGUCCCCUCUAACAGCCACUUUGCUCUAAUUAUUGCCGUAAAGCCCUUUUCCUACAUGCAUAAACCUAUACAUACAGACCCCUACAUACGUCUCUUUAAUUGUCAAUGAUGGCUCUUAGCUCUUUUCUCCCUUCCUGAGAUAAUCUCUUUGAUUCUUGACGUGGAAAUGAUAUGUCAGUUCAAUUUUUUGGAGCAUAGAUGUGCAUUUCAUUAAAUCAUUAAAAUUAUGCUUAGACCCUUUUCAUUUUCUCUUUCUUUCUGGAAAAUUGAAGCAGGUUUUUUAUUGAAAAUAUUCCUAAUUGGACUUAUUAUACAUUUUUAUUCUUUUGGGGCAUGUGGGUUUGUUUGUUUCUAUUUUUAGGUGGCGAACAAGGAAAUAUGGGACCUUAUGAAUCAAAUGGAUGAUACUAGAUAAUGAAAUUAUCCUUAGGUUGUUGUAUUAUAUUGAAGAAGGGUAGUCAAAAAGGGCCUUGAUUGAUGCUAUUGUUGGUGCAAUUUCUGGUACUGUUUCAAGGGCCGAAGUAAUUAUGAUUAGAUUUUAGAUCAUUCUUCAUCUCUUAGUCCUCGUUCAUCCCCCUCCUAGUUCUUAAUCUAUCAUUCUUAAUUAAAACCCAUUGUUAUCUGUUGGAAAUAAUACUGUGAUUGAGGAUAUUACUCCUCAAUCAUAAUCUUCCCAUAGCAUGCCAAUGCCAAUCACGUAAUUGAAGGAGGUUAAUUUACACGGUUUUCAUUUCAUUUACACAGUUUCCAUUUUAUUGUAAAUUAUUGAUUUGUAUUCCAUUUAUACUAUCUUGUAAAGCUCUAUAUAAUGCAAUACGAUACACCACUGAAAUUAAGGUGGAUUUUAAUCAUUCUUAUAGUAUCAGAGCGGAGAUGAUCUUGAAAGAAAUUACUGGUAAAUUCACCACCGCCGUCACUUUGGAAAAUUUUAAUUCGAGUGGAGUAUUGAUUUUCCACAAAUUUUUGAAAUUGAAUAAAAACAUUAUAAAAAUCAAAUUUCAAUUUUAAAGAUAGAGCCACGUGAAACGAGAAUAGUCAUCGAUAAAAAUGACAUAAUAGACAAAUCCUAAAUUAGAUUUGACUGGAGACGGACCCCAAAUGUCGCAAUGGAUAAGAUCAAGUGUUUUUGAUGACCUAUGUUAAUUUUGAGAAUAAGGCAAGCGAUGACUUUUAGCAAUUUGACAUGUGCCACAUAAAGUUGGAAAAGGCAACAAAGAUGUAAGAUAAAGCUAGCCUUUUUUAUUCAAUAGAGAAAUAACAGAAUGAUUGACAUGUCCAAGUCGUGCAUGCCAUAAAUUAUAGGACGCAUGAAGCGAUUUAUUUUUAAGAACAGAAAUAAAAGUAGAAUGACUUCGCUCAAGCACAUAUAAACCUCCAUCACGCUUGCCGGUUGCCACCACCCUUCCUGUUUUGCGAUUCUGUACAGUGAAUAUGUUAUUAUUAAAGGUAACGAAUAAAGGAAAAUCUGAUGUUAAUUUACUGAUGGAAAGUAAAUUCUUGGUAAGGCAAGAUACAGCUAGGACAUCAAGAAGAUGUAGAUUUGGGGUAGGGAAAAUUUUACUAGUAUGGGUAAUGGGUAGUGAGGCACCAUUCCCAACAACCACACAAUCCUUACCCAUGUAAUUUGUGGCCUGAUCCAAUUUAGAGUGAUUCAUGGUCAUAUGGGCUGAAGCCCCUAUAUCCAAAUACCAGUCAGAGCCCACAUCGUCAUUUAGAGAACAAGAUCUCGUGAAGGCUUCAGCAAGGUGAGCUGGUGUCUCAUUCCGAUCAUAGCGUUGAAGGCACCGAUCGGCAAAGUGGCCAUCCAUCCUGCAAAUCUGGCAUCUUGGUGGACGAUGCCAUUGGCUGUAGUUGGAGCGCCCUUGUCCAUGACCAGAUGAACUGAUGCCACGCCCACCGAAGCGACCCUGAUGACUACGAGAAGAGUCACCACGAUGGGUGGAAUUUUUUGUGACAGUAAAGGCUGUCGCUGCUGGAGAAGAUGAGUCAAGGGAUUUCUGAAAAAUUUCAAAACUUUCGGCCUGUAAUAACUCGUUCUCUAUUUGAUUUGUAUGUAAUGCAUGUUUGGUUUGGAUUAAAAUCUAAUUUUAAUCUAAGUUAAAGUUAUAUAAUCAAUAUUAACUACAUCUUUCAUGGAUCUCACAACUUUUCAACCAUGCAUUUCAAAAUUUUUUAUCACCAUCUACUAAAAAAAUCUAAUUUUAAUCCUCACUAAAUAUACUCUAUAUUUGUAUUAUUAUUUUUUUAUUUUUUUCAAUUCACAUAUGUAUUACAUUUUUCUCGAUAAAACCCAACUUAUAUACAUUGGUGAAUAACAUAGAAUGCUAAAUAGAAGAGUAAAUCGAACCUGCCAUACCUUAUUUAUUUAUUUUUUUAAAGCAUGUCACCAUCAUGCCCCAUUCAUUGUAAAUAUGGAAUUGGACUCUUUGUGGGCACCAGUGUACAUGUAAGCUCUUGUUCCCUGGCCCGUCGAGGUAUAUUCUGCGAUUUACCUUCAUCACGAUACUCUAGCGGCGAGGCAGUGGGGGCCCUCAAGGUUGGGGAUUAACCUUUUUUUUUUGGUAUUGUUUUUCAUUUUGUAUGUGCAACUUAACAGAUAUAGAUUACAGAUGAUACAGUCAUGAACCUCUAAGUACUUGAAAUUGUACUACAUUUCUUCAAUUCUUUAUACUAAUAGCUUGUAACAUGUAGUGUAACAUAAUAGCGGACCCAAAAUUUUUGGAUUUUUCCCCUCAAGGUUGGCGUUCAACCUUUUUUUUUUUGGUAUUGUUUUUCAUUUUGUAUGUGCAACUUAACAGAUAUAGAUUACAGAUGAUACAGUCAUGAAGCUCCAAGUACUUGAAAUUGUACUACAUUUCUUCAAUUCUUUAUACUAAUAGCUUGUAACAUGUAGUGUAACAAAAUGGCUGACCCAAAACUUUUAGAUUUUUCCCCAGAAAAUAGUUGUUUUGACAUAUUUACGACCUACUUUUUUGCAUUUAUUACAAGAUGUCAAAUGAAAUCGAAAUUUACCUUCUUAAUACCAAUUUUAAGUGCUCAUGGCCAAGUUUUUUGCUCGUUAAUGGCCUGUAAAUCGACUAACCGUAGUAAAAAUUACGACGCAUCAAAGUAGGCCGUUCCAAAUUAGUAUUUCAAGGAUUUUGAUAAUAUAUUAACUUUCAAAAUUCGUCGAUAAUUGUAUACUAUUUGAAUCCACAAAUCGUCUACAUCAAAUGGAUGCUCAUUUCGAGAACUAUAUCGUAGUCAUAUCGAAUUGUUCAAACGAAUAUUGAAAAUAAUUAAAUAUACAUCAAAUGUACAUCUUAAAAAAGAAGUCUAACUCAUAUUUUCUUUUAAAAAAUUUCAAUUAAUUUAUCAACGUUUAUUAGUUUUACACGAUAUAUUUUUCAAUAUAAUUUACAUAAUUUUAUUAGGAUAUUUUAUAUGGAAUAUGACAUUAAAAAUCUUAGGAACGUUACAAAUUAAGUGUAAUUUGAAUUACUUUCGAAAUAAAUUUAAAUUUCAUUUUCUUCUUAUAUUAAAUGUGAAUUUUAUUUCAUUUCAUUUACUUCCUUUAUUUAAUUUGAUUUACUCAUAUUCAACUCAACAUCUAUCAAUGAAAUGGUAAACAAGACUAUAAAAGAAGCACAAUCCAUUUUACACUAUUGAUAAUAAUAUAAUUAUAAGACUUUCAAAGUAUCAAAAUGCCCAUUAAUUUAUUUUCAUUAAUAAUAUAUUGUUUUUUUCCCCUUAAAAAUACACUUUAAUUUUUGACCCACAACACAAAAAAUCUGGUUCUGCCCCUGGAGUAACAUACCAAAGAUUAUGUCUAUUCUUUUUUGUGAAAAAAAUGUAAUCUAUUUUUAAUCAUGCAAUAUUAAUUAGGUUCGUUAAAUUAUCAUAGUCUUGUAAUUUGGUGAUACGCAUUUUUAUGAUUUUACCUUUAAAAAACUCGUCUUGGUGAAUUGCAUAGAAUAUUGAAGAGAUGGGUUAAUUGAACCUGCCAUACCUUAUUUUCUAUAUUGCAUGUCAUCCUCAAGUUUACAUAUUUUUCUAUUGCACACCAUAUAAAAUACAAUGUAACAUAUCAAACUAUUAUAUCUAUUCCUCGUGUUUGAAUCCAAUCAUGCAGUCAUUUAGGUGUACGUGCUACAUUCCACAGGAAUGUUAUUCGGUGUUAUAGAUUUUUAUGUCCUCGUAAGUUUACAUUAUGAGUUUAUCGUAAAUAUUCACGGACUAUUGUUUUAACUAAAAGAAAGCAAUAUUGUAGUUGUUCAAAACCUUUCAAAAGGGAAAGACAUAGUGAAAACAGUAGCCAUUUCAAUGCCUCGAAGGUCUCAUGUUUCAAGAUACCAGCAGACAAUGCCUACGGCAUCCACUCUGCAAAGUAAUGCGAUACCAACUCUGCAGCAACAAUCUAUUCUGCCUCAAGGGUAAAUAUGAAUUAUGUAUCCCUUACUUCUUAGAAUGUUCUUUUUAUUUUAACUUAGCACCUCAAUUUUACAAGCUUGAUUCAACAUGGAAAUUCCUUCUUACUUGACUCGAAGACAAAAGAUGAAAGUAACACAAGGAACUUUAGUCGGAGUUCCACACCGCGAAAAGAGACAAAACUUGACAAGCAAUGUAAGAAGGCCUGUUACCAUUGCAAAAAAAUAACACUCAUGUACAGAAGAUUUGCAGUAGGAACAACCUUGCAUAAUUGAUUCUCAUCACAAGUGGCCUUGUCUUUUUGUUCAAUUACUUAUUAAAUUUACAAAACUACUCUCCAAAUGGUAAAGGAAAUGGGGACGUGUUGGUUAAUGAUAGAGAGGGUAUUUUGGUAAAUAGUGGAUGGCAAAUCGGUGUAUUUCAUGAAUAUCGUCAAAGCUCAUUGGCCCCAUUCUCGACAAAUUAUUGGGGAUGGGGGUGUCAUGGAAAGCGUCAAAUUGAUUGGCAAAUUGAUUGAUCGCUGAACAAGCUCUCAACGAAAUUACAAGGAUCCAUAAGUGUACUAUGUAAUAGAAAUACAGAAUGACAGGAAUUAAGAUUGUAAUGUAGAGAACAAAGAUGAAAUGUAUAAAUUCGAUAAUGUAUUGUGUAGAGAAUGAAUUGAGAAAAUGUAUUUAAUAGAUAAUCAUUAGCAAUACUUCAUCAUUGAAAGUGUUAUUUCGUCAAUCACAUAAUUCAAAUGGAAGCUUGACCCUCUAAAUAAUCUGAAAAACUAGGAAAGCCAACAAAUUAGAAAUUUCAAAUUAAUAAAAAGUGUUUCCUCAUUUAUCUUAACAAAGAAUAUUAUUUUCUGGACUCAUAUCUUUUCAUUUCAGCACUAAAGAAUAAGAGAGAUAUUUAUGACUAUUCCAUGAUAUCCUUUUCUUGACCCAAAUUCUAUGUUUGGAAGUUAUCUUUUAAGGUCUCCGUUGUCUAUAAUUGGUAGGUGAAAAUUGACUAAGAAACUGAAAUUAUGGAACACCAUUGCGCAUCCUUGACAAUCGAGUAGGAGAAGUUCAUCAUAAUAACAUAUUUGGAUAAGCUUAAAAAAUUUACGUACUCGGCUAAGCUUAAAAAUAUUUACUUAUACGUAAAUAUGUAAUUUUCAGCCUAGUGAAAUUUUGGUAAAAGUUGAAAUAUAGUUGCUGAAUAAAAGUUAUUUUUGAGAAGUAUAAUUUUUAAAACUGAGAUAGUUAAAUUUUUAUGGUAAAAGUUGAAAGCUAUUUGCCAAAUAAAAGUUAUUUUUGAGAAGUAUAAUUUUUAAAACUGAGUUAUCCAUGCUCAUUUGAAUAAAUAUCCUCACUUAAAAAGCAUUUUUGGCUAAGUUAGAAGAAUAAUGCCCUUGUACACUGUGCUUUAUAGCUCGGCGUACACUCCCCUCAUAUGAGGGGAGGGGCCCAUGCCCAUUUAAUGCUCGGAUUUCGUCUCCCAUGUGAGGAGGCUGUACUAGCAUGGCCGAAGUUAGAAAGGUUACUUAUAAUUCAAUAAAUAAGUUUUUUUUAGAAUAAUUAACAUUUUGACGGGUAAAAUUUGAAAAAGAGUUCGUAUUAAGUAAAAGUUAUAUUCUGAAAAAGUAAUACUUAUUUAAAAUCGAGUUAUCUGUACAUAUUUGAACACCUAACCUCACUCCAAAAAAAUAAAAAAAUAAAAAAAAAUUCUUUAAGGGCCUAUUUGAUAGGCAUGAUUUUCCAAUUCAAAUUCCAACUUUCACUUUUUGGAUAUUUGAUAGGUUUAUUUUUUUUUUUUUCAAUGAAAUUGAUUUUGACUCAUUUUAUUUUAUUUUUAAUGAAUGAAGCAAGAUAAUUGCAAGAUGAAAUAAAUCAACCACAAAUCAGACCACCAAGAUUUUAUGUGGAAACCCUAAAUGGGAAAAUAUUACGGGCAAAAGAAGGAAUUCACUAUAUCAAAAUCAAGAUCAAUGAUUGUUGAAUAAGAUUUGUUGCAAAUCAAGAUCAAUGAUUGUUGGAUAAGAUUUGAUGCACUCAACCAAAUCCAAUGUGUUUGUGGAGAAUGGGUAUCACAAAACGUGCCAAAAUCGAAAAUAAGCCAUGGUCGAAUAAGAUGGUCGCAUGAUCAGUGUGCCUCGCAUGUAGUGAGCAGCCUCACUAGCUCACGAGCAUUAUGCUCAUGCCAGACUCCGUUUUUUGGGCGUACGAAUGGAAACUGGAUGUUCAACGAGCAUAAAUGCGCCGAUUUUUUCUUCUUGGUUUGUAUUUGAACUUCUUCAAGACACCUUCAACGAACCACCAAUUCCCUUUUAACCAAAACACCAAUUUUCAAUGGAAUUUGGCACAUAAUUCAACAAAUUUAUACCAAACUAAGCUUAAUAUAUAGUUCAAAAAUUCAAUAAUAUAAGAGGUUGUUGGGGUUUGAGGGAAUGUUUUUGUUAAUGUUAGGGGGGAAAACCGGAUUUUUAGAGGGUGGAGAUCGAUUGUUAAGUUGUAUAUAGGGGCGGAUCCAUGAACUGCACCCAUUGGAAUCUUCAUUUUUUAAUAUUUACAAAGUAGUCCACAUAAUUUUUAGUCCAUAAUUUUAACCCAUAAUUUUUACAUAAUUCUAUUUUGCUCUCACUAAAUUAUAUUUCUGGGUUCGCCCCUAGUUGUAUAGGACAAAAACCAGGUUAUUAAAAUGAAUUUUUUUUUUUUUUUUGUAUGUAAAUGGUGAGUACACAUGCAUAUCAGCUGUGCAUACUAAUCGCUCUGUCCAAUUAAAAAGUGAAUUUUUUUGUAAGGUUUAAUUCAGUUUUCUGACAAAAUGGUAGGAUGUGGUACAAUUUUAUAAGAAUUUCCGUUGAUGUUAAAAAAGGUUAAACCCUAACCUUAAGGGUCCUCCACCACUCCUGCCCUGGAGUAUCGUAAGGGAGGUAAAUCGCAGGUUAUGCCUCCAAGGGUACAUGUUGGAAGACUGUUUGUACACUUGCACUUACCCAAGAGCUAAAUUCAUAUUUCAGGAUUCGAACUCUUGACGCAGUAGCCUCAAGCAAAACUAGAUUUCUCCACCUUCCCCUUUUACCACUUGAAAUGUGCCCUAGGGGGCGAAUUUCCGUUGAUGUUGAACACAUGGAUAGAACUUUAACAAGAUAAGGCAGUAAAUAAGAAAAAUACUUAAAAGUAUAUGUUAAAAAAAUACACAAAUAUGUGGUGUAACAAAAGAUUUCCAUGGUGGCAAUAUAGUCUUUCAUAGGUAAAACGAUCUAAGGCGAGGUUUAAAUAGGUUUUUAUAAAAUUCCAAUUUCUUUUGCCAAACGUUAUACAUUUCGAUUUAAGCGAAUUCUUAAAUAGUUGACGUUGUUUGACCAGUUAAACAACCGCAAUAAAACAUGUAUUAAACCAAAACUAAGUAAGACCAGAAACAACGAAUUUAACAUCGUAAACCUGCUCUUACAGACUAAAAAUUCCAGUACAAAAAUAAUAAUAAUAAAAUACAGUCAUUUUAAAUUUUUGAAACUAAUAUAAUUAUUGACAACGAAGAAACUAAAGCAAAGAAAAUACUAUGAAUUAAGAAAUAACAAAAAUACCCUUCCCUAUAUCAGUUUUUCCAAUUCUUUCACGUGGAAUUAAGGCCAUGUUUGAUAGAGGUUAAAUUCUAUGGAAAAUGGAAGUCAUUUUCCAACUUACACUUUUUAUGGUGUUUGAUAGAUUUUUUUCUAGGGAAAUCAUUUUCCAUCUUUCUUGCCACCUCACCCAAAUUCCGUCUUUUGAAAAUCAAUUCCCACCAAAUAUUGGUGGGAAUUGAAUUUCCCGGUUACUGUUGACAUUUUUUUUUUCGUAUUUUUUUUUUUUUGAAAAUGAAAACAAAUUAUAUUCAUAAUUGUUAAAAAAUAUUUACAUUUAAUUGACAAUUUUCAUAUAAAACAAAAUCAAACAAAUACUAAAAGAUAGAUGAUUUUUUUGAUUUUUUUUUUUUUGGGCAAUAGAAAGAAAUUCUAUCCCCAAUACCAAUCAAUUCUAUCCAUUUAUUUGACAAUUUUCAUGUAAAGUAAAGCCAAACAAACACCAAAAAAUACUUUUAUUUUAACAUUUUUCACGUUGAAAAUUAUAUCAAUCAAACACAAUAAUUUACAAUUUCCAACAAAAUAAUUUCUAAGCAAUUUAAUUUCCUGAAAUUCGUUUUCUUUAUACCCAAAUUCCAUUCUUACAAUCAAACAGACUAAGUAUCCAAAUUUUUGUUCCACAAACUGGAAUUAAUUGUUUCAAUGUUCACUAAACUUAAGCCCCUGUCUUUAAUUGGUCACUAUAUUUUAAAAUAUCGAGUUUUGGUCGCUAAACUUACCAUGUAUUUGAUUGCUCAAUAAAAUUUAAAAUAUCGAAUUUUGGGCAUCAAACUUUGAAAAAUGUUUUACAUUACUUAUUGUAAAUUUGACAUUUUUUUAAAGUUUAACAUUUACGUUAGUAAUUAACGUACAAAAUUUUCUAAAGUUUAAUGAUCAAAACUCAAUAUUUUAUACUUUAGUGAGCAAUCGAAGACAUGAACUUAAGUUCAGUGAUCAAAAUUCGAUAUUUUAAAUUUCAAUGACCAUUGGAAUAAUUAAUUUGCAAAACUGAUUUCAUCCUGACCUUUUUCCAAUUUGUCGUUUUACAAUGAAAGUAGAGGUUAUUUUUAUUUUUGCGCAUCCUCUUUCUCGACCCAAAUACUUCGUAUGAAGCUACUUUUAUAAGUUCCUGAUUAUCUAGAAUCACUUUAUGACUAUUGGCUAGGAAAAACUGAAAUCGUGGAAAGUCGUAGCUUAUCUUUGAAAAUUGAUUAGGAGAAACUGACAAGAAAACAACAUAAUUGGUAUGUUUGGUUGAGAUGAAAAAAAAAAGUUCGCUUGUAAGUAAAUGAUUAGGUUUAAAAUAACUUUCUUUUUAUUUAAAAAUAUGUUAAAUGAAAAGUUUGGAGAUAAAAGUGACUUUAACUUUUUUAAGCUUAGGUAAUCAUAAUAUUAUAUUUAGUAAAACACGUUAUGUAUUUCUUACUUUUAAGUAGGGUUGGGCAAAACUCCCGAACCAAAUCGAAUUGAACCAAACCCGAUGAUUCUUUUCAAGUUAAAUACCCAAAUGGGUAUCUGAAUCAAAAAGCGACGAGUACGAUUUGGUUCUCGAUUCUAGAUCAAGAAUUGAAGAAUCGAAUGAGAACCGAAUCUUCCUAAUUUUAUUUUAUUUUUAUUGAAUAAAUCAAAUUAUUUUAAUUUUCCUAAGCAAAUUGACUAAUUAGGUGAUUGAUUGAUACUCUAUCUCCCAAGCUUUAGCCUAGCUGGUUUGACCCAACCCAACCAAUUUUUAAAUCCAAUUUUUGAGCCCAAUUAUUUAUUUCAUUUCUAUUUUUUUAAUUUUUAGCCCAAGUGCCCAACAUCAAACCCUUUUUAUUUGUCCAUUUCUUAGCCCAACAUCAAACCCUUUUUAUUCUUUCAUUUCUUAUUAAAUCAUAUUAGUUGAACAAUUUUUAGUUUAUUUACGUUUGUUAAUUGUGCUUUUUCAAUUUUUCUGUAGAGAUUCUUCGUAUGGCAAGUCAAGCAAUUGAUGAUUAAAUCAAAUAGUUGGUAAGUAUUAGUAAUACUUAAAAAUAUUUUAUCUCUAUGACUUCUACUUCAAGAAAUUUUUUUAUUUAUACUUAAAGGCUGAAGCAAAUGAAUUAUUGAUAUUGAUCGUCAAUAUUUUAGUAUUAGUAUCUACUUUUUGGUAUUUGUAUAUGUUGGUAAAUUAAUCUUAUUAGACAACUUGUUAUUUAUAUGUUUUUAAUUGGACUUAGUUAAUUUGUAAAAGCUGUGAUUGAAUAUGUUAUUAAUUGUAUUUAUGUAGUGUUGUUGUAAAUGUUAAAAAAUGUAAUCACGAUACAGAACCGAACCAGAUCGAACCAAACCGAACGAAAAUGAACCUGAACGAUUUCAUAAUCAUAUUUGGACCUGAUGGUUCCACUUACUAAAUACCCGAAAUUUUUGUUCAGUGAACUGGACCGUGCCCUGCCCUACUUUUAAGUAAAAAAAUUUAAAUUUAUUUUUUACUUUAUUCAAAAUAAGUAACUUAGCCUCUAUUUUUUUUUUGAAAAAAAAAAUCAUUUAUAAAGAGGAAUAAUAAUGAAUAUCACUAAAUGUCAGGAUAAUAAAUGAGUAACAAUUAUAAAUAUGUGAUUGAAAUUAAUGUUUGAUUUUGACUUAAUUAAUAAAUUGACUGCAAAAUGGAGGUGAUAAAACAUUACGUAUUUCAUAAGGUACUUAUUAUGUAUAAGUAAAUUACAUAAGCAUAAAAUUAUAUGCUCAGCCAAAAAUAAAUAAUAGAAACCGGCAAGAAACAAUGGCUGCGAAUUUUUUGUCGUUUACAAUUGGAACAAAUCUUAUCAUCUUUUAUAAAUCAUAUACCUUUGCAAAAGAGAAGUAAUUGACGAGAAAUCCACAACUUAAUGUCAAUAGUCCCAUUAUGAAUUGGAAUCCAAUCACACAGGCUGUGUAUUUAUUUUAAAAAAAAAAAUACCAAAAUAAAUUCAGCAACUUCAUAAUGAAAAGAUUCGAAACUGACUCCAGUUUUUGGUAUUCAGAUAUAUUCAGAUCAAAUAAGCUGUGUUAUUAUUUUACUUCAAUAUAUAGAAUUUCUUGUGGUAUCAUUCAACUAGUAAAUAUUCAAUCUGUAUUCUGGAAGCUGUAAAAAUUGGACUAUGUUUGAUUUAGAAAAAGCUGAAACGCAUCUGUCAGAAAUUCUAAUCUUUAUCUUAUUCAUGGCCUUUGAAUUAAACGCAAAAGAAUGCAUAGAUUACGGAAACGGAAUAGACAGUCAAUAAUGGCGUGUUAAAAUAAUGAAUAUUAAGCUUCAGAAUAGUAAUAUGAAAAUGACGUUAUCCACACCACCGCACCUAUAAAUUCCCUCUUACAAUUCAGUUUUCUACCAAGCUCUCAAUUUAUAUUCACGUCAUUUUUCUUCCUAGGUUACACUAUUAACGAAAAACAUGGGUAUCUCUAAGUUUUUCCAUGAAAUCAAAGCUAAGGCUUCUCACAAGAGGAUGUUCAAGGCUGUGAUGAUUGAAAACGCCGACAUUUUGCCGAAAGCCUCUCCACACAUCAAGAAAAUCGAGACAAUUCAAGGCAAUGGUGGUGUUGGAAGCAUCAAGAAGACAACUUUCAGUGAUGGUUAGUCUACUAAACAACAUCACGUAAAAAGAGAGGAUAACGCUAUCUUUAAUCCUGUCCAACAUUAUCAAUAUAGCAUUUUAAAUAUGUGAUGAGUAUCUUAUUACAAAAAUUUUAAAAAUAAUAAUAACAAUAAAAUAUAAAAAAUUCUUAGGGAGAGACAAUAUAACGUCGUCGUUGCUGAUGUACAAUGUUGUGUAAUCUAGCAUACUAAAUGUGUCAUUCUUUUUUACAUAAUCUAAUGAGCAUAUAUGUUUUCUCAUAGGCAAGUACAUGAAGAACAAGAUCGACCAUCUGGACACCGCAAACGGCGUGGCUAAGUUGACUUUAUUUGAGGGUGACGUACUUGGAGACAAAAUUGAAUCUAUUAGCUACGAGGUCAAAUUUGAGGACUCAAAGGAUGGAGAAUGUGUUGUCAAGAUCACCACUGAGUAUCAUACCAAGGGUGAUGUUGUACUAAAAGAAGAGGAUGUUAAGGCAAGCAAGGAACAAUCUUUUGAACUCUACAAGGCUUAUGCAGAUUACCUAAAUGCCAAUCCUCAUGUUUGUGCCUAAAUGUUUUCCAAUUAUGUCUUGACGUUGUGAUGUAUAAUGGAAACACACAUGUUUCCCUAUUUCUGUAUUUCAGUAUAAGUGGUGUUUUUGCCUUAAUAAAGAACUUUGUUCUACUUUCCA